rnacentral:lncRNA from 1 species
CGUAGCAGACCGAAGAGCUAGAGAAGCCAAGAGUGUGUGGACCGAGCGAUGGCCGGGGUUGUCGGCGUUUGGUUCGCCAAGUUGGGCCGGGAGGCGGCGCCGGCGGCAGAGGCCGAGGUCGUCGGCCGGCGAAACCAGGGCGACGGCCUGAUCGAGGCUGAGGCCGCGAAGACGGUGCAGAUCCAGGAGAGGAGGAGGAGGAACAGCAGCGUCCUCUCCAACUCCGAGGACACGGUGUGCAUGCUCAUGGACCGCUUCGCCCCGGCCUGAUAUACGCCGGUGAACCGGUGUUCAUUCCGGCGCAUGGGAGCCUAUACCUUGUGCUGUGAUUCCGCUGGUUCCUCUUGUACAUAAGCUCUUUUUUCAUCGCUAAUCGAGUGAUAGUAGCUCAUGCCUUCCGUUUGAAAAGAAAAGAUGAACAAAUUAUGCGGCUAGAUGAAUCAACUGUAUCAUAUUCAUAUCACAUACUUUUUUGUAAUUCUUGUCGUGGUUUUAGUUAAUUAUACUGAUACGAAACAAAGGAGUAGUAUGUAUAUAUAUAUGACUGUAUAUGCUUUGAAUGGAUUGUCUGGUUAUCUCGCAAAAAAAAGUGGAUUGUUUGGUUUCUAUGCCAUCUCGCUGCCUAUCUUUUUUGUUGGCGCUGCCUUUGUUUAGUUGGUGUUGGUGAUGUUUUUGGCCAAAAAUACUACACCUACGAACUGUUUAUGAAGAGCAACGUAAACCUUUCAUCCAUAAUCAAUUGCCCCUCCUAAUUUUCACUGGGUGGGGUCCCUUCCCUUUUCUUUUCCAAUCGAAAGAUUUCCACCUAAGCCUGUUCGUAAGAUAUGUAAAAGAAUUUACGUAGGUGUAGCAAAACUCAUUUCUGGCGAUCCAUUUACUGUUGUGUCUCUCCUCAAUCCUCUUUCAUUUUAUAAAACGGGAAGUUUACACUUCUUGCAGCAUUGCAGCUUAUUCACAGCUGUCAUAAUCGAGAUGACAUGAAAUUGACACCUCACCCAACCUAUGUUUUUCGUUCUUGAACUACUCAUCAAAAAUUGAGGGAAAAAUGUUAAUUUAGCCAAAUAAUAAAAUCAUUAAUGUUCACCAUUUUCCAACAACAUAGGAAACACCACCGCCUCGUUUGGAUGUUGAUAUUAAGGCCUUUGGAAUUGAAUUGGCCCCAAUAUCAAAUCACUUUUGUAUUGACAUUCACCCAAAUUCUGGUGUUUGGAUGUUCACAGAAUUGAUACUUGGACUUUGCAUGAGAGGCUCAAUUCUCAAGCUUGUUUGGAAGGCCAUUCUCUACAUUGAAAUUGCUCAUGGGAAGGGGGAGGUUGCGAUGCCAUCUGACUCAGCCUGCUUCUUCUCCUCACGCAGCACCGCCAUCGUCGAUGAGGCAGGAUGAGCUGGUGCCGGGGUUCCUGGAGAGAGGGAGGUCGGCGAUGGGCGGCGGGGCGCGGUGGCUGGAGAAAGGAGUGGAUCCGCAGGGGAGAUGGGGGGAGGAGGAGGGCGAUGGAGAGGGCCUGACCUGCGCCGCCCGAGAGAUGGGGGAAGGAGGAGGGCAAUGGAAUGGGGCUGACCUGCGUCGUCGGAGAGAUGUGGGAAGGAGGAGGGCGGUGGAGAGAGCUGACCUGCGCCGCCGGAGAGAUGGGGGAAGGAGGAGGGCGGCGGAGUGGGGCUGACCUGCGUCGCCGGCAGGUCCUCCAUUGCGGCCCCGAAUAUCUCACGAAGUCGAGCUUGUGAGCUCUGAAUUAGGGAAUAGAAGGGCAGGUUGCGAGGUGGGCUAGCCAAUAUUGCGGGCUAAUUGAGCGAGUCAAUGCCAUGAGCAUCUGAACAAUGGCAUUCGGGGCCAAUAUCAAUAUCUAGGCCCCAAUAUCAACAUCCAAACGAGGCACACAAGGUUUUGGCAAACACAUCGCAAUCAUCCCCAUCUCCACCAAGAGCGAAGGUGAAAUGAAAUGGGCACAAAGAGCUAAGGUGACCAAGGUAGUUCAUGGAGAUGAUAAUACUAAAUUCUUUCAUAUGAUUGCAAAUGGCAAACAUAGAAAGAAAAAAUAAUCCAACUUGAGCAAGAUGAAGGAACAAUAGUAGGUCAUGAAAACUUAAAAUUAUACAUAUCUGAAUAUUACAAGAAACUAUUUGGGCCUUCAAAAGAGAAGUUGGUCUCACUGGAUGAAAGUUCCAAUCAUGAUAUACCUCAACUUAAUGCGGAUGAGAACGAGGUCUUAUCUGCUCCCUUUACAGAGAAGGAGGUUUAUGAUUCAAUAGCACAAAUGAAACAUAACAAGGCUCCGGGACCAGAUGGGUUCCCAGCAGAGUUUUAUAAAAAGUGUUGGCAUAUUAUUAAAGGUGAUCUCAUGCCUAUGUUCCAUGAUUUAUUCGAGGGUCAUUUGCAGCUUUUCCACCUUAACUUUGGAACAAUUACGUUGUUGCCAAAAAGGGUGGAAGCUAUACGCAUUGAACAGUUUAGACCAACUUGUCUGCUCAAUGUGAGCUCCAGAAUUUUCACAAAGGUGGGCACAAAUAGACUGACGAAGAUAGCACAUUCAGUAGUCCAACCGACACAGACUGUGUUUAUGCCUGGGAGACAUAUCCUUGAGGGGGUUGUCGUUCUUCAUGAAACGUUACACGAAAUUCAUACAAAGAAAUUAGAUGGAAUUAUCUUUAAAGUGGAUUUCGAAAAGGCUUACGAUAAGGUAAAAUGGUAAUUCCUUCAACACGCCUUACGAAUGUAAGGUUUCAAUGAAAGAUGGAGAGAUCAGAUUGAUGCUUUCGUACAAAAAGGGAGUGUAAGAGUUAAAGUAAACGAUGACAUAGGUCAUUAUUUUCAAACACAUAAGGGAUUAAGAUAGGGGGACUCAAUGUCCCUUGUAUUAUUCAACAUAGUUGCCGAUAUGUUGACAAUACUUAUUGCGCGAGCCAAAGAUAAGGGUCAAGUUGGAGGACUCAUUCCACACCUUGUAGAUGGGGGUGUAUCUAUAUUACAAUAUGCGGAUGAUACAAUUAUAUUUAUGGAACACAAUAUGGCUAAAGCAAGGAACAUGAAAUUAUUAUUGUGCUUAUUUGAACAACUAUCGAGGCUCAAAAUUAAUUUUAACAGAAGCGAAAUCUUAUGCUUUGAAAAGGCAAAAGAGGAGCAACAAGCUUAUAGACAGCUAUUUGGUUGUGAACUGGGAUCACUUCCGUUUAGCUAUCUCGAGAUCCCUAUUCAUCAUAGGCGUCUGACAAAUAAAGAAUGGAAAUGUAUCUAAGAAAGAUUUGAGAAAAAAUUAAGUUGAUGGAAGGGCAAACUUAUGUCAUAUGGAGGGAGGCUUGUAUUAAUUAACUCGGUGUUAACAAGCUUACCUAUGUUCUUAUUGUCUUUCUUUGAAAUACCUGUAGGGGUUCGAAAAAGACUAGACUUCUACAGAUCUCGUUUCUUCUGGCAAAGUGAUGAAGCUAGGAAGAAAUACAGAUUAGCUUGGUGGGAUAUUAUAUGUACUCCCAAAGAUCAGGGGGGUUUGGGCAUCGAGAAUUUAGAAGUGAAAAACAAGUGUUUGUUUAGCAAAUGGUUAUAUAGGUUAUCCACAGAAUUUGAAGGAAUGUGGAUUCAAAUACUCCAAAACAAGUACCUGAACUCUAAAACCUUAGCUCAGGUUACAGCUAGACCAAAUGAUUCCCCCUUUUGGAAAGGGCUAAUGAAGAUAAAGAUGAAUUUUUUCAAUAGGGUAAAAUUUAUAGUUGGUAAUGGUGCCUCAACAAGGUUCUGGGAAGAUACUUGGCUUGGGACACACCACUUGCAAUUCAAUUCCCCAUGUUAUACAAUAUAGUACAACGUAAAGAGGAUUAUGUAUCCACGGUACUACAAUCUAUACCGCUUAAUAUGCAGUUCAGGCGUGCUUUAGUAGGAGCUCGUUGGGAUGCAUGGUUGCAUUUGGUUGAAAGAAUCAUGCAAGUGCAUUUAUCUGAACAAUCACAUAGUAUUACGUGGAUUUUAACUAAGAAUGACGUAUUCUUAGUAAAGUCCAUGUAUGAACAUCUGAUAAAUACCGGAAUCAUAGCUAGAUCAUUACCUAUUUGGAAGAUUAAGGUGCCCCUCAGAAUUAAAAAAUUUAUGUGGUUUAUACACAAAGGGGUCAUACUAACCAAACAUAACUUACUUAAGCGCAGUUGGAGAGGAAGGCCUAACCGUUGCUAUUGUGAGCAAAAUGAAACAAUAAGACACCUUUUCAUAGAAUGCCUUCUUGCAAAAUCAUUAUGGAGAACUAUUCAAAUAGCUUUUAAUAUCAGCCCUCCUACAUGUAUGGGUUCAAUAUUUACAAGGUUGUUUAAUGGAGUUGACGUUGAAAUAUCGAAACUUAUCGGAAUUGGGAUAUGUGCUUUGUUUUGGGCAAUAUGGAAUACCAUGAAUGACAUGAUCUUUAAUGGCAAGAACUUCAACAAUUUUUUGCAGGUUAUCUACAGAGCAACGUCUUGGAUCCGUACGUGGUCGUUACUCAGUCUUGCGGAGUACAAGGGUCUUAUGGAUAUUGGGUGCAACCGAUGGGAGAUGGCCGCACGGGUUAUCUUCAACCGAUUUGGAUGGCCUGCUAAUAAUAGACUAGAUGUAUAGACAUCGUAGUCUAAUUUUAGAUACGUCGGAUGUGGCAACUGUUUACUAUUUUGUUCUUGCUUCCUUUUGCACUUCGGGCUUUUUUAGCUCUAUGAACCUAAGAUACUAUUUUAUUUAUCUUUAAUAAUAUGGUUGCAUGCAUCGAUUGAUGCAGAGGCCGGAGGCUCGUUUCCUCCUUAUCAAAAAAAAUCCCCAUCUCCACCUUCGAUGGUCUAUGGGGUUGUGUAUUGCCCCUGGAGUCGACCACUCUAGCCAGGGACGGAUGCAAGGGGGGACGAGGGGGGGCGAGACCCCCCCCCCCCCCCACCCNNNNNNNNNNNNNNNNNNNNNNNNNNNNNNNNNNNNNNNNNNNNNNNNNNNNNNNNNNNNNNNNNNNNNNGGCCCCCCCCCCCCCUAACGAUGCAGUUUUCUCUUUAUAGCGAUUGGGUUUAGCAUAGGUUUUCGCUAAUCACGCGUACUCGUUAUGUGAUUCGCCCCCUCUAUCGGCCUGCCCCUGUGUAACGAACGGCUUAAUGUGAAGCACCUUUGAGCCCAACCCAUGUCUUCUACUGUAGACUAAGCCCAAAAAGAAAACAAAAACCCAAUACAGAAAACAAAGAUCAAGCCAACUAGAUCAUGGUUUCAGGGAUCCACGCACACAUAUGCCACGACUGCAUUUCGACGGUUUCGCGGCCACUACAGAUAGCCGCCUGCCGCCUGAUCCAUCCACUUGCUGCAUCCAAUCUAACUUGAUAACUGCUCAAGGCAGCGAUCUUGCGCGGCCGCGCGGCCGAUCGGCCGGCCGCAAUGGCAGCAUCAGGGAGCAAGGCAAGAAAAAUCGAUAGAUUACUCUGCUUUGUGAUAAAAAAAAUGUAAGCUGUGUCUCUUCUCUUACUUAGUCCACUGUCCAAGAUUUAUGCUGCAAAAUUAGAUUAAUUUGUGCCUUCAGCUUUAGGAGCAGACGAGCAGUUUUUUCAUUGUUUAUCCCUUCUAUAGGAGAAAUGUUCAGUUCAUACAUUUGCAAUUGCUUUCGCAUUUGAGUUGCAGAAACUUUUGACUAAAACUGAAUUGUUCAUAGAUGAUAUCAAUUUUCUUUUGUUCAUAAGAUUUAGCUCAUUAACCUAGGCUUAUGCUCACUCGCAAAAAAAACCUAGUGGGUGAUUUUAUUUACCAGUUUCCACACGCAAAAUCUCGCCCCCCCCCCCUAUGGUAAAACCCUGCCUCCGUCCCUGACUCUAGCUGGCCUUACAUUUUACUAGAUGUUCCAACAUCAUAAUAACCCCGACAAAUCAAUAGUUAUAUACUUCCUCCGUUCUUAAAUAUAAGUCUUUUAAGAUAUUUCACUAAGAGUCUACAUACGGAGCAAAAUGAGUAAAUCUACACUUCAAAGUAUGUCUAUAUACAUCCGUAUGUGAUUCACUAAUGAAAUCUCUUUAAAGACUUAUAUUUAAGAACGGAGGGAGUAUAUAGUAAUAAAUGAGAUAUUACUUCUGACUGUACGUAUGAAAAUUGUUCUUAAAGUUGUAAAUUUUUCCGUAUUAUCGAUCAUCAUCAUCAUCAUGCAACCAAAGCGUCUUUGUGAUUGUCGUACGUGCUGAAUUACCAAGUUCGGCGCCUUCUGAAUGUCUCCGUUACAAUACAAAUCAACGCCUAUCCCGAGUCAAGUCCGUUUUCAUGAUGGUCCCUCGAGGGAAAAAAAAGUUCGUUUUCGCGGGUACGUACGAUCGAUGGAGACGGUGCAGCCAAGUGGGAGUGGAGUUGUAAUUCAUUACCGCCGCUCGGACAGCUAAAGUAGUACAGAAAUAUCUCCCUUCGUCGAGAUAUUUUGAUUCAGUUGUUACCAGAAACUCAUAAAUGACAUACAGAAGAAGUAUCGUGUGUCAGCUUUAUUUUUUUGCUGGAAUAAAACUUCUAUUACCCAAAUUGUCGCAUGAUUACAAUCAGCCAAAGACAGCUCAAGAGCAAGGGUCCAGAACCUAGCCAAGUAACAGUUCUUCCCUCUAUGGGGCAAAAUUAGCUAGACAUUCACUAACCUUAUUCUGAGAUCUACUCCCUCCGUACCGGAAUAUAAGUCGCUCGAGUAGCCAACUUUAGCUACUCCAACGACUUACAUUCCGGUAUAGAGGAAGUACUUAUAUGAGUAAUUCAAGUUUUACGGGGACGUGGAGUUUCUACAUGUGAGCUCAUAUGCACUUGAUACAAACAAUAAAAUAAAUAAUCAUUUCAAAAAAAUAAAAUAAAAAUGAUGGAAUACUUAAAGAAAUGUUUGUUUUGCAUGCAAAAUUUCAUCAUGAAAUGGCACUGGUGGAAGGCAUGGUAAAAAAAACAAAAUCGGUGCUCUCUAAAUAUUACUUUCAAACGCAUUUUUUUAGCUUUUUUUUCCUACGACUUCCAACAUAUGAUUUCGUGGUGAAAUUUUGCAUGUACAACAAACAUUUUACUGUUCACACCUAAACCUAUGAGCUCAGGUGUAGAGAGGCACUAUCGGUUCUACGGAGACUUUGCAAGUGAUGGAUUUUCCUCACCAAAGGAGCAUAAGUCUAUCUAUCUAUAUCGCUUUUUUAAAUAGACUUUUGUCCCGCUAUAUUAAUAUAGCAACCGUGAGAUACAUUAAUGAGUUUCAUACUGGGGUAAACAACACAAUCUAUACUAUUAAUCUAUCUAUACUAUUAAAGGGGGAUUUGCCGUCGUGAUGGUUCGACCUCCUUCGAUCCCCCUCCUGUCACUAGGUCCUCCCUCCCACGUUCUCCCAUAGUUUUUUUCGAUCCUUCCGAAAACCGCAUGCAAGGAAACAAAAAACCCAGCGGUCCGUCGUGGUUCAACCUUCCGUGUCAUCCCUCGAACGACUCCUUCGUAAAAGAAUCGACCUCGUCGCACAUCAGACGUCCCUUCCACCUCUCUUCCCUUCCCGCACUGUUCAAAAAUCAACGCAGAAAAAAGGAGGAAACCAGCAGAUCAACCCGCCCGGCGCCCCACGACCCCCACCCACAUCCCGUCACCAAACUUUGCCACACCAGCGCAUCUCGUCUGCGCAGCAGCCGUGCCGCCCCCCUUCUCCUCCUCCCCUCGCCGCCUCCCAUUCGCGUCCUCCGGGCAAAGCCCACGCGCGGACCCGACGGCGAUGAGGCCUAUGUCGAGCGGCUCGGCUGCGAGAGGGGGCGCGGUGAGGUGGGCCGGGGAGAGCACAUAGGACAUGAAGUCGCCGAAGGUGGCCUUGGCCGGAACGAGGGCGAGCUUGCGGGCGCGCGUACGCACCGUCCGAGCCCAGGAUGGGGCGAGGCAUCGUGGCAGGCCUUGGCGUUUGCGCCGAAGGAGCCGGGAAUGGCCACGAGGCGUCGUGGUGGAGGACGAUAAGGCGGCCGGCGUGCUUGCUUUGGCCAAGACGUCGGGGCAGAGGACGAUAUGGUGGCAGGCGUGCUCGCUUCCGAGGAUGGAGGCCGCCUCGCCGGGGCUCGGGCGGGGCAGCACGGCGUUCGGCCAUUGCCAGUGGUGCCAGGGCCAGGCGGUGGUUUGAAGGGCGACACAUAGGAGGUGUUGUCCUCGAUCCAGCGACCAGCGCAGGUUUGUUCCUCCUUCAAUUUUCUUUCACAUCAAAGCAAUUAGAGAAUUUAAGGGAGGUUGAGUUGGGGUCGCCGAUGAGUGGAUAAAGGGGUGGUGGCAGCGAUGUGGCUGAAGGUGGGGAUGCACUUGAAGGGAUGAACUUCUGCUUUAGGGAGAGAGCAGAGGGCAUGCUGGGCGCUGCUGCUUGAGAGAUAGAGAUAGAUGAGGAAGAGAGAGAGAGCACAAAGAUGAGAGAUAGAGAGCAGAGAUAGAUGCUAAUUGACACAUAUUUAGAUAAAGGGCUUGCCGGAUCUGCUGCUUGCCGCUGCUGAUAUAUAUGUAGAGAGAACAGAGGAGAGAUAGGGUUCGAUGCUGAUUUGCUCUUGUGGAGAAAAACAAGAGAGAUAGGUGAGCAAGAGAGAGAAAGCAGAUAGAUGAUAGGGAGGGAGGGAGGGACACUGAUUGCUGCACAUUUUGAUAGAUGUAUGGUGCUUCUUGUAUGACGUAUGAUGCUACUAAUUAAUGCACGUUUAGAUAGAGAAUAGAGAUGUAGCUUGCUACUGAUUGUUGUUGUUAUUGCUCGAGUCUCAUCAAUCAAUUUAUAUCUAAUAAUAAAAAGUAACAAUUUAUAUCUAGAUAAUUUGCAUCUGUCAUCAAGAGAAAAGACAUCACUGAAUCCUUUGGAUUCUAAUUGUAAGGUUAAAUAAUUUUGUGUGUGUUCUAACUCUCUAGGAUAAUCUACAGUUAUCUGGCUCGUCGUCAUGCCGCAAGUUUCCGACAUAGCUCUAUACAGUCUCACCGUUCUAUCAACUCUGCAGUAUGCCCGUACUCCAUAUUAUCUAAAUUAACUAUGCUUGUUGUAGAAGCAGGCACAUUUUUAUAGCAGGUUUAGGCUUUAAGCUUAUGUUUGAGGCAGUCUUGGUGCGAAUCUACUUUAUCUACCCCUUUAACUUUAAUUCUCAUUGAUGAUUUAUGUGACCUUUUUUUUCCUGUAUCUCCUUAGGAUGUUCUGAAGUUAAAACAAAAAGCAAUGGCAACUGAUGAACGGCACAUUGAUCCUUCCUUUCCAUGUAUGGUAUGGCUUCAGCACCACUAGGAACAAAGUGGUAAACCGAUUGAUAUAAUUACAAUCUUUGGAGUUCUGUAUAAAAUACUAACAUGGUGUUCUUCUUGUUCAGGUUUGCAAAAACUAUACACGUGCAUACUUGCAUUGUCUUGUCACGAAAGAUCCUAUGGGCUCUCAACUGCUGUCAUAUCACAAUUUAUCAUUUAUGAUGCGGGUACCCUGUCAAUAUUUUUUUUCCGAUUAGUUCAUUUUGAGCACCAUCAGCUAUUGUUUGAUCACUCUCAUUUCUGUUUCAGUUAAGUAGAGAUCUCCACAUAUCGAUUCUUGAAGGACGAUUUCCAGAGUAUGUUGUCUCAUUCGACAUAAAUCUGCCUGAUUUGUCAGUGAAAUAGUGUGUUGGUAAAUAACGAAAUUCUGCUGACAUGUUGCAGAUUCGUGAGAGGAUUCUUGAGGGUGCGGGUUUGUCUUGUUCUCCAAUCUCUAUUCUAUCAUAUAUGCUUGAACCAAAAAUAGCCGAGCAACAAACUACUCCCUUGUUUCAUCUGCUACCCAAUCAUCUACAAAGCCAAAAACCAUACCCUGUUUUGUUAUUAUGUUUCUUAAUAGUUUGAGUUACCCGUAAACACUCAAAUCAUGAUGAUGACAGUUCCCGAAGGGCGACGUGCCAGAGUGGGUUCACAAUGCAAUGGAGGUUGUCGGCAUUGACAUAUCGGAGUGCUGCACCCCGACCAAUUGUCAGCAUGACGCAAUGGAGGCCGCUGGCGUCGACAUAGCGGAGUUUUGCCUGCCGACCAAGUGCCCCUGACGCGGAACGCUCGGGGGCAUUCAUUACAGAAAUGAGACGCGUUUUCACGAGGUUUUGCUUUAGAUUGGGUUUCAGGUAAACACGGAAAAGGUACAACUGUAGGAGUGAACACAAUAUUCUGCCUGAAUAACUUUUGUGGCAUUCGUAUGCUUUUGUUAUGCAAUGUGCAUUGCUUCUAUUGUGGUCAUAGAAGGGGAGGUGGAUGCUUGAGCUAUAGGUGCUUAAGUUAUUUUGAGAACUGAAAAAGUGAGCGUCUGCUUGUAAAAAUGUUGUUGACAUAAGAGGCUUCAUGACUCAUCUUCAUAGGAUGUUCUAAUCUUCUAGCCAUGUGAUGGUGGUAGUAUAGCGAGUGAUGAUUGGCAUGUAUUGUGUGCGUGCUUGGUUCAAUUUAUUUUGGUUCAGUUACUUAUUAUGUUGAUAUUUGAAGUUUCAGGAGUGCUAAACUUAGCAUCUUGAUUAUUGAGUAUGGUGUUGUUGUUGUCAUAAAUUCUAUCAGUCGGCACCUUUCGCGCUUUUAGUGUAAUUGAGGUGUUGGAUCGAACAUACAAUUCCUUACAUCUAAAUCUAUUUACUAGCACCGCUAUGGGUCUCCUCUUACAUUAUCGGAUCACUUUUGACAUCAUAACUGUAUUUUGUUUUUGUAAUGUGAAGACCGCGAAAAGCAGUCGUUACCAUUGUAGUAUUGUUACUAUUUGUGCACCAGGUGCCAAUGAAGUGAAGAAAGCAGUCAAGACCUUUGAUGUGAUGGAGAGGUUUAAAGUGGAAGCGGACCAAACUGUAUUUUAUUCCCUUCUUCGUGCUCUUUGCAGAAGUGAAAACAUAGAAGAUGCUGAGGAGUUGCUUCUUGCAAGAAGAAAAAUUUUCCCACUCACAGCAGAAGGUUUCAAUAUAAUACUUGAUGGUUGGUGUAACAUAUUCACCGAUCUGGCCGAAGUAAAGAGAAUUUGGAGAGAAAUGUCAAAUUGCUGCAUUACUCAUGAUGGUACAUCUUAUGCUCUCAUGGUCUGAUGUUUCUCUAAGGUAGGUAACCUUUUUGAUACUCUGAGGGUUUACGAUGAGAUGAAGAAGAGGGGUUGGAGUCCUCGUAUUGAUGUCUAUAACCAACUUAUUUAUGUUUUGACAAGAGAGAAUUGCGUGAAGGUGUACAACGAGUGCGCGGCGGAGCUUCGGGUGGGCGUGGAGGGGGAGUUCCACGUGGGGCGGGAGAGCGUGGACGAGUACUGCGGCAGGGCCUGCUUUGUCGAGACGGAGAUGGCGCUGCGGUGCGUGAAGGAGGUCACCCACGACAGCUUCACCUUCUCCAACGGCGCCUCGUUGUUCGACGUGAAGCAGGCGCUCGGCAGCGGCUGCAGCUACACGCCCGAAAGAGGAACCUUCGACAUACGUGAGCGCAGGGAGUGCCGCGACGAGUACGGUUACGUCUACGACGGCACGCACGAGCAACUCGGCUAUGACGAAGAGUGUUGGAAAUAUGCCCUAGAGGCAAUAAUAAAAUGGUUAUUAUCAUAUUUCCUUGUUCAUGAUAAUCGUCUAUCGUUCAUGCUAUAAUUGUAUUAACAGGAAACAGUAAUACAUGUGUGAAUGAAUAGAUCACAAUGUGUCCCUAGCAAGCCUCUAGUUGGCUCUCGUUAGUCAAUAGAUGAUCAUGGUUUCCUGAUCAUGGACAUUGGAUGUCAUUGAUAACGGGAUCACAUCAUUGGGAGAAUGAUGUGAUGGACAAGACCCAAUCCUAAGCCUAGCACUAGAUCGUAUUGUUUGUAUGCUAAUGCUUUUAUAAUGUCAAGUAUCUUUUCCUUUGACCGUGAGAUUGUGCAACUCCCGGAUACCGUAGGAGUGCUUUGGGUGUAUCAAACGUCACAACGUAACUGGGUGACUAUAAAGGUGCACUACGGGUACCUCCGAAAGUGUCUGUUGGGUUGGCACGAAUCGAGAUCGGGAUUUGUCACUCCGUGUGACGGAGAGGUAUCUCUGGGCCCACUCGGUAGAACAUCAUCAUGAGCUCAAUGUGACUAAGGAGUUAGUCACACGAUGAUGUGCUACGGAACGAGUAAAGAGACUUACCGGUAACGAGAUUGAACAAGGUAUAGGUAUACCGACGAUCGAAUCUCGGGCAAGUUCUAUACCGACAGACAAAGGGAAUCGUAUACGGGAUUGAUUGAAUCCUUGACAUCGUGGUUCAUCCGAUGAGAUCAUCGUGGAGCUAGUGGGAGCCACCAUGGGUAUCCAGACCCCGCUGAUGGUUAUUGGCCAGAGAGGUGUCUCGGUCAUGUCUGCCUGUCUCCCGAACCCGUAGGGUCUACACACUUAAGGUUCAAUGACGCUAGGGUUAUAGGGAAUUGUUAUACGAGAUUACCGAAAGUUGUUCGGAGUCCCGGAUGAGAUCUCGGACGUCACGAGGAGCUCCGGAAUGGUCCGGAGGUAAAGAUUGAUAUAUAGGACGGAUGGUUUCGGACACCGGAAGUGUUUCGGGCAUCACCGGUAACGUACCGGGACCACCGGGACCACCGGAGGUGGUCCCGGGGGGCCACCGAAAGGGGGUGACGACCCCGGGAGGCUAGAUGGGCUAAGUGGGUAAGGGAACUAGCCCCUAAGUGGGCUGGUGCGCCCCCCACCCAGCCCAUGUGCACGAGAAAAAAGGGGAGAGGGGGGAACCCUAACUUAGGUGGGCCUUAGGCCCACCAGAGGGGUGCGCCACCCCUCCUCCCUCAUCUGGCCGCCACACCCCCCAUCUGGGAGGGCUGCCGCACCCCCUAGGGUGGGAACCCUAGGGGUGGCACCCCCUCUCCCCUUCCCCUAUAUAUAGUGGGCACUUUUGGCCUUUGGAGGACACGGUUUUCCCUCUCCCUCGGCGCAGCCCUGCACUUCUUCCUCCUCCUCUGUGCCGGCGCUUGGCGAAGCCCUGCCGGGAGACCUCGUCUCUCCACCAACACCACGCCGUCGUGUUGCUGGUCUUCUUCCCCAACCUCUCCCUCCUCCUUGCUGGAUCAAGGUGCGGGAGACGUCACCGGGCUGCACGUGUGUUGAACGCGGAGGUGUCGUUGUUCGGCACUAGAUCGGAAUCGCUGCGAGUACGACUCCAUCAACCGCGUUCUAGCAACGCUUCCGCUUAGCGAUCUUCAAAGGUAUGAAGAUGCUCUUACCCCUCUCUCGUUGCUGGUCUCUCCAUAGGAAGAUCUGAACAUGCGUAGGAAAAUUUUGAAUUUAUGCUACGUUACCCAACAGUGGCAUCCGAGCCAGGUUUUCUAUGCGUAGAUUCCAUGCACGAGUAGAACACAAAAGUUGUGGGCGAUGGUUUGUCAAUUUGCUUGCCGUUACUAGUCUUAUUCUUUUCCGGCGUUAUUGUGGGAUGAAGCGGCCCGGACCGACCUUACACGUACGCUUACGUGAGACUAGUUCCACCGACAAACAUGCACAUCGUGCAUAAAGGUGGCUAGCGGGUGUCUGUCUCUCCUACUCUAGUCGGAUUGGAUUUUAUGAAAAGGGUCCUUAUGAAGGGUAAAUAGCUUUGGCAUAUCAUUGUUGUGGCUGUCACGUAGGUAAUAAGGUGUUCUUGCUAGAAACCCAAAUCAGCCACGUAAAACUUGCAACAACAAUUAGAGGACGUCUAACUUGUUUUUGCAGGGUUUGACAUGUGAUGUGAUAUGGCCAAAGUUGUGAUGUUGCAUGUAUGAUGUAUGAGAUGAUCAUGUUAUUGUAAUAGGUUUCACGACUUGCAUGUCGAUGAGUAUGACAACCGGCAGGAGCCAUAGGAGUUGUCUUAAUUUAUUGUAUGAGAUGCAACGCCAUGUGCUUACUACUUUUACUUCAUUGCUAACGGUUAGCCAUAGUAGUAGUGAUAGUAGUAGUUGGCGUGACGACUUCACGGAGACACGAUGAUGGAGAUCAUGGUGUCACGCCGGUGACGAUGAUGAUCAUGCGAUGCCUGAAGAUGGAGAUCGAAAGAGCAAAGAUGAUAAUGGCCAUAUCAUGUCACUGUAUGAUUGCAUUGUGAUGUUUAUCAUGUUUUACAUCUUAUUGCUUAAAACGGCGGUAGCAUAAUAAGAUGAUCCCUCUUAAAAUUUCGAGAACGUAUUCCCCUAAGUGUGCACCGUUGCGAAGGUUCGUUGUCUCGAAGCACCACGUGAUGAUCGGGUGUGAUAGAUUCUAACGUUCGCAUACAACGGGUGUAAGCCAGAUUUACACACGCGAAACACUUAGGUUGACUCGACGAGCUUAGCAUGUACAGACAUGACCUCGAAUACAAGAGACUGAAAGGUCGAACAUGAGUCGUAUGGUUGAAUACGAUCAGCAUGAAGUUGCUCACCAUAGUGACUAGUCCGUCUCACGUGAUGAUCGGACACGGGUUAGUCAACAUGGAUCGUGUAUCACUUAGAUGACUAGAGGGAUGUCGAUUUAAGUGGGAGUUCAUACUUAAUUUGAUUAAAUGAACUUAAUUGUCAUGAACUUAGUCUAAAAGUUGUCUUUAUAAAUAUUGUAGAUGUCCAACGUCAACCUCAACUUCAACGCAUUCCUAGAGAAAAACAAGCUGAAAGAUGAUGGUAGCAACUAUGCGGACUGGGUUCGCAACCUGAAGCUCAUCCUUGAAGCAGCUAAAAAGGCUUAUGUCCUUAAUGCGCCGCUAGGUGACCCUCCCGCUCCCGCAGCAGCGCAGGACGUUCUAAACGUCUGGCAAGCGCGGAGUGAUGACUACUCUCUGGUCAGGUGUGGCAUGUUAUACAGUUUGGAAACGGGGCUCCAAAGACGUUUUGAGCAACACGGGGCAUAUGAGAUGUUCCAAGAGCUGAAGCUAGUUUUUCAAGCUCAUGCCCGUGUCGAGAGAUAUGAAGUCUCCUACAAGUUCUUCAGCUGUAAGAUGGAGGAGAACAGUUCUGUCAGUGAGCACAUACUCAAAAUGUCUGGGUUACACGGUCGUCUGACUUCACUUGGAGUCGAACUUCCGGAUGAUGCUAUCAUUGACAGAAUCCUCCAGUCUCUCCCACCAAGCUACAAAGGCUUUGUGCUUAACUACAACAUGCAAGGGAUGGAGAAAACCAUUCCCGAGUUGUACUUGAUGCUCAAGUCUGCAGAAGUAGAAAUCAAGAAGGAGCAUCAAGUGUUGAUGGUCAACAAGACCACUAGUUUCAAGAAAGGCAGGGGUAAGAAGAACUUCAAGAAAGACGGCAAAGCUGUUGCCGCGCCCGGUAAGCCAGAUGCCGGGAAGAAGAAAAAGAACGGACCCAAGCCUGAGACUGAGUGCUUCUACUGCAAGGGAAAAGGUCACUGGAAGCGGAACUGCCCCAAAUACUUAGCGGACAAGAAGGCCGGCAACGUUAAAGGUAUAUGUGAUAUACAUGCUAUUGAUGUGUACCUUACCAGCGCUCGUAGUAGCUCCUGGGUAUUUGAUACCGGUGCUGUUGCUCACAUUUGCAACUCAAAGCAGGAACUGCGGAAUAAGCGGAGACUGGCCAAGGACGAGGUGACGAUGCGCGUCGGGAAUGGUUCAAAGGUCGAUGUGAUUGCCAUCGGCACGCUACCUCUACAUCUACCGUUGGGAUUAGUUUUAAACCUUAAUAAUUGUUAUUUAGUACCAGUUUUAAGCAUGAACAUUGUAUCAGGGUCUUGCUUAAUGCGAGACGGCUACUCAUUUAAGUCAGAGAAUAAUGGUUGUUCUAUUUAUAUGAGUGAUAUGUUUUAUGGUCAUGCUCCGCUGGUGAAUGGUUUAUUCUUGAUGAAUCUCGAUCGUGAUGUUACACAUAUUCAUAGUGUGAGUACCAAAAGAUGCAAAGUUGAUAAUGAUAGUCCCACAUACUUGUGGCACUGCCGCCUUGGUCAUAUCGGCGUUAAGCGCAUGAAGAAGCUCCAUACUGAUGGACUGCUAGAGUCUCUUGACUUUGAAUCAUUUGACACAUGCGAACCGUGCCUUAUGGGCAAGAUGACUAAGACUCCAUUCUCAGGAAUAAUGGAGAGAGCAACCGACUUAUUGGAAAUAAUACAUACUGAUGUGUGUGGUCCAAUGAACGCUGAAGCUCGCCGGUGGUUAUCGUUAUGUUCUCACUCUCACCGAUGAUUUGAGUAGGUAUGGGUAUAUCUACUUGAUGAAGCACAAAUCUGAGACGUUUGAAAAGUUCAAGGAAUUUCAGAGUGAGGUUGAGAAUCAACGUGACAGAAAGAUUAAAUGUCUACGAUCUGAUCGUGGAGGAGAAUAUUUGAGUCACGAGUUUGGCACACACCUAAGGAAGUGUGGAAUCGUUUCACAACUAACGCCGCCUGGCACACCGCAGCGCAACGGAGUGUCUGAACGUCGUAAUCGCACCUUAUUAGAUAUGGUACGAUCUAUGAUGUAUCUCACCGACUUACCGCUAUCAUUUUGGGGAUACGCAUUAGAAACUGCAGCAUUCACUUUAAAUAGGGCACCGUCUAAAUCCGUUGAGACGACACCGUAUGAACUGUGGUUUGGCAAGAAACCUAAGUUGUCGUUUCUUAAAGUUUGGGGCUGCGAUGCUUAUGUGAAGAAACUUCAACCAGAAAAGCUCGAACCCAAAGCGGAGAAAUGCGUAUUCAUAGGAUACCCUAAGGAAACUAUUGGGUAUACCUUCUAUCUUAGAUCCGAAGGUAAAACCUUUGUUGCCAAGAACGGAUCCUUUCUAGAGAAAGAGUUUCUAUCGAAAGAAGUAAGUGGAAGGAAGGUAGAACUUGAUGAGGUGAUUACACCCCCUCUCGAACAGGAAAGUAGCGCAGCGCAAGAAGUUGUUCCUGUGGUGCCUACACCGACUGAAGAGGAAGUUAAUGAUGAUGAUCAUGAAGCUUCGGAUCAAGUUACUACUGAACCACGAAGGUCCACAAGGGUACGCUCCGCUCCAGAGUGGUACGGCAACCCUGUGAUGGAAAUCAUGUUGUUAGACAACGGUGAACCUUCGAACUAUGAAGAAGCGAUGGCGGGCCCGGAUUCCAACAAAUGGCUUGAGGCCAUGAAAUCCGAGAUAGGAUCCAUGUAUGAGAACAAAGUAUGGACUUUGGUGGACUUGCCCGAUGACCGGCGAGCCAUAGAAAAUAAAUGGAUCUUCAAGAACAAGACUGAUGCAAACGGUAAUGUAAUCGUUUACAAAGCUCGACUUGUCGCAAAGGGUUUUCGACAAAUUCAAGGAGUUGACCACGAAGAGACUUUCUCUCCCGUAGCGAAGCUGAAAUCAGUCCGAAUCAUGUUAGCAAUUGCCGCCUUUUAUGAUUAUGAAAUUUGGCAAAUGGACGUCAAAACAGCGUUCCUUAACGGGAACCUUAAGGAAGAGUUGUAUAUGAUGCAACCAGAAGGUUUUGUCGAUCCUAAAGGUGCUAACAAAGUAUGCAAGCUCCAACGCUCCAUCUAUGGGCUGGUGCAAGCAUCUCGGAGUUGGAACAUUCGCUUUAAUGAGGUGAUUAAAACGUUUGGGUUCAUACAGGUUUACGGAGAAGCCUGUCUGUACAAGAAAGUGAGUGGGAGCUCUGUAGCUUUCCUCGUACUAUAUGUGGAUGACAUAUUAUUGAUGGGGAAUGAUAUAGAGAUGUUUGAGAGCAUAAAGGCCUAUUUGAACAAGAGUUUUUCAAUGAAGGACCUUGGAGAAGCUGCAUACAUAUUAGGCAUCAAGAUCUAUAGAGAUAGAUCGAGACGCCUCAUGGGUCUUUCGCAAAGUACAUACCUUGACAAGAUAUUGAAGAAGUUCAAUAUGGAAAACUCAAAGAAAGGGUUCUUGCCAGUUUUGCAAGGUAUGAGAUUGAGUAAGACUCAGUCGCCGACCACGGCAGCAGAUAGAGAAAAGAUGAGUUCUGUCCCCUACGCUUCAGCCGUGGGCUCUCUGAUGUAUGCCAUGCUGUGUACCAGACCUGAUAUAAACCUUGCGAUAAGCUUGGUAGGGAGGUACCAAAGUAAUCCCGGUGCGGAACACUGGACAGCGGUCAAGAAUAUCCUUAAGUACCUGAAAAGGACUAAGGAAAUGUUUCUCGUUUAUGGAGGUGACGAAGAGCUCGUCGUAAAGGGUUACGUUGAUGCUAGCUUCGACACAGAUCCGGAUGACUCUAAGUCACAAACCGGAUACGUAUAUGUGUUGAAUGGUGGGGCAGUGAGCUGGUGCAGCAGCAAGCAAGAAGUCGUGGCAACAUCUAGAUGUGAAGCGGAGUACAUAGCUGCUUCAGAAGCGGCGCAUGAAGGAAUUUGGAUGAAGGAGCUCAUCACCGACCUUGGAGUGGUUCCAAGCGCGUCGGGUCCUAUGACACUCUUCUGUGAUAACACUGGAGCCAUUGCCAUAGCCAAAGAGCCCAGGUUUCACCGAAAGACGAAGCACAUCAAGCGCCGCUACAACUCCAUCCAGGGCCAUGUCCAGAGUGGAGUGAUAUAUAUUUGUAAAGUACACACGGAUCUGAAUAUUGCAGACCCGUUGACUAAACCUCUUCCACGAGCAAAACAUGAUCAGCACCAUAAUGCUAUGGGUGUUCGAUACAUCACAAUGUAACUAGAUUAUUGACUCUAGUGCAAGUGGGAGACUGUUGGAAAUAUUCCCUAGAGGCAAUAAUAAAAUGGUUAUUAUCAUAUUUCCUUGUUCAUGAUAAUCGUCUAUCGUUCAUGCUAUAAUUGUAUUAACAGGAAACAGUAAUACAUGUGUGAAUGAAUAGAUCACAAUGUGUCCCUAGCAAGCUUCUAGUUGGCUCUCGUUAGUCAAUAGAUGAUCAUGGUUUCCUGAUCAUGGACAUUGGAUGUCAUUGAUAACGGGAUCACAUCAUUGGGAGAAUGAUGUGAUGGACAAGACCCAAUCCUAAGCCUAGCACUAGAUCGUAUUGUUCGUAUGCUAAUGCUUUUCUAAUGUCAAGUAUCUUUUCCUUUGACCGUGAGAUUGUGCAACUCCCGGAUACCGUAGGAGUGCUUUGGGUGUAUCAAACGUCACAACGUAACUGGGUGACUAUAAAGGUGCACUACGGGUACCUCCGAAAGUGUCUGUUGGGUUGGCACGAAUCGAGAUCGGGAUUUGUCACUCCGUGUGACGGAGAGGUAUCUCUGGGCCCACUCGGUAGAACAUCAUCAUGAGCUCAAUGUGACUAAGGAGUUAGUCACACGAUGAUGUGCUACGGAACGAGUAAAGAGACUUACCGGUAACGAGAUUGAACAAGGUAUAGGUAUACCGACGAUCGAAUCUCGGGCAAGUUCUAUACCGACAGACAAAGGGAAUCGUAUACGGGAUUGAUUGAAUCCUUGACAUCGUGGUUCAUCCGAUGAGAUCANNNNNNNNNNNNNNNNNNNNNNNNNNNNNNNNNNNNNNNNNNNNNNNNNNNNNNNNNNNNNNNNNNNNNNNNNNNNNNNNNNNNNNNNNNNNNNNNNNNNGGGAAUGACAUGCAGGAUUAUAUGAAUCCUUGGCACUGAGGUUCAAACGAUAAGAUCUUCNNNNNNNNNNNNNNNNNNNNNNNNNNNNNNNNNNNNNNNNNNNNNNNNNNNNNNNNNNNNNNNNNNNNNNNNNNNNNNNNNNNNNNNNNNNNNNNNNNNNNNNNNNNNNNNNNNNNNNNNNNNNNNNNNNNNNNNNNNNNNNNNNNNNNNNNNNNNNNNNNNNNNNNNNNNNNNNNNNNNNNNNNNNNNNNNNNNNNNNNNNNNNNNNNNNNNNNNNNNNNNNNNNNNNNNNNNNNNNNNNNNNNNNNNNNNNNNNNNNNNNNNNNNNNNNNNNNNNNNNNNNNNNNNNNNNNNNNNNNNNNNNNNNNNNNNNNNNNNNNNNNNNNNNNNNNNNNNNNNNNNNNNNNNNNNNNNNNNNNNNNNNNNNNNNNNNNNNNNNNNNNNNNNNNNNNNNNNNNNNNNNNNNNNNNNNNNNNNNNNNNNNNNNNNNNNNNNNNNNNNNNNNNNNNNNNNNNNNNNNNNNNNNNNNNNNNNNNNNNNNNNNNNNNNNNNNNNNNNNNNNNNNNNNNNNNNNNNNNNNNNNNNNNNNNNNNNNNNNNNNNNNNNNNNNNNNNNNNNNNNNNNNNNNNNNNNNNNNNNNNNNNNNNNNNNNNNNNNNNNNNNNNNNNNNNNNNNNNNNNNNNNNNNNNNNNNNNNNNNNNNNNNNNNNNNNNNNNNNNNNNNNNNNNNNNNNNNNNNNNNNNNNNNNNNNNNNNNNNNNNNNNNNNNNNNNNNNNNNNNNNNNNNNNNNNNNNNNNNNNNNNNNNNNNNNNNNNNNNNNNNNNNNNNNNNNNNNNNNNNNNNNNNNNNNNNNNNNNNNNNNNNNNNNNNNNNNNNNNNNNNNNNNNNNNNNNNNNNNNNNNNNNNNNNNNNNNNNNNNNNNNNNNNNNNNNNNNNNNNNNNNNNNNNNNNNNNNNNNNNNNNNNNNNNNNNNNNNNNNNNNNNNNNNNNNNNNNNNNNNNNNNNNNNNNNNNNNNNNNNNNNNNNNNNNNNNNNNNNNNNNNNNNNNNNNNNNNNNNNNNNNNNNNNNNNNNNNNNNNNNNNNNNNNNNNNNNNNNNNNNNNNNNNNNNNNNNNNNNNNNNNNNNNNNNNNNNNNNNNNNNNNNNNNNNNNNNNNNNNNNNNNNNNNNNNNNNNNNNNNNNNNNNNNNNNNNNNNNNNNNNNNNNNNNNNNNNNNNNNNNNNNNNNNNNNNNNNNNNNNNNNNNNNNNNNNNNNNNNNNNNNNNNNNNNNNNNNNNNNNNNNNNNNNNNNNNNNNNNNNNNNNNNNNNNNNNNNNNNNNNNNNNNNNNNNNNNNNNNNNNNNNNNNNNNNNNNNNNNNNNNNNNNNNNNNNNNNNNNNNNNNNNNNNNNNNNNNNNNNNNNNNNNNNNNNNNNNNNNNNNNNNNNNNNNNNNNNNNNNNNNNNNNNNNNNNNNNNNNNNNNNNNNNNNNNNNNNNNNNNNNNNAGCACGUGAUGAUGGCCAUAUCAUGUCACUUAUGAAUUGCAUGUGAUGUUAAUCCUUUAUGCACCUUAUCUUGCUUAGAACGAUGGUAGCAUUAUGAGGUGAUCUGUCACUAAAAUUUCAAGACGAAAUUGUGUUCUCCCCGACUGUGCACCGUUGCGACAGUUCUUCGUUUCGAGACACCACGUGAUGAUCGGGUGUGAUAGACUCAACGUUCAGAUACAACGGGUGCAAAAUAGUUGCACACACGGAACACUCGGGUUAAGCUUGACGAGCCUAGCAUGUGCAGACAUGGCCUCGGAACACAUGAGACUGAAAGGUCGAGCAUGAAUCGUAUAGUUGAUAUGAUUAGCAUAGAGAUGCUUACCACUAAAACUAUUCUCGACUCACGUGAUGAUCGGACUUGAGAUAGUGGAUUUGGAUCAUGUACCACUCAAAUGACUAGAGAGAUGUACUUUUUGAGUGGGAGUUCUUAAGUAAUAUGAUUAAUUGAACUAAUUGUCAUGAACAUAGUCUAAUGGUCUUUGCCAAUUACGAUGUAGCUUGCGCUAUAGCUCUACUGUUUUUAUAUGUUUCUAGAGAAAAUUUAGUUGAAAGUUGAUAGUAGCAAACUUUGCAGACUGAGUCUAUAAAACCGAGGAUUGUCCUCGUUGCUGCGUAGAAGGCUUAUGUCCUUAAUGCACCACUCGGUGUGCUGCACCUCGAGCGUCGUCUGUAGAUGUUGUGAACAUCCUACAUACACGUUUCUGAUGACUACACGAUAGUUCAGUGCAAAAUACUGAAUGGCUUAGAAGCAAGGCGCCGAAGAUGUUUUGAAACAUCAUGGAACAUAAGAGAUGUUCUAAAGAGAUGAAAUUGUGAUUUCAUGCCUGUGCCCUUGUUAAGAGGUAUGAGACCUCCGACAAGAUUCUUUGUCCACGAAGUAAAGGAGAAAAUCUCAAUCGUUGAGCAUGUGCUCAGAUUAUGUGAGUACGACAAUCGCUUGAAUCAAGUGGGAGUUGAUCUUCCAGAUAAGAUAGUGAUGGUUCUCCAAAGUCACUGCCACCAAGCUGUGAUUGCUUCGUGAUGAACUAUAACAUAUCAAGGAUAGAUACAAUGAUCCUUGAGCAAUUCGCGAUGUUUGACACUGCGAAAGUAGAAAUCAAGAAGGAGCAUCAAUAGUUGAUGGUUAGUAAAACCACUAAGUUUCAAGAAAGGCAAGGGCUAGAAGGGAUACUUCGUGAAACGGCAAAACAAUUGCUGCACUAAUGAAGAUACCCAAGAUUAAACCCAAACCCGAGACUAAAGUGCUUCUGUAAUGAGGGGAACAGUCACUGAGGCGGAGCAACUCUAGAUACUUGGUAGAUAAGAAGGCUGGCAAAAGUCGAAAGAAGUAUAUUUGAUAUACAUGAUGUUGAUGUGUACUUUACUAGUACUCCUAGUAGCACGAGGGUAUUGGAUACCAGUUCGGUUGCUAAGUGAUUAGUAACACGAAAUAAAAGCUAUGGCAUAAACGGAGACUAGCUAAAGGCAUGAUCGGGUGUGAUAGACUCAACGUUCACAUACAACGGGUGCAAAAUAGUUGCACACACGGAACACUCGGGUUAAGCUUGACGAGCCUAGCAUGUGCAGACAUGGCCUCGGAACACAUGAGACUGAAAGGUCGAGCAUGAAUCGUAUAGUUGAUAUGAUUAGCAUAGAGAUGCUUACCACUAAAACUAUUCUCGACUCACGUGAUGAUCGGACUUGAGAUAGUGGAUUUCGAUCAUGUACCACUCAAAUGACNNNNNNNNNNNNNNNNNNNNNNNNNNNNNNNNNNNNNNNNNNNNNNNNNNNNNNNNNNNNNNNNNNNNNNNNNNNNNNNNNNNNNNNNNNNNNNNNNNNNCGAUGAUCUCGGCCUUCUUGAUCCAGCAAGAGAGACGGAGAGGUAGAUGAGUUCUCCGGCAGCGUGACGUCGCUCCGGAGGUUGGUGGUGAUCUUAUCUCAGCAGGGCUCCGCCCGAGCUCCGCAGAAACGCGAUCUAGAGGUAAAACCGUGGAGGUAUGUGGUCGGGCUACCGUGGCAAAGUUGUCUCAAAUCAGCCCUAAAACCUCCGUAUAUAUAGGUGGGAGAGGGGGGCCUUGCCUUGGGGCUCAAGGAGCCCCAAGGGGGUCGGCCGAGCCAAGGGGGGAGUCCUCCCCUUCCAAACCGAAUCCAACUAGGUUUGGAAGGUGGAGUCCUUCCCCUUUUUCCCACCUCCCCUUUUUUUCUCUUUGAUCUUCUUCCUAUGGCGCAUAGGGCCUUCUUGGGCUGUCCCACCAGCCCACCAAGGGCUGGUGCGCCACCCCCAAGGCCUAUGGGCUUCCCCGGGGUGGGUUGCCCCCCCCCCCCGGUGAACACCCGGAACCCAUUCGUCAUUCCCGGUACAUUCCCGGUAACUCCGAAAACCUUCCGGUAAUCAAAUGAGGUCAUCCUAUAUAUCAAUCUUCGUUUCCGGACCAUUCCGGAAACCCUCGUGACGUCCGUGAUCUCAUCCGGGACUCCGAACAACAUUCGGUAACCAACCAUAUAACUCAAAUACGCAUAAAACAGCGUCUAACCUUAAGUGUGCAGACCCUGCGGGUUCGAGAACUAUGCAGACAUGACCCGAGUGACUCCUCGGUCAAUUUCCAAUAGCGGGACCUGGAUGCCCAUAUUGGAUCCCACAUAUUCUAUGAAGAUCUUAUCGUUUUUCCGAACCAUUCCGGAAACCCUCGUGAUGUCCGUGAUAUCAUCCGGGACUCCGAACAACAUUCGGUAACCAACCAUAUAACUCAAAUACGCAUAAAACAAUGUCGAACCUUAAGUGUGCAGACCAUGCGGGUUCGAGAACUAUGUAGACAUGACCCGAGAGACUCCUCGAUCAAUAUCCAAUAGCGGGACCUAGAUGCCCAUAUUGGAUCCUACAUAUUCUACGAAGAUCUUAUCGUUUGAACCUCAGUGCCAAGGAUUCAUAUAAGCGUCUAACCUUAAGUGUGCAGACCCUGCGGGUUCGAGAACUAUGCAGACAUGACCCGAGUGACUCCUCGGUCAAUUUCCAAUAGCGGGACCUGGAUGCCCAUAUUGGAUCCCACAUAUUCUAUGAAGAUCUUAUCGUUUGAACCUCAGUGCCAAGGAUUCAUAUAAUCCCNNNNNNNNNNNNNNNNNNNNNNNNNNNNNNNNNNNNNNNNNNNNNNNNNNNNNNNNNNNNNNNNNNNNNNNNNNNNNNNNNNNNNNNNNNNNNNNNNNNNGGAGAGGAUCAUGAAGCUUCGGAUCAAGUUACUACUGAACUACGAAGGUCCACAAGGGCAUGCUCCGCACCAGAGUGGUACGACAACCCUGUGAUGGAAAUCAUGUUGUUGGACAACGGUGAACCUUCGAACUAUGAAGAAGCGAUGGCGGGCCCGGAUUCCAACAAAUGGCUUGAAGCUAUGAAAUCCGAGAUAGGAUCCAUGUAUGAGAACAAAGUAUGGACUUUGGUGGACUGGUGUGCAAGCUCCAGCGCUCCAUCUAUGGGCUGGUGCAAGCAUCUCGGAGUUGGAACAUUCGCUUUAAUGAGGUGAUUAAAGCGUUUGGGUUCAUACAGGUUUACGGAGAAGCCUGUCUGUACAAGAAAGUGAGUGGGAGCUCUGUAGCUUUCCUCAUACUGUAUGUGGAUGACAUAUUAUUGAUGGGGAAUAAUAUAGAGAUGUUGGAGAGCAUAAAGGCCUAUUUGAACAAAAGUUUUUCAAUGAAGGGCCUUGGAGAAGCUGCAUACAUAUUAGGCAUCAAGAUCUAUAGAGAUAGAUCAAGACGCCUCAUAGGUCUUUCGCAAAGUACAUACCUUGACAAGAUAUUGAAGAAGUUCAAUAUGGAAAACUCAAAGAAAGGGUUCUUGCCAGUUUUGCAAGGUAUGAGAUUGAGUAAGACUCAGUCGCCGACCACGGCAGCAGAUAGAGAAAAGAUGAGUUCUGUCCCCUACGCUUCAGCCGUGGGCUCUCUGAUGUAUGCCAUGCUGUGUACCAGACCUGAUAUAGAAGAUGAGUUAUGUCCCCUACGCAUCAGCCGUGGGAUCUCUAAUAUAUACCAUGCUGUGUACCAGACCUGAUAUAAACCUUGCCAUAAGCUUGGUAGGGAGGUACCAAAGUGAUCCCGGUAUGGAACACUGGACAGCGGUCAAGAAUAUCCUUAAGUACUUGAAAAGGACUAAGGAAAUGUUUCUCGUUUAUGGAGGUGACGAAGAGCUCGUCGUAAAGGGUUACGUUGAUGCUAGCUUCGACACAGAUCCGGAUGACUCUAAGUCACAAACCGGAUACGUAUAUGUGUUGAAUGGUGGGGCAGUGAGCUGGUGCAGCAGCAAGCAAGAAGUCGUGGCAACAUCUAGAUGUGAAGCGGAGUACAUAGCUGCUUCAGAAGCAACUCAUGAAGGAAUUUGGAUGAAGGAGCUCAUCACCGACCUUGGAGUGGUUCCAAGCGCGUCGGGUCCAAUGACACUCUUCUGUGAUAACACUGGGGCCAUUGCCAUAGCCAAGGAGCCCAGGUUUCACCGGAAGACGAAGCACAUCAAACGCCGCUACAACUCCAUCCAGGACCAUGUCCAGAGUGGAGUGAUAGAUAUUUGUAAAGUACACACGGAUCUGAAUAUUGCAGACCCGUUGACUAAACCUCUCCCACAAGCAAAACAUGAUCAACACCAUAAUGCUAUGGGUUUUCGAUACAUCACAAUGUAACUAGAUUGUUGACUCUAGUGCAAGUGGGAGACUGUUGGAAAUAUGCCCUAGACGCAAUAAUAAAAUGGUUAUUAUCAGAUUUCCUUGUUCAUGAUAAUUGUCUAUUGUUCAUGCUAUAAUUGUAUUAACGGGAAACAGUAAUACAUGUGUGAAUGAAUAGAUCACAAUGUGUCCCUAGCAAGCUUCUAAUUGGCUAGCUCGUUAGUCAAUAGAUGAUCAUGGUUUCCUGAUCAUGGGCAUUAGAUGUCAUUGAUAACGGGAUCACAUCAUUGGGAGAAUGAUGUGAUGGACAAGACCCAAUCCUAAGCAUAGCACUAGAUCGUAUUGUUCGUAUGCUAAAACUUUUCUAAUGUCAAGUAUCUUUUCCUUCGACCGUGAGAUUGUGCAACUCCCGGAUACCGUAGGAGUGCUUUGGGUGUAUCAAACGUCACAACGUAACUGGGUGACUAUAAAGGUGCACUACGGGUAUCUCCGAAAGUUUCUGUUGGGUUGGUACGAAUCGAGAUCGGGAUUUGUCACUCCAUGUGACGGAGAGGUAUCUCUGGGCCCACUCGGUAGAACAUAAUCAUGAGCUCAAUGUGACUAAGGAGUUAGUCACACGAUGACGUGCUACGGAACGAGUAAAGAGACUUACCGUAACGAGAUUGAACAAGGUAUAGGUAUACCGACGAUCGAAUCUCGGGCAAGUUCUAUACCGACAGACAAAGGGAAUUGUAUACGGGAUUGAUUGAAUCCUUGACAUCGUGGUUCAUCCGAUGAGAUCAACAUGGAGCAAGUGGGAGCCACCGUGGGUAUCCAGACCCCACUGAUGGUUAUUGGCCGGAGAGGUGUCUCGGCCAUGUUUGUCUGUCUCCCGAACCCGUAGGGUCUACACACUUAAGGUUCGAUUACGCUAGGGUUAUAGGGAAUUGUUAUACAAGGUUAUCGAAAGUUGUUCGGAGUCCCGGAUGAGAUCCUGGACGUCACGAGGAGCUCCGGAAUGGUCUGGAGGUAAAGAUUGAUAUAUAGGACGGAUGGUUUUGGACACCGGAAGUGUUUCGGGCCUCGUCGGUAACGUACCGGGACCACCGGAGGUGGCCCUGGGGGUCCACCGGAAGGGGGCCACGACCCCGAGAGGCUAGAUGGGCCACGUGCGGGAGGGAACCAGCCCCUAGGUGGGCUGGUGCGCCCCCACACUCAGCCCAUGGCGUAAGAAGAGGGGAGAGGGGGAAACCCUAGCGCAGGUGGGCCUAAGGCCCACCAGAAGGGUGCGCCACCCCUCCUCCCCCUCCUGGCCGCCGCACCUCCUCCCAUCUAGGGAUGCCGCCCCUCCCAGGAGAGGGAAACCCUCAAGGGGGCGCAGCCCCUCCCUCCCCCUAUAUAUAGUGGGCACUUUGGGCUGUUGGAGACACCAAUCUUCCUCUCCCUCGGCGCAACCCUGCUCUUCUUUCUCCUCCUCUUUGUCGGUGCUUGGCGAAGCCCUGCCGGGAGACCUCGUCUCUCCAUCGACACCACGCCGUCAUGCUGCCGGAGAUCUUCCCCAACCUCUCUCUCCUCCUUGCUGGAUCAAGGUGCGGGAGACGUCACCGGGCUGCACGUGUGUUGAACGCGGAGGUGCCGUGGUUCGGCACUAGAUCGGAAUCACACCGCGAUCUGAAUUGCCGCGAGUACGACUCCAUCAACCGCGUUCUAGCAACGCUUCCGCUUAGCGAUCUUCAAAGGUAUGAAGAUGCAUUCACCCCUCUCUCGUUGCUGGUCUCUCCAUAGGAAGAUCUGAAUAUGGGUAGAAUUUUUUUUUUUGAAUUUAUGCUACGUUACCCAACAGAUUUUACCUUGCUGAAAACCACUUGUCAGAUCCUUCUGCUCCUCGUUGGGUUCAACACUCUUACUUAUCGAAAGGACUACGAUUGAUCCUCUAUACUUGUGGGUCAUCACCCACCACCCAGGCGGUCUCCUCGCGGCCUAGGGGGGCCGGGCCAGCAGGUCACCUGGGUGACCUGUGGCCCCCAUCCGACCCUUCUUUGGCCUGUCUUUCGGAUCUGUUUGGAAACUUCUUCCCUCAAAAUUUCAGCGCAAUUGGAGAUGUUCUGAUAUUGCAACUCUUCAUGCUAUUUUCUCCGUUGAAUCCCGCAUCUGCUGUUUCGGCACCGGAAAGUUGUAAACUGUGUAAAAUAAGCCAAAACACUAUAAGUACACCAUCAUAAAGUGAAAUAUAUUAAUGAAUAGAGACAAAUUAUGAUGCAAAAUAGUGAUGCAUUUUGGACGUAUCACACAAUUACCACAAUGUAUCUCAAGGAUAGUCAAAGACAAGCACCAAGAGACUCUCAAUCUUCAAUCAGUUCACAAAAGAGGAAAUCACUCAUGAAAAUAUUCUUGUAAUCCAUGUCCAAUAGACCGCUAUCACCAUGGUCUCAGGGAUUAUACUAGAUGAGAUCAAGUGAGUACAUCAAUCCAAUACAUAGAAGAAGGGGAAACAUCAUGGGAUCACCCUAGGUUAACAUAGCCUAUGAGAACAAUCAAGAUCACAUCAUGGGAGAGAGAAUUAACCACAUAGCUACUAUAGAAGACCUCAGCCCCGAGGAGGAACUACUCCCUCUUCAUGGAGGGAGGAAGCAACGUCGAUGGAGAUGAAUCCGGGGGCACUUCCCCAUCCCAGAAGGGUGCCGACACAGGAAUUUUGGUCCCCCAAAACUUGUUGGCGAUGGCGGCGGAGAUCGGAAUUGCUUUUGGAGAAAAGGGUUCCGGAAUCAGGGUUUCCUCCACGAGGGUAAAAAUGGGAGCCAAGGUAGGGCACCAGAGGGGGUGGGCCCCACCCAAGGGGCCUCCUUGCGCGGCCAGGGGCACGUCGCGCCACGAGGGUGCCUGGAGGCCUGGUGGGCCCCCUGUGGCCCUCCUUCGGCCGUCUGGAGUCUUCUGGAACGCUGAUUUUUUUAUAUAUUUUUGUGGAUAUAAACCUGCAAUUCACAUACAUCAGCAGACAGGAACUCGCACUGGGUGCACUGAGUUAGUAGGUUAGUCCAAAUAUGUUGAAAAAGGUAUGAAAGUGUACAAAACACAUAGCAAUAUCACCCAAAACUUGCAUGGAGCAAGCAAAAAUUAUUUAUAUGUUUGGGACAUAUCAAUAGGCUAUCUUCUGGUGGAGUGAAUAAUUGGUUUUACAUGUAUAAGCACAUCGAUAACAUAAUACACCGUCCUUUCAACUAGUAAUACAUGACCCUCCGUGCUUCCUUCGGCCACUAGAACUACGCCCAUGCAUUGAUUUGUUUCCGGGAUGUAUAACAACAUUGGUUUGGCGAGCUGGGGAGCACCAAUAUUGGGUUAUUGCCAAGGAGUGUUUUGAUAUCUUCUAAAGCGGCACUAGCCUCCUUUGUCCAUUCAAACUUGUUUGUUUGUUUGAGUAAUUUGUAUAGCGCAUGGCCUUUUCCCCUAACCGUGUGNNNNNNNNNNNNNNNNNNNNNNNNNNNNNNNNNNNNNNNNNNNNNNNNNNNNNNNNNNNNNNNNNNNNNNGAACCGACUGAGGGAGGCCACGCAUGCUACGAGUCUCUGGACAGGUUAUUGGCACUUCCAACCGUGCCAAUGCUUUGACCUUGUCAGGAUUUGCUUCUAUACCUCUAUGGGAUACGAUGAAGCCAAGCAGUUUGCUAGAUGGCACUCCAAAGAAGCACUUCUCUGGAUUUAACUUGAUGUCAUAUGUUGUUGGGGAACGUUACAUGGGAAACAAAAAAAAUCCUACGCACACGAAGACCUAUCAUGGUGAUCAUCAUCUAUGAGAGGGAGAUCGGAUCCACAUAACCUUGUAGAUCACUAAGCGGGAAGCGUUAAGAAACGUGGUUGAUGUAGUGGAAUGUCUUCGCGAUCCAAAUCGUCGCUGUCCCACGAUCCGUCCCGAUCUAGCACCGAAGGACGGCACCUCCGCGUUCAGCACACGUAUAGCUCGAUGAUGAUAUCUGCCUUCUUAAUCCAGCAAGAGAGACGGGGAAAUAGAUGAGUUCUCUGGCAGCGUGACGGUGCGCCGGUGAUGGUGGUGAUCUAUUCCUGCACGGCUUCGCCUAAGCACCGCAGAAAUCCGAUCUAGAGGAAGAACUACGAACUAGAGGAGAGGGUAGCGCAUGGCUGAAUAUUGUAUCUCAAAAAACCCUCAAACCUCUAGUAUAUAUAGGAGGAAGGAGGGGGUAGGCUUCCGCACCAAGGUAGCCUCCCUUGGGCUCGGCCGAACUAAGAUAGGAGGAGUCCUCCUCCAAUCCUACUUGGAUUAGGACUCCUCCCCAAGUUGUCCACCUAUUUUGGUUUUUCCACCUUUUUUCAUCAUGGGCUUUCUUUGGUUGACUAGUCAACCCAUCAAGGGCUGUUGCGCCACCAUAAAGUUCACGUGCCCCCUUGGGGAGUGGUGGGCCGACCUGGUGGACCCUCAGUGCCCAUUCGUCACUCCCGGUACACUUCCGGCAAUGCCCGAAAUCCUUCCGGAAUCCAAACACCAACUUCUUAUAUAUAAAUCUUCGUUUCCGGACCAUUCCGGAACUCCUCGUGAUGUCCGGGAUCUCAUUUGGGACUCCGAACAAAACUUCUGUCACCAACACCUACAACUCAACUAUACCGAAAUGUCACCGAACAUUAAGUGUGUAGAUCCUGUGGGUUCGAGAACUAUGCAGACAUGACCUGAGACACUCCCCGGUCAAUAUCCAAUAGCGGGACCUGGAUGUCCAUAUUGGAUCCUACAUAUUAUACGAAACUCUUAUCGGUUGAACCUCUAUGUCAAGGAUUCAUAUAAUCCCGUAUACCAUUCUUGUUGUCCUUCGGUAUGUUACUUGCCCGAGAUUUCGUCGGUAUCUCCAUACCUAUUUCAAUCUCGUUACCGGCAAGUCUCUUUACUUGUUCUGUAAUACAAGAUCUCGUGACUAACUCUUCAGUCACAUUACUUGCAAGGCUUGUGUGUGAUGUUGUAUUACCGAGUGGGCCCCGAGAUCCCUCUCCGUCACACAGAGUUACAAAUCCUAGUCUUGAUCCAUGCUAAUUGAACGGACACCUUUGGAGAUGCCUGUAGAGUACCUUUAUAAUCACCCAGUAACGUUGCGAUGUUUGAUACACGCAAGGCAUUCCUCCGGUGUCAGUGACUUGCAUGAUCACAUUGUCAUAGGAAUGAAUACUUGACAUGCAGAAAACAAUAGCAACAAAAUGAAACGAUCAUAUGCUACGUUUAUAGUUUGGUUCUUGUCCAUCACAUCAUUCCCCUAAUGAUGUGAUCCCAUCAUCAAGUGACAACACUUGUCUAUGGCUAGGAAACCUUAACCAUCCUUGAUCAAAAUGCUAGUCAAUUAGAGACUCAUUAGGGACAUAGUUUUGUCUAUAUAUCCACACAUGCAUUUAUGUUUCCAUUCAAUACAGUUAUAGCAUGGAUAAUAAAAGAUUAUCUUGAAACAGGAAAUAUAAUAAUAACUAUUUUCUUAUUGCCUCUAGGGCAUAUUUCCAACAGUCUCCCACUUGCACUAGAGUCAAUAAUCUAGCCUCACAUCUUCAUGUGAUUUACAAUGUAAUGAAUCUAACACCCAUACAGUUCUGGUGUUGUUCAAGCUUUGCUCAUGGAAGAGGUUUAGUGAGCGGAUCUGCAACAUUCAGAUCCGUGUGCACUUUGCAAAUAUUUAUGUCUUCCUCCUUGAUGUAAUCGCGGAUGGCGUUGAAGCGUUGCUUUAUGUGUCUGGUCCUGAUAUGUCCCAAACGUAUCUUUAAUUUCUGCUUGUUCCAUGAUCUUUUGGAUGACAUUGUUAUAUGUUUUGCUACACUUUUAUAUCUUUUUACGCGUAUUUGGACUAACCUACUAACUCAGUGCACCCAGUGCCAAUUUAUGUGUGCUGAUGUCUUUUUUUGCAGGGGCUUUUACCCAAUUUUUCGGAGCCCCAAAAAUCCCGAGAAAUAUAUAUAUAUAACAGCGUACCGUAAGCUUCCAGAUCAUCGAAGAUGGGCCACAGGGGGUCACGGCCUGCCCAGGCGACCUCCUGGCGCGGCCUGGCCCCUGGCCGCGCCCACAGGCCGCCUGGGUGGGUCAAACCCCCUCUGACGUCGUCAUUUGGCCUAUAUUUACUCCUCCGUGAGGAAACCCUUCAAUCACAUCCAGAAUCGUGAAUUCUCCAUCAUUCCGCCGCCGCAGCGCUUCCGAGAUCGGGAGCGUCACGAGACCUCUUCCCGACACCGUGCCAGAGGGAGGAUUGACCUCCGGGAGCUUCUCCACCGCCAUGGUCACUUCCCGGACGUGACGUGAGUAGUCCUCCUUGGACCAUGAGUCCAUGACCAGUAUCUAUGUGAUGUGUUCUCUCCAAUCUUGUGCUUCAAUGAUUAGCCUUUGUGAGCUGCCCUACAUGAUCAAGGCACCUAUGUAAUUUUCCUGCUACUGCUAUGCUCGGUUUGUUGGGAUCCGAUGGAUUAUGAGAUUAUGCUCAUAUUGUUAUGAGUUAUAUAUUUGAUUAUCCUUUUAUAUUAAGUUCUUUAGUGAUUGCUACGGUAACAAAAGUCCUUCCUUGGCGCUAGGAAUUCUUCUUGCUACUUCUCUUGUUUGCGUCGGUUUUUUGCUUGAAGAGGAAAGGGUGAUGCAGCACAGGAGACGUAAGUAUUUCCCUCAGUUUGAGAACCAAGGUAUCGAUCUAGAAGGAGGGUCUCGUCAAGUCCAGAGUACCUGCGCAAACACAAACAAGCUUGCACCCAACGCUUCAAAGGGGUUGUCAAUCCCUUCAAGAUUGUUUGCAAAGUGAGAUCUGAAGGCGGAAAGUGCAACGAAGUAAAAAGUGUAAGGCUGAAAAUAUGGUGUGGAGUAGACCCGGGGGCCAUAGUGUUCACUAGAGGCUUCUCUCAAAAUAGCAAAUAUCACGGUGGGUGAACAAAUUACUGUCGAGCAAUUGAUAGAACCGUGCAAAGUAUUCACUAGAGGCUUCUCUCAAAAUGGCAAAUAUCACGGUGGGUGAACAAAUUACUGUCGAGCAAUUGAUAGAACCGUGCAAAGUCAUGACGAUAUCUAAGGCAAUGAUCAUACAUAUAGGCAUCACGUCCGAGACAAGUAGACCGAUACUCUGUGCAUCUACUACUAUUACUCCACACAUCGACCGCUAUCCAGCAUGCAUCUAGUGUAUUAAGUUUAUGACGAACAGAGUAACGCCUUAAGCAAGAUGACAUGAUGUAGAGCGAUAAUCUCAAACCAAUGAUGAAAACCCCAUCUUUUUACCCUUGAUGGCAACAACACGAUGCGUGCCUCGCUACCCCUUCUGUCACUGGGUGAGGUCAUCGCACGGUAUGAACCCAAAACCAAGCACUUCUCCCAUUGCAGGAAUCAUAGAUCUAGUUGGCCAGACAAAACCCACAACUCGAAGAGAAUUACAAGGAUAUGAAAUCAUGCAUAAGAGAGAUCAGAAGAAACUUAAAUAAGAUUCAUAGAUAAUCUGAUCAUAAAUCCACAAUUCAUUGGAUCUCGACAAACUCACCACAAAAGAAGAUUACAUCGGAUAGACCUCCAUGAAGAUCAUGGAAAACUUUGUAUUGAAGAUCCAAGAGAGAGAAGAAGCCAUCUAGUUACUAGCUAUGGACCCGUAGGUCUAUGGUGAACUACGCACGCAUCAUCGGAGAGGUCAUGGUGUUGAUGAAGAAGCCCUCCGUGUCCGAAUCCCCCCUCCGGCAGGGCACCAAAACGUGCCCCAGUUAGGAUCUUGCGGAGACAGAAGCUUGCGGCGGAGGAAAAGUACUUUCGAUGACUCCUGAUUUUUUUGGGAUUUUUAGGGAAUAUAUAGGCGCAACCCCUAGGGCAGAGGGCGCCCAGGGGGCCCACAAGCCUGUGGGCCGCGGCCUCCCCCCUGGCCGCGGGGUGGGGGCUGGUGGGGCCCCUGAGGCCCCCCUGCCUUGGCUCUCAAGCUUCCCGAUCUUCUUCUGUUACGGAAAAAAUCUUUUCGGGGAUUUUCUUCCUUUUGGACUCUGUUUCAAAAUCUCCUUUGAAAGGGGUCAAAAACAUGGAAAAAAAUACGGACUGGCACUUGGCACUGAGUUAAUAAGUUAGUCCCAAAAAAUAUAAAAGGCAUUUAAAACAUCCAAAGUUUGACAAGAUAAUAGCAUGAACCAUCAAAAAUUAUAUAUACGUUAGAGACGUAUCAAGCAUCCCCAAGCUUAACUCCUGCUCGUCCUCGAGUAGGGAAGUGGUAAAGAAUGAAUUUUUGAUGUGGAAUGCUACCUAGCAUAGUUGUCCUUUGCAACUUCUUUCAGGUGAGAUGAAUGUUAAGAUCCGUAAGAUUCGAAACAAUAGUUUGCUAUUGACAUGAAAACAAUAAUACUCCAAGCAAACUAGCAAGGUAAUCAUGAACUUUCAAAAUAACAAGGCCAAUGAAAGUUAUCCCUACAAAAUCAUAUAGUCUGGCUAUGCUCCAUCAUCCCUAACAUAGCGGUUCACCAUACGUGUAUGCUACGGGAAUCACUAACUUCAACACAAGUAUUUCUAGAUUCACAACACCCUACUAACAUAACUCUUAAUAUUAGCGAAUCCACGUCUCAAAACUAAUUGAUAGGAAUCAAGACUUCUCUUUCUACUCAAUGCACACGAGGAUGGAGGUUUCUGCAUCCUCUUUGGGUACCUAUCACAUUUGGGACUACUUUCAUAGCAUAAGCCAACUACCAAGUCACGCACCGCCGUGCUCUAAAAGAUAUAAGUGAAGCACUAGAGCAAAAGUAUCUAGCUCAAAAGAUAUAAGUGAAGCACUAUGAGCAAAAGUAUCUAGCUCAAAAGGUAUAAGUGAAGCACUAUGAUCAAAAGUAUCUAGCUCAAAAGACAUAAGUGAAGCACUAUGAGCAAAAGUAUCUAGCUCAAAAGAUAUAAGUGAAGCACUAUGAGCAUUCUAGCAAAAUCACGAUGAGUGCAUGUCUCUCUCUCUCUCUCUCAAAAAGGUGUGCAGCAAGGAUGAUUGUGACACAACAAAAAGAAAAGACUCCUAAGAUACAAGACGCUCCAAGAAAAACACAUAUCAUGUGGUGAAUAAAAAUAUAGCUCCAAGUAAUGUUACCGAUGGAUUGAAGACGAAAGAGGGGAUGCCUUCCCGGGGCAUCCCCAAGCUUAGGCUUUUUGGUGUCCUUGAAUUUGGCUUGGGAUGCCUUGGGAAUCCCCAAGCUUGAGCUGUUCCACUCCUUAUCUCUUUGUCCAUGAGUACAUCACCCAAAACUUGAAAACUUCACAGCACAAAACUUAAACAGAAACUCGUGAUAACAUUAGUACAAGAAAACAAACUAUCACUUCUUUUGGUACUAUAGCAAACUUGAAUUCCAUCUAUAUUGGUGUUGGGCUACUGUAUUCUCACUUUUCAAUGGCUAGUACCCCCCGAUACUAACCAUAUUUUCAUCAAAACAAGCAACCAACUCAACAAAAACAGAAUCUGUCAAAAACAGACCAGUCUGUAGCAAUCUGUAUACUUCGUAUACUUCUCGUACCUCAAAAAAUCGGAAAAAUUACCACGGCCUGGGAAAAAGGCAUAUCAACCAGCAACAAAAACAAUCAACUCAAAAGCUCUUUCUGAAUAAAAAUGAAAAAUCAUCUCGUGAGCGAAAAGUUUCUGUCUUUUUUCAGCANNNNNNNNNNNNNNNNNNNNNNNNNNNNNNNNNNNNNNNNNNNNNNNNNNNNNNNNNNNNNNNNNNNNNNNNNNNNNNNNNNNNNNNNNUCAGCAGGAUCAAACAACCAUUACCAAGACUAGUCGUAAAGGUUUUGCUUGGCUCAAACACAAAAAGAAACACAAAAAACACAAUCACAACAGAAUUGUGAUGGCGUGGACGCAACAAAACAUAAAGAAAAAGAUAAAUUCAUUGAGUUGCCUCCCAACAAGCGCUAUUGUUUAACGCCUGUUGGGGAUGUUACCUGUGGAUGACCCGCCUAGUUGGGCCGGGUCAUCCAUUGGGUGAUUCACCCAAACAUUUAGUUAGGCCUCGUUGUGGCCGAAUCAAGGUCGUAUGACAGUUGUGGCUCUUGGAAGGUCUCCAAGCUUCGGAAGAUGGUGACUUAGAAACCACAGGGGUCACGAGUUGUAGGAAGGAAAGAAUCCUUGUAAACCCUAGGGGAUCGACCUUUAUAUAAAGGCGAGUCCCGGGGGACAGAGGGUAGGUUAGAAAUCAUCGAGUGCUAGGUUUAGGCGAGUUACGCCUUCCUUGUAAUCGAAUCCACAUCAAUACACACCAAAGCGGGACGUAGGCUAUUACCUCUUCAAAGGGGCCGAACCUAGGUAAAUCGCCGUGUCUCUCCCACUUAACCCCUUUGAUUCGCCACCAAGGUGUGAUGGCUCCAGUACUAAGUCCUUUCACGAGGACAUCUGCCGUGAAAAAACCACGACAGUUGGCGCCCACCAUGGGGCCUACGCACGGUGGAGUUGACUUUUCAAAGGGAGCCCUACCAGGGUUUGGGAGUUACGCGAUGGCGCUCAUGACUCGGAGCCGCCGCGGGAUAGCCUACAUCGACAACCAGCAAUGGGGACCUGAAGCAAAUUCAAUCGAAUCUGGCUACAGGGUCCCCUUCGGCAAGAUCAACAUCUUCAUCGGCAUGAUCGGAUCAUCCGUUCCUGAGCCGGACAUCUCCACCGACAUCGUCGAGCCGGCCAAGUACGUCCGCCCAGUCAUAACACAGAAUUUAACUCGCCCGGUCUUUGUGGGGUUCACGCAGGGAUCGGAGGAACCAGAACUCUUGGCGACUCAGGAAGUUACCCCGGUCAACUCUGACGACGAGUCAUCCAUGGGCGAUUCAGAUUCCAUCCGGUCUCUCCAUGGGGACGGUCUCGGAGGCUUGUCGCUGGCCAUGGAUCCGGAAAUCCUUGACCGAACCCGCCGCCAUAUCGCCAUCUACAUGGCUGGGGCAACUCAACCCGCACAAAACCCUACCGGAGGCGAUGGGACCGGCGGGACAUCCAGAAGUGCGUCCGCAGUCCUGGUGGACUUAGCGGCGGAAAUCACGAGACUAAUGGCGACUCCCCUCACGCCAGAGAACCAAGAGGAGAUAAAUGCAGAGUUAGCAAAGCUCAGAGAGGUGGUGGCAAAGGCCCACCAGGAUGCUGAGAUGGAGUCCGCUAGGAUCGAGACUCGACAAGCCCAAAUCACAGCCGAAAGGAUGCGAUUAAACACUGACAACUAGUGGCUCGAAAGACAGCAGCGCGCGUCCGACGCCGUCCAUCAGCGGAGACACCAGGGUCGCCUGCCCCAUGACCUCAACCCGACCCGUCUGUUCGACACUCCCCGAACCCCCGGGAUGGGAGCCGCCCCGGCAGGAGGACCGGGCCGCCCACCUAACCCGCCGGUUCAGCCGAUUGAGGGUCAAAUUCCUCGUUUCCGGACCCCUCAAGGCCACUUCUCCAACCCGGUGGAUAACGUGCUUGCCGCAACUCGCCACCUGGAGUCCCUUUCGAUCCACGGCAACACCCCAGCUGAGACUGAAGCGAGGAACGCCAUCGAGAUGUUGAAAACGGCGGUGGUUCAAAACGCCCAGUUCUCGCAUAGCCUCGAGAGGUUGCACUCCACCCCUCAGGCAAGCUACCAGGAGCAGGCCAGAGGACUAGCCUGCCGUAAACAGUGGGCCGCGACACUUCCCGCAGGACAACCCGCCCGAGCGGAACCCGCCGGGCCGAGAUCUCCCGAAUAUCCAAGACGCCCCGGCCCCCCUCGUAGGGGGCGGAGGGCGAGUUGGGGUACCAUGCUUAUCCCCGGCCCAUCGGAAUGAAAGGAUGCCCAAAGACUUUAAGGGACCACGGAAAGUGCCUAAUUAUACACCAGACCUCGAACCAACGUCAUGGAUCGAGGGUUACGAGAUUGCCAUGGACAUGCUCGACGUAAACGAGGCGGUUUGCGCCCGAUACUUCACUAUGAUGCUCGAGGGGUUGGCACGCACCUGGUUGAAAAAUUUGCCUCCCAAUUCCAUCCAGUCCUGGGCCGAGUUAAAAGAGCGUUUCAUCAAAAACUUCCAGGGAACCUGCAAACGUCCAAUGACUAUUGUCGAUCUACAACACUGUGUUCAGCGCCCGGACGAAUCAGCCCACCAUUGGUCGUGGCGGGUGGCAGAAAUUAUUCAUUCGUCAGAUGGUAUUACGGCGGCUCAAGUUGUGCUCAUCCUCGAGCACAAUUGUCAUUACGAGCCCUUAGUACAGAAGUUGGGGCGACUCAAACGAGAGGUCCAAGACAUGGGCGAACUAAUGGACACCCUCACUAGGUAUCCCGAGGCCGAUGAUACCAAGGAUCCCGGCGAGGAUGGCAAGGCUAACUCGCCCAAAAAGGGGGAGUCGUCCAAAAACCAUACCCGUUUCCAGGGACGCAACCGUCACAAUCAGGGGACCAAUGGCAAGCGUAGACCGCAGGAGGAGCCCUCGGACUUGGUCGCCAACACCAAUGCUAAUGAUGGCAAAAAGAAGAACCGAGGCUUCAGUGGGAAAAGGCCGCGUAACUAGGAAGAGUUGCUCAAGGGCCCUUGCCCGCACCACGCCACGGCCGAUGGCCCGGCGAGUCAUUCUUGGGAAAAACUGUUUCGUGAUGCGAGAAUUUCGGGCGGAGGCAAUCAAGAAGAGCCAAAACGAAGAUCCAAACCAGCGCCAAGACCAACUCGCCGCGCCCAACCAAAGGCACAACCCCUUCGGCGGCUUUCCCGAACAGGGGGCUCAGGGAGGCCCGCAACCAGGCGGCGGCCAGUACCCGGUGCACCACCAGCGGCGGUACAACCCGCCGGGAGUUUUCCAGCAGCCGCUCCCGCAGGGGGCUCCACAGGACCAGGAUGACAAUGGGGGCUUCCGCGGCAAUCCCAAACAGCUAAGUAAUGGGCAGUACCACGUUUUCACCACUAAUGCUUGCAGGCGUGAUAAAAAGGUAAGUCACCGGGCGUACAGUGUAACAGAGCCAGCGAUUCCCAGAUAUCUCCACUGGUCCGAGCAGACCAUAACAUGGAGCAGGGAGGAUCACCCGCCAAGAAUAGAUAACCCGGGCGACCUGGCAUUAGUCGUGGCUCCCCAAGUAGGGGGUUACACCCUAUCAAAGGUAUUAAUGGAUGGUGGCAGCAGCAUCAAUAUCCUAUACUUCGACACCAUCUAGAGGAUGAAUCUAUUGGAGAAAGACUUGAUGCCUUCGAACACGGUCUUCCACAGAAUUGUCCCGGGAAAGUCGGCCUACCCCAUAGGCCGGGUCAGGCUCUCAGUAGCAUUUAGAACUGCGCAAAAUUACAGGUCGGAAUCUCUAAUCUUCGAGGUGGUCAAGCUGAAAAGCCCAUACCAUGCACUGUUCGGGCGACCGGCUUACGCCCGCUUCAUGGCCCGCCCGUGCUACGUCUACCUCAAGCUCAAAAUGCAUGGUCCUAAAGGACCCAUCACGGUUGAUGGAGACAGAAGGAUCGCAAAGGAAUGUGAAGAAGGGGAUGCGUCUUAUGCGGAAGUCGCCUGUGCGGCGGAAGAGCUCAAGCACCUUCGGGCCAAUGUUGACCCGGCUGACAUCUCACCACUCAAGAAGCCGACUACAGACUCUGAGUCGCCCCUCAAGUUCAAACCGACGGAUGACACUAAGACAAUCGAUUUCGUGCCUGGCGAUUCAUCCAAGCAGUUCACCAUUGGGACGGGUCUGGACCCCAAAUAGGAAAGCGCGCUCAUCGAGUUCAUCCGUGAGAAUCAGGACAUCUUCGCAUGGAAACCUUCUGACAUGCCUGGUGUACUGAGAGAAUUGGCUGAGCACCAUCUUAACGUUGACCCAAAAUGCAAACCUAUCCAACAGUACCUUCGCAGAUUCAACAAAGAACGACGCAAGGCGAUUGGAGAAGAAGUCGCCCGCCUUUUAGCCGUCGGGUUCAUCGUGGAAGUUUUUCACCCCAAAUGGCUGGCUAACCCGGUGUUGGUACUCAAGAAGAAUGGCACUUUCCGAAUGUGCAUUGACUAUACAGACCUCAACAGGGCUUGUCCCAAAGAUCCUUUCGCUCUUCCCCGCAUCGAUCAAAUCAUUGACUCGGUGGCGGGAUGCGAACGAUUGUGUUUUCUGGACGCCUAUUCAGGAUAUCACCAGAUCAAGAUGGCCGUGGAAGAUCAGGAGAAGACGGCCUUCAUAACCCCCUUCGGGGCCUUUUGCUAUGUGUCCAUGCCUUUCGGACUCAAAAGCGCGGGGGCGACUUAUCAACGCUGUAUCCAGAAUUGUCUUCGUAGCCAAAUUGGUCGCAACGUCCAUGCCUAUGUCGACGAUAUUGUGAUCAAGACCCGCCAGGGGGAGACACUACUUGAAGACCUUAAGGAGACUUUUGAUAAUUUAUGGGUAUAUCAGAUGAAGUUAAAUCCUACCAAGUGCGUUUUUGGUGUACCUGCAGGAAAAUUGCUGGGUUUCUUGGUAUCGGAGCGCGGCAUCGAGGCUAACCCGGACAAGAUCGAAGCGGUUACCUCUCUCGGAAAGCCGGCAAAUGUUAAUCAAGUUCAACGGCUGGCGGGUCGCAUUGCGGCUUUAAGUCGUUUUGUGAGUCGCCUAGGGGAAAAGGCGAUUCCUCUUUAUCAAUUAUUAAGGAAGUCUGGCCGAUUCGUGUGGACAAAUGAAGCAGACCAGGCGCUUGAGGCCCUAAAACGCCAAUUGGUUAACCCGCCGGUCCUGGCAGCCCUGACUGAAAAGGAUCCUAUGCUUCUGUAUAUCGCGGCAAAUUCCAAGGCAGUAAGUGUGGCUGUGGUCUUUGAAAGAAAGGAGGAAGGGAAGGAAUACCCAGUGCAACGCCCAGUAUAUUUUAUCAGCGAGGUGUUAACUCUUUCCAAACAGCGAUACCCGCAUUGGCAAAAACUGGUCUAUGGGGUGUUUAUGGCAAGUCGAAAACUUAAGCAUUACUUCCAGGAGCACCCGAUCACAGUGGUGAGUUCUGCUCCCCUUGGUGAUAUUAUCCAGAAUCGGGAGGCAACAGGGCCAAUCGCCAAAUGGGCGAUAGAGCUUGGGUCUCAUCACAUACAGUAUACUCCCCGCACAGCUAUCAAAUCCCAGGCACUAGUUGAUUUCGUUAACGACUGGACCGAGCUACAGAUUCCGGAAGACCGGCCUGACCUUACCUACUGGACUAUUUACUUUGAUGGAUCUAGGCAGCUGGAAGGCUCGGGGGCUGGUGUGGUGUUAGUAUCCCCUCAAGGAGAUAAGUUCUGUUACGUUCUCCGACUCAUGUUUCCCUGCACUAAUAAUGCGGCGGAAUAUGAAGCUUUGCUUCAUGGCUUACGACUCGCGAAAGAGAUGAACCUAACACGAGUCAGGUGUUUUGGCGAUUCCGAUUUGGUGGCGCAACAAGUUUCGGGUACCUGGGACUCUCGGGAUCCCAUGAUGGUGGCUUACAGACGAGUUGCCUCUGACGUAGCGGGUUAUUUUCAUGGCUAUCAGGUGGACCAUAUUGACCGCCGACUCAACGAGGCAGCUGACGCCCUCUCGCGACUCGGCUCACAGAGAAAACCGGUUCCCCUAAUGUUUUUCUGGAUAUCUUGCAUAAGCCAUCCGUGGUCUUGCCCUCAGAGGAGGAAUUGGCGAUACCAGAUCCCGAGUCUCAGCUCGUGGCAGCUCUCCAUGUCAUUCCGGAUUGGGUGCUCCCUUAUCUGGCUUAUCUCACUCGCGGCGAGUUACCCACCGACAAAGUUUUGGCUCGCCAGAUCGUUCAGCGCAGCAAAUCCAUGGUCAUCAUUAAUGGCUAGUUGUAUAAACGGAGCGCUUCUGGGGUUUUUUAGUGAUGUGUCUCCCCCGAAGAAGGAUGCGCGAUCCUAAAUGACAUUCAUUCCGGAGACUGUGGACAUCACGCCGAGUCACGUUCUUUGGUAUCAAAGGCUUUUCGUCAUGGUUUCUAUUGGCUGACGGCUCACGCAGAUGCAGAAGACAUAGUUCGCCGGUGCGAAGGGUGCCAACGUUAUGGGAGGCAGGCUCACAUACCGGCUCAAGAAUUGAGAAUGAUUCCCAUUACUUGGCCUUUCGCAGUUUGGGGGCUGGACAUGGUUGGUCCCUUUAAAAUGUCCUCCAACAAGAAGACCCACCUAUUGGUGGCGGUUGAUAAAUUCACCAAGUGGGUUGAGGCGGAACCUGUUGGAGCUUGCGAUGCGGAGACAACGGUCAAAUUUUUGAAGAAGCUGAUUUUCCGGUUUGGAUAUCCCCACAGCAUUAUUACUGAUAAUGGUACUAACUUGUCCCAAGGGGCGAUGCAGGAUUUUUGUCAUCGAGAACAUAUCCGACUUGAUAUUUCUGCGGUUGCUCACCCGCAAUCUAACGGGCAAGGAGAACGGGCGAAUCAGGAGGUCUUACGAGGGAUCAAGCCCCGACUCAUGGUUCCCCUAGAAAGGACUCCAGGGUGUUGGGUUGAAGAGUUACCUUCGGUACUGUGGAGUAUUCGGACUACCCCGAACCGGUCCACGAGAUUCACCCCUUUCUUUUUGGUCUAUGGAGCAGAGGCUGUUCUUCCUACGGACAUAAGGCAUGACUCCCUUAGAGUCGUCGCAUAUGUGGAACAAGAUAAUGAGCUGGCGCGUCAAGAUUCUUUGGAUGCCUUGGAGGAGGCAUGUGACCUGGCUGCGGCCCGUUCGGCUGUCUACCAGCAAGAUCUGCGGCGUUAUCAUAGUCGCCGGGUUAAGAGUCGGACCUUUCAGGAAGGCGACUUAGUGCUUCGUCUAAUACAAGCUCGAGCGGGCAUGCACAAGUUGUCACCCCCUUGGGAAGGGUCGUUCGUCGUCAGCAAGAACCUCCGCAAUGGCUCUUACUAUUUGGUGGAUCUUCGGCCUAAUCGACCGACCACAGAGGCUGAGUCAACUCGCCCCUCGAAUAUUGCCCAUUUGCGGCCUUACUACACUUAAGCUCUUAAGCUUUACACUUUGUAAGUUAUUCAGUUUCAUUAUGAAGUAAUAAAAUAUUCCCCGACUUGGGGGCUUCUCUAUCAAAAAGCAAAUUGUGUCAUCAUGUUGCGACCAUAUGAGUCGACAGAAUCUGCAUUUAGGGUGGGUGCACGAGCUUUCUGACUCGCCUCCCCCUAUCGCGACCUUAUGAGCCAACGAAACCUGCAUUUAGGGUGGGUGCACGAGCUUUCUGACUCGCCUCCCCCUGUCGCGACCUUAUGAGCCGACGAAACCUGCAUUUAGGGUGGGUGCACGAGCUUUCUGACUCGCCUCCCCCUGUCGCGACCUUAUGAGCCGACGAAACCUGCAUUUAGGGUGGGUGCACGAGCUUUCUGACUCGCCUCCCCCUGUCGCGACCUUAUGAGCCGACGAAACCUGCAUUUAGGGUGGGUGCACGAGCUUUCUGACUCGCCUCCCCCUGUCGCGACCUUAUGAGCCGACGAAACCUGCAUUUAGGGUGGGUGCACGAGCUUUCUGACUCGCCUCCCCCUGUCGCGACCUUAUGAGCCGACGAAACCUGCAUUUAGGGUGGGUGCACGAGCUUUCUGACUCGCCUCCCCCUGUCGCGACCUUAUGAGCCGACGAAACCUGCAUUUAGGGUGGGUGCACGAGCUUUCUGACUCGCCUCCCCCUGUCGCGACCUUAUGAGCCGACGAAACCUGCAUUUAGGGUGGGUGCACGAGCUUUCUGACUCGCCUCCCCCUCUCGCGACCUUAUGAGCUGACGAAACCUGCAUUUAGGGUGGGUGCACGAGCUUUCUGACUCGCCUCCCCCUGUCGCGACCUUAUGAGCCGACGAAACCUGCAUUUAGGGUGGGUGCACGAGCUUUCUGACUCGCCUCCCCCUGUCGCGACCUUAUGAGCCGACGAAACCUGCAUUUAGGGUGGGUGCACGAGCUUUCUGACUCGCCUCCCCCUGUCGCGACCUUAUGAGCCGACGAAACCUGCAUUUAGGGUGGGUGCACGAGCUUUCUGACUCGCCUCCCCCUGUCGCGACCUUAUGAGCCGACGAAACCUGCAUUUAGGGUGGGUGCACGAGCUUUCUGACUCGCCUCCCCCUGUUGCGACCUUAUGAGCCGACGAAAUUACUAUUGCUAUUUUUUGUUGUGGCAUAGUCCUGAAGGUUUUUAAGCCUUUUCUUUCUGAUGCUUGUUGAAAAUAUCCAUAGUUUGUUUGUUUUCACAUAUGAUGUUUUCCAAGUUUAAAGACAAGAAGGUGAUAAGAAUUGUUCCAUCCUUGGCGAAUUAAGCAUUAAGGCGGGUCAAAUAUUUCAAAUCGCCUUAAAGACGAUAUAAGGGUUCUCGCAGAAGGUAUCAUCAAAAACAGUACUGACUUGCGGAAAAAGGACCUAUUACAUGGCUCGCAGGCCAAAUUCAGUAAAGUUUACUUCGCUAACGCCUCGGGAUCAUCCUGGCGUGAGCUCUGUCCAACUUCGAUUUGCAAGUCGCCCAAUACCCAAUUGCAUCUGGCCAAAGCAGCAAAGUCGUCUUUGUCGGUCAGAAUUGAUGCCAAGUCUGCCUCCAAGUCGAAGGGUUUUUGGGCCGCCGAGGAGUUAGGCUGGUCGUCAUGAAGGUUGGCGGGCUGACUUUCUUAUUUCUGCUAUCGUAAGCCGCCUGGUAUUUUGUUAAAUCAAGGCUUGCGGCGAGUUGAGUUGCAGACAGCCGAGAAUCCUUGACGGCUUUUUGGUAAUCCUCUUCAACAAAUUCUGAUCCAUCGUCCUUGAGCUGAGGGAAGCCAACGGCUACUUCUUUUAAGUUAAUCUCUGGAGCAUACGCUAAGCAGCGACUCAGGGCAGUCAGAACACCUUUCCGGGCGGCUGACCGAGUUAACUCGCCAAUCUGGGGGGGAAGUGUAGACAAGCAUCCAAGUACCUUCUUGAUGGAAGUAAUAGGUUCCUUGGCACCCAUCACAGCUUUGACGGUCAACACACUGCCUGUGUACAGCUGCUCUGUCAGCGUAUAAAUCGCCUUCAGCAUCAACACACAGUCUUCUUGCAGGUUGGCGGCUCUUGGACCUGAAUUAUGAUGAUUAGCGACUUAACAUCAGUAUUAUGAGUAAAAAGAAAAAAAAAGGAAAAGAAGGAAAAAAGGGGGAUGAGGUUGAAUAUUUAAGUAAGGCUUACCAAAGACGGCUUGCGUCAUGUUGGAGAUGUGACGUUUUAAGCCGGACAGUUCCUGUUGAACAGUGGCCAGCCUAACUUCAGCUUUCUCUGCCCUCUUCAAAGCGGCAUUUUGUUCAGCCUGAGCUUCUUUUAACUCGGCCUUGAGUUUUACCAGUUCGGCCAAGGCCAAUUGACAUUUUUCCUCCGACUUAGCUCGGGCGUCUUGUUGUCUAGCUAAGUUUUUUCUUAAAUCACCCAGCGCCGAUUCGGUCUGAGCAAGGUGUUCCUAUUGAAAGUUUAAAAUAAGGGCAAGUCUCAGAAUUACUGCAAAGCAAUAUCCCUGACACUUGGGGGCUAAUGUAUAAUUUUUUCAGGUGAAAUUAUACAAAAAAUCAAGACCCGAAUCAUCUUUUACUGAUGACUCGGCCCUUGGGGGUUACUGGUCGCGAAGCUUUUUUAAAAAAAAUUCAAGACCCGGCUCAUCUUUUUCCUGAUGACCCGGCCCUUGGGGGUUACUGGUCGCGAAGGUUUUUCUAAAUUUUCAAAGACCCGGCUCAUCUUUUUACUGAUGACCCGGCCCUUGGGGGUUAAUGGAAAUAAUAUAAGUAUAAACAAAAUAUACCUCAUGUUUGUUGUUUAACAUCUUCAGCAGGUUCUUCUCCAUAUCAUAGCUCGCCUCCAGGCGAUUCGCAAAGCCAGAACAGAGUUCCUUAAACUCCAAAUUUGCAUAGUCAGAAAGUUUCGCCUUGGAGAGCCCAGACUUGGGAAUGGCCUGAGAGGAGGAUGCUACAUGUUUGGACAAAACUGUCGCCGCCGGUUUAGAAAAGCCAGAGCCAGUAAUAAACACGGCAUUUGGGUCUUCCGUUGUUGUCAAUGGGCUCGGCGGCUUGGGGGCGUCCAUUACUUCUCUCGGCGACUCAGGGAGAUCUACUUGAGUCGCGGGCUCAGCUUGAUCCGGAGUUGGAGUUGUUUCCCUCAUGGGGUCUGGAGCUGCGUCAGGAGUUGGUCCGCUGGUUUUCCUCGUCUUGGCUUGUGCCCUGCAAAAAAGGAGAAUAAGCACGUUAAGGAAUUGGAAAGUUCAUUAUUCUUAAAGGUCACGACAAGAUUAUCAAAAGACUUACCCCGGAACUCGAAUCAUUGGCGGAAGUGUUGACAUCACUGAGUCGCCCGAGGUAGGAGGAGAAUUCUGCAAAAGAGUUAUAUGUCAAUCAUACAGGCGGGUUACAAGCGUGACCCAAAGAGAAGUGGAGAAUGGCUAUUCAUAAUGAAUACCUCGCUUGGUUUUCUUUUGUUUGUUGCCGGUAGGCCGGAUACCAGAUCGCCAGAAUGACUUCGUGUUUUCCGAUUUGAGGUGUGCUGUGCUUUCUUCAGUAGGAAAUUCGGGUCCAGAUAAGCAUUUGGAUGAGAGAAGGGAACUUUCCCACAAAUUCGCCUGGCCGGCUUAAGUGGAGAAGGAGAUGAAUCGGAGGAAACGGAAAUUACCUCAACAGAGUCUUCUUGGCUUUCGUUAUCCUCAUUCUAUUUCAGGGAAAGGGAAAGAUGUAAAUAAAAGGUUAAACAGUGACAGGUGGCGAGUGAAAAGAGGACGGAUUUGUACCUCUGAAAGUGCAUCGCCGACUUGAGAUUCGUCGACUUCGGAUGGCUCAGCCGCAGCAGAUUUUCCUUUACCCUUGGCUUUCUUAGAAGGCGGCUUGACAUUUUUCAUGGCUUGCUUUUUGGGCCUCCUAGACGAGAACUUAUCGCCUUUCUAAAAUGGUAUAUUUACGAAACCACGAUAGUAGUAAAGCAUAAGGGAUAAAUACCGAGGACGAGUCAGGUUUGGUUACCUUGGGCGCCGGGUUAAUUUUGCAAAACGGCUUAAGGCCGAUUUGGCCGCAUUUUCCCGCAGGUUCUGAUGGGGAACGUCCCAUGGGAAACAAAAAAAAUUCUACGCGCACGAAGACCUAUCAUGGUGAUGUCCAUCUACGAGAGGGGAUGAGUGAUCUACGUACCCUUGUAGAUCGUACAGCAGAAGCGUUAGUGAACGCGGUUGAUGUAGUGGAACGUCCUCACGUCCCUCGAUCCGCCCCGCGAACAAUCCCGCGAUCAGUCCCAUGAUCUAGUACCGAACGGACGGCACCUCCGCGUUCAGCACACGUACAGCUCGACGAUGAUCUCGGCCUUCUUGAUCCAGCAAGAGAGACGGAGAGGUAGAAGAGUUCUCCGGCAGCGUGACGGCGCUCCGGAGGUUGGUGAUGACCUUGUCUCAGCAGGGCUCCGCCCGAGCUCCGCAGAAACGCGAUCUAGAGGUAAAACCGUGGAGGUAUGUGGUCGGGCUNNNNNNNNNNNNNNNNNNNNNNNNNNNNNNNNNNNNNNNNNNNNNNNNNNNNNNNNNNNNNNNNNNNNNNNNNNNNNNNNNNNNNNNNNNNNNNNNNNNNNNNNNNNNNNNNNNNNNNNNNNNNNNNNNNNNNNNNNNNNNNNNNNNNNNNNNNNNNNNNNNNNNNNNNNNNNNNNNNNNNNNNNNNNNNNNNNNNNNNNNNNNNNNNNNNNNNNNNNNNNNNNNNNNNNNNNNNNNNNNNNNNNNNNNNNNNNNNNNNNNNNNNNNNNNNNNNNNNNNNNNNNNNNNNNNNNNNNNNNNNNNNNNNNNNNNNNNNNNNNNNNNNNNNNNNNNNNNNNNNNNNNNNNNNNNNNNNNNNNNNNNNNNNNNNNNNNNNNNNNNNNNNNNNNNNNNNNNNNNNNNNNNNNNNNNNNNNNNNNNNNNNNNNNNNNNNNNNNNNNNNNNNNNNNNNNNNNNNNNNNNNNNNNNNNNNNNNNNNNNNNNNNNNNNNNNNNNNNNNNNNNNNNNNNNNNNNNNNNNNNNNNNNNNNNNNNNNNNNNNNNNNNNNNNNNNNNNNNNNNNNNNNNNNNNNNNNNNNNNNNNNNNNNNNNNNNNNNNNNNNNNNNNNNNNNNNNNNNNNNNNNNNNNNNNNNNNNNNNNNNNNNNNNNNNNNNNNNNNNNNNNNNNNNNNNNNNNNNNNNNNNNNNNNNNNNNNNNNNNNNNNNNNNNNNNNNNNNNNNNNNNNNNNNNNNNNNNNNNNNNNNNNNNNNNNNNNNNNNNNNNNNNNNNNNNNNNNNNNNNNNNNNNNNNNNNNNNNNNNNNNNNNNNNNNNNNNNNNNNNNNNNNNNNNNNNNNNNNNNNNNNNNNNNNNNNNNNNNNNNNNNNNNNNNNNNNGUGAGUUAUAUGAUCUCAUGGUCAUAGGAAUAAAUACUUGACACGCAGAAAACAGUAGCAACAAAAUGACACAAUCAACAUGCUACGUCUAUUAGUUUGGGUCUAGUCCAUCACGUGAUUCUCCUAAUGACGUGAUCCAGUUAUCAAGCAACAACACCUUGUUCAUAAUCAGAAGACACUGACUAUCUUUGAUCAACUGGCUAGCCAACUAGAGGCUUGCUAGGGACAGUGUUUUGUCUAUGUAUCCACACAUGUAAAUGAGUCUUCAUUCAAUACAAUUAUAGCAUGGAUAAUAAACGAUUAUCUUGAUACAGGAAUUAUAAUAAUAACUAUAUUUAUUAUUGCCUCUAGGGCAUAAUUCCAACAGUCUCCCACUUGCACUAGAGUCAAUAAUCUAGCCCUCACAUCAUCAUGCGAAUUACAUUGUAAUAAAUCUAACACCCAUACAGUUCUCGUGUUGAUCAUGCUUUGCCCGUGGAAGAGGUUUAGUCAGCGGGUCUGCUACAUUCAGAUCCGUGUGCACUUUGCAUUUAUUCACGUCCUCCCCUUCGACGUAGUCGCGGAUGAGGUUGAAGCAUCGUUUGAUGUGUCUGGACUUCUUGUGAAACUGUGGUUCCUUUGCUAAGGCAAUGGCACCCGUGUUGUCACAGAACAAGGUUAUUGGAUUCAGUGCGCUUGGCACCACUCCAAGAUCCGUCAUGAACUACUUCAUCCAGACACCCUCCUUAGCCGCCUCUGAGGCAGCCAUGUACUCCGCUUCACAUGUAGAAUCUGCUACAACGCUUUUCUUGGAACUGCACCAGCUUACCGCACCCCCAUUAAGAAUAAAUAUGUAUCCGGUUUGCGACUUAGAGUCGUCCGGAUCUGUGUCAAAGCUUGCAUCGACGUAACCCUUUACGGCGAGCUCUUCGUCACCUCCAUACACGAGAAACAUCUCCUUAGUCCUUUUCAGGUACUUCGGGAUAUUCUUGACCGCUGUCCAGUGAUCCACUCCUGGAUUACUCUGGAACCUACCUGCCAUACUUAUGGCCAGGCUAACAUCCGGUCUAGUGCACAGCAUUGCAUACAUGAUAGAACCUAUGGCUGAAGCAUAGGGGACGGAGCGCAUAUGCUCUCUAUCUUCAUCAGUUGCUGGGCACUGAGUCUUACUCAAUCUCGUACCUUGUAAAACUGGCAAGAACCCUUUCUUGGACUGUUCCAUUUUGAACCUCUUCAAAACUUUAUCAAGGUAUGUGCUUUGUGAAAGUCCUAUCAGGCGUUUUGAUCUAUCCCUAUAGAUCUUAAUGCCUAGAAUGUAAGCAACUUCUCCUAGGUCCUUCAUAGAGAAACUUUUAUUCAAGUAAUCCUUUAUGCUCUCCAAAAACUCUACGUUGUUUCCAAUCAGCAAUAUGUCAUCCACAUAUAAUAUUAGAAACGCCACAGAGCUCCCACUCACUUUCUUGUAAAUACAAGAUUCUCCAACCACUUGUAUAAACCCAAAUGCUUUGAUGACCUCAUCAAAGCGCUUGUUCCAACUCCGAGAUGCUUGCACCAGUCCAUAAAAGGAUCGUUGGAGCUUGCACACCUUGUUAGCAUUCUUAGGAUCGACAAAACCUUCGGGUUGCAUCAUAUACAAUUCUUCCUUAAGGAAACCGUUAAGGAACGCCGUUUUGACAUCCAUCUGCCAGAUUUCAUAAUCGAAAAAUGCAGCUAUUGCUAACAUGAUUCUGACGGACUUAAGCAUCGCUACGGGUGAGAAUGUCUCAUCGUAGUCAAUUCCUGGAACUUGUGAAAAACCCUUUGCCACAAGUCGAGCUUUAUAAAUGGUCACAUUGCCGUCAGCGUCCAUCUUCCUCUUAAAGAUCCAUUUGUUCUGAAUAGCCUUGCGGCCCUCAGGCAGUACCUCCAAAGUCCACACUUUGUUCUCAUACAUGGAUCCUAUCUCGGACUUCAUGGCUUCUAGCCAUUUGUUGGAAUCCGGGCCCACCAUUGCUUCUUCAUAAUUUGCAGGUUCAUUGUUGUCCAACAACAUGAUUGACAAGACGGAAUUACCGUACCACUCUGGAGCAGCACGUGGUCUCGUCGACCUGCGUGGUUCGACAGAAACUUGAACCGGAGUUUCAUGAUCAUCAUCAUUAACUUCCUCCUCAACCGGCGUCGCAACGACAGAGGUUUCCCCUUGUCCUGCGCCACCAUCCAGAGGGAUGAGAGGUUCGACAACCUCGUCAAGUUCUAUCUUCCUCCCACUCAAUUCUCUCGAGAGAAACUCCUUCUCGAGAAAAGCUCCGUUUUUAGCAACAAACACUUUGUCCUCGGAUUUGAGAUAGAAGGUGUACCCAACUGUCUCUUUUGGGUAACCUAUGAAGACGCACUUUUCUGCUUUGGGUUCCAGCUUUUCAGGCUGAAGCUUUUUGACAUAAGCAUCACAUCCCCAAACUUUAAGAAACGACAACUUUGGCCUUUUGCCAUACCACAGUUCGUAUGGUGUCGUCUCAACGGAUUUUGAUGGUGCCCUAUUUAAAGUGAAUACAGUUGUUUCUAAUGCAUAACCCCAAAACGAUAACGGCAAAUCGGUAAGAGACNNNNNNNNNNNNNNNNNNNNNNNNNNNNNNNNNNNNNNNNNNNNNNNNNNNNNNNNNNNNNNNNNNNNNNNNNNNNNNNNNNNNNNNNNNNNNNNNNNNNCAUCAGCUUCGGCAGCCUGGCGAGCAAGAGCGGCGCCGACCUGGACUCAUGUUAUGCAACUUUGUGGUGUCGACAAGUGAGUGCUGCCCUCUCAAUUCUUUUGUUGGAUAUAUGUAGUAUUUGUACAAUGUUAUUUCUUUUUCAGUCUGAUUAGUAACUAGAAGUUAUUCUUACUGUAGGUAUGCAGUUGAUGCUUAUGCAAUAUUUUGUGCGGGUAGGGCGAGGGAGGUGGUACCUGAUGAUCACAAAUUAGUUGAUUACUUGAAUUAUGUUUGCUUUAAGUUGCCCAUAGCACAUGUAGUAUUCUCGACACAUAAAUUUUAACAAAUUGCUCUGAGCUUUAUAGUUUCAUGGCUUUGUGAGAUGCUAAUCAUGAACUAAAAAUGCUCAUGAGCUUCUCUGAACUUCUCCAUACACGUACUAGCACAACGACUUCGGGUACUGUAAUUUUUACACCACCUCGAACCCAACUUCCAUUGCAGUGCCACUCAGUAAGUCAUAUUGAUUGGAUUUCUUUUUCUUACCAAGCGUAGCCGGCUCUUCCCGUGAUUCGAACUCUCACACGAAGAGUCUGCCCUCCGCCCCUCCUCAUGAAGGCCCAUUCCCACUCGACGGUAGCUCCCUCCCUCUCAUGCCAUGCUUCGGUUAUGUUUGUUUUGUCUUUAACUUGUUGGGGAACGUCGCAUGGGAAACAAAAAAUUUCCUACACGCACGAAGACCUAUCAUGGUGAUGUCCAUCUACGAGAGGUGAUAUUCGAUCUACGUACCCUUGUAGAUCGCACAGCAGAAGCGUUAAGAAACGCGGUUGAUGUAGUGGAACGUCCUCACGUCCCUCGAUCCGCCCCGCGAACCGUCCCGCGAUCCGUCCCACGAUCUAGUGCCGAACGGACGGCACCUCCGCGUUCAGCACACGUACAGCUCGACGAUGAUCUCGGCCUUCUUGAUCCAGCAAGAGAGGCGGAGAGGUAGAUGAGUUCUCCGGCAGCGUGACGGUGUUGGGGAACGUCACAUGGGAAACAAAAAAUUUCCUACGCGCACGAAGACCUAUCAUGGUGAUGUCCAUCUACGAGAGGUGAUAUUCGAUCUACGUACCCUUGUAGAUCGCACAGCAGAAGCGUUAAGAAACGCGGUUGAUGUAGUGGAACGUCCUCACGUCCCUCGAUCCGCCCCGCGAACCGUCCCGCGAUCCGUCCCACGAUCUAGUGCCGAACGGACGGCACCUCCGCGUUCAGCACACGUACAGCUCGACGAUGAUCUCGGCCUUCUUGAUCCAGCAAGAGAGACGGAGAGGUAGAUGAGUUCUCCGACAGCGUGACGGCGCUCCGGAGGUUGGUGGUGAUCUUAUCUCAGGAGGGCUCCGCCCGAGCUCCGCAGAAACGCGAUCUAGAGGUAAAACCGUGGAGAUAUGUGGUCGGGCUGCCGUGACAAAGUUGUGUCAAAUCAGCCCUAAAACCUCCGUAUAUAUAGGGGGAGGAGGGGGAGCCUUGCCUUGGGGUCCAAGGACUCCCAAGGGGGUCGGCCGAGCCUAAGGGGGGAACCCUCCCCUUCCAAACCGAGUCCAACUAGGUUUGGAAGGAGGAGUCCUUCCCCCUUUUCCCAGCUCCUCUUUUUUUACUCUUUGAUUUUCUUCCUAUGGCGCAUAGGGCCUUCUUGGGCUGUCCNNNNNNNNNNNNNNNNNNNNNNNNNNNNNNNNNNNNNNNNNNNNNNNNNNNNNNNNNNNNNNNNNNNNNNNNNNNNNNNNNNNNNNNNNNNNNNNNNNNNACAGAAUGACAUACGGGAUUAUAUGAAUCCUUGGCACUGAGGUUCAAACGAUAAGAUCUUCAUAGAAUAUGUGGGAUCCAAUAUGGGCAUCCAGGUCCCGCUAUUGGAAAUUGACCGAGGAGUCACUCGGGUCAUGUCUGCAUAGUUCUCGAACCCGCAGGGUCUGCACACUUAAGGUUAGACGCUGUUUUAUGCGUAUUUGAGUUAUAUGGUUGGUUACCGAAUGUUGUUCGGAGUCCCGGAUGAUAUCACGGACAUCACGAGGGUUUCCGGAAUGGUUCGGAAAUAUAGGAUGACCUCAUUUGAUUACCGGAAGGUUUUCGGAGUUACCGGGAAUGUACCGGGAAUGACGAAUGGGUUCCGGGUGUUCACCGGGGGGGGGGGCAACCCACCCCGGGGAAGCCCAUAGGCCUUGGGGGUGGCGCACCAGCCCUUGGUGGGCUGGUGGGACAGCCCAAGAAGGCCCUAUGCGCCAUAGGAAGAAGAUCAAAGAGAAAAAAAGGGGAGGUGGGAAAAAGGGGAAGGACUCCACCUUCCAAACCUAGUUGGAUUCGGUUUGGAAGNNNNNNNNNNNNNNNNNNNNNNNNNNNNNNNNNNNNNNNNNNNNNNNNNNNNNNNNNNNNNNNNNNNNNNNNNNNNNNNNNNNNNNNNNNNNNNNNNNNNUCACGAGGGUUUCCGGAAUGGUCCGGAAACGAAGAUUGAUAUAUAGGAUGACCUCAUUUGAUUACCGGAAGGUUUUCGGAGUUACCGGGAAUGACGAAUGGGUUCCGGGAGUUCACCCGGGGGGGGGGGGGGCAACCCACCCUGGGGAAGCCCAUAGGCCUUGGGGGUGGCGCACCAGCCCUUAGUGGGCUGGUGGGACAGCCCAAGAAGGCCCUAUGCGCCAUAGGAAGAAAAUCAAAGAGAAAAGAAAAAAAGGAGGAGGUGGGAAAGGGAAGAAGGACUCCACCUUCCAAACCAAGUUGGAUUCGGUUUGGAAGGGGAGACCUUCCCCCUUUGGCUCGGCCGACCCCCUUGGGGCCUCUUGAGCCCCAAGGCAAGGCUCCCCCUCUUCCCCCUAUAUAUACGGAGGUUUUAGGGCUGAUUUGCGACAACUUUGCCACGGCAGCCCGACCACAUAUCUCCACGGUUUUACCUCUAGAUCGCGUUUCUGCGGAGCUCGGGCGGAGCCCUGCUGAGAUAAGAUCAUCACCAACCUCCGGAGCGCCGUCACGCUACCGGAGAACUCAUCUACCUCUCCGUCUCUCUUCAUGCGUAGAUGUCUUCUCGAGUAGAACACAAAAGUUUUUGUCUUCUCGANNNNNNNNNNNNNNNNNNNNNNNNNNNNNNNNNNNNNNNNNNNNNNNNNNNNNNNNNNNNNNNNNNNNNNNNNNNNNNNNNNNNNNNNNNNNNNNNNNNNAACAUGCUACGUCUAUUAGUUUGGGUCUAGUCCAUCACAUGAUUCUCCUAAUGAUGUGAUCCCGUUAUCAAGUAACAACACUUGCCUAUGGCCAGGAAACCUUGACCAUCUUUGAUCAACGAGCUAGUCAACUAGAGGCUUACUAGGGACAGUGUUUUGUCUAUGUAUCCACACAAGUAUUGUGUUUCCAAUCAAUACAAUUAUAGCAUGGAUAAUAAACGAUUAUCACGAACAAAGAAAUAUAAUAAUAACUAAUUAUUAUUGCCUCUAGGGCAUAUUUCCAACAAUCGCUACCGCUCAGAUGGCAAGAAGCAGUGACGCCGACGCGGAGGCAAGGAAGGAGGCGAGGAGGAGCAUCCGCACCGGGCCGCCGCCGAUGGCGCCGGAGCAGUAGUUGCCGAACGCGCCGCCCGGGUACUCGUACUGCCGGUCGCCGCCCUCUUUGUUGGGUAACGUAGCAUAAAUUCAAAAUUUUCCUACGCAUGUUCAGAUCUUCCUAUGGAGAGACCAGCAACGAGAGAGGGGUAAGAGCAUCUUCAUACCUUUGAAGAUUGCUAAGCGGAAGCGUUGCUAGAACGCGGUUGAUGGAGUCGUACUCGCAGCGAUUCCGAUCUAGUGCCGAACAACGGCACCUCCGCGUUCAACACACGUGCAGCCCGGUGACGUCUCCCGCACCUUGAUCCAGCAAGGAGGAGGGAGAGGUUGGGGAAGAAUACCAGCAACACGACGGCGUGGUGUUGGUGGAGAGACGAGGUCUCCCGGCAGGGCUUCGCCAAGCGCCGGCACAGAGGAGGAGGAAGAAGUGCAGGGCUGCGCCGAGGGAGAGGGAAAACCGUGUCCUCCAAAGGCCAAAAGUGCCCACUAUAUAUAGGGGAAGGGGAGAGGGGGUGCCACCCCUAGGGUUCCCACCCUAGGGGGUGCGGCAGCCCUCCCAGAUGGGGGGUGUGGCGGCCAGAUGAGGGAGGAGGGGUGGCGCACCCCUCUGGUGGGCCUAAGGCCCACCUAAGUUAGGGUUCCCCCCUCUCCCCUUUUUUCUCGUGCACAUGGGCUGGGUGGGGGGCGCACCAGCCCACUUAGGGGCUAGUUCCCUUACCCACUUAGCCCAUCUAGCCUCCCGGGGUCGUCACCCCCUUUCGGUGGCCCCCCGGGACCACCUCCGGUGGUCCCGGUGGUCCCGGUGCGUUACCGGUGAUGCCCGAAACACUUCCGGUGUCCGAAACCAUCCGUCCUAUAUAUAAAUCUUUACCUCCGGACCAUUCCGGAGCUCCUCAUGACGUCCGGGAUCUCAUCCGGGACUCCGAACAACUUUCGGUAAUCUCGUAUAACAAUUCCCUAUAACCCUAGCGUCAUUGAACCUUAAGUGUGUAGACCCUACGGGUUCGGGAGACAGGCAGACAUGACCGAGACACCUCUCUGGCCAAUAACCAUCAGCGGGGUCUGGAUACCCAUGGUGGCUCCCACUAGCUCCACGANNNNNNNNNNNNNNNNNNNNNNNNNNNNNNNNNNNNNNNNNNNNNNNNNNNNNNNNNNNNNNNNNNNNNNNNNNNNNNNNNNNNNNNNNNNNNNNNNNNNAUGAUCGGGUGUGAUAGACUCAACGUUCACAUACAACGGGUGCAAAACAGUUGCGCACGCGGAACACUCGGGUUAAGCUUGACGAGCCUAGCAUGUGUAGACGUGGCCUCGGAACACAUGAGACCGAAAGGUCGAUCAUGAAUCAUAUAGAUGAUAUGAUUAGCAUGGGGAUGCUUACCGCUGAAACUAUGCUCAACUCACGUGAUGAUCGGACUUGAGCUAGUGUAGGUGGAUCAUGAACCACUCAAAUGACUAGAGAGAUGUACUUUUUGAGUGGGAGUUUAGCGAGUAAUUUGAUUAAGUUAAACUCUAAUUAUCUUGAACAUAGUCUAAGUCCACUUUGAAUAUAUUUGUGUUGUAGAUCAUGGCUCACGCGACAGUCACCCUGAAUUUUAAUACGUUCCUAGAGAAAGCUAAGUUGAAAGAUGAUGGAAGCAACUUUGUAGACUGGGCUCGUAAUCUUAAGCUAAUCUUACAAGCUCGGAAGAAGGAUUAUGUCCUUAAUGCUGCGCUAGGAGAUGAACCACCCGCUACGGCUGAUCAGGAUGUUGAGAACGCUUGGUUAGCACAUAAGGAGGACUACUCAGUAGUUCAAUGUGCAGUCUUGUAUGGCUUAGAACCAGGACUUCAACGUCGCUUUGAGCGUCAUGGAGCAUUUGAGAUGUUCCAGGAGCUGAAGUUUAUCUUUCAGAAGAACGCCCGGAUCAAGAGGUAUGAGACCUCCGAUAAAUUCUAUGCUUGCAAGAUGGAGGAGAACUCGCCUGUCAGUGAACAUGUGCUCAAAAUGUCUGGGGUACUCAAACCGUCUAGCUGAGCUGGGGAUUGAACUCCCACAAGAAGCUAUCACUGACAGAAUCCUUCAAUCACUGCCGCCAAGCUAUAAAGGCUUUGUGUUGAACUACAACAUGCAAGGGAUGAACAAGUCUCUUGGCGAGUUGUUUGCGAUGCUGAAAGUCGCAGAGUCUGAACUCCGUAAAGAACAUCAAGUGUUGAUGGUGAAUAAGACCACUAGUUUCAAGAGAAACGGCAAAGGCAAGAAGGGUAAUUCAAAGAAGAGCGGCAAGCCUUUUUCCAAUCCGACAAAGAAACCCAAAGCUGGACCUAAGCCUGAAACAGAGUGUUACUAUUGCAAGGGUAUGGGUCACUGGAAGCGCAAUUGCCCCAAGUAUUUGGCUGAUAAGAAGGCGGGCAAAGAAAAAUCAGGUAUAUUUGAUAUACAUUUUAUUGAUGUGUACUUAACCGACUCUCGUAGUAGUGCCUGGGUAUUCGAUGCCGGUUCUGUUGCUCAUAUUUGCAACUCGAAACAGGAACUGCGGAAUAGACGAAGGCUGGCGAAAGAUGAAGUGACGAUGCGCGUAGGAAAUGGUUCCAAGGUUGAUGCAAUCGCCGUCGGCACAGUUUCACUUCGGUUACCAUCAGGAUUAGUUAUGAACUUGAAUCAUUGUUAUUUGGUGCUUGCCUUAAGCAUGAACAUGAUUGGAUCGUGUUNNNNNNNNNNNNNNNNNNNNNNNNNNNNNNNNNNNNNNNNNNNNNNNNNNNNNNNNNNNNNNNNNNNNNNNNNNNNNNNNNNNNNNNNNNNNNNNNNNNNGGGGGGGGGGGGCAACCCACCCCGGGGAAGCCCAUAGGCCUUGGGGGUGGCGCACCAGCCCUUGGUGGGCUGGUGGGACAGCCCAAGAAGGCCCUAUGCGCCAUAGGAAGAAGAUCAAAGAGAAAAAAAGGGGAGGUGGGAAAAAGGGGAAGGACUCCACCUUCCAAACCUAGUUGGAUUCGGUUUGGAAGGGGAGGACUCCCCCCUUGGCUCGGCCGACCCCCUUGGGGCUCCUUGAGCCCCAAGGCAAGGCCCCCCUCUCCCACCUAUAUAUACGGAGGUUUUAGGGCUGAUUUGAGACAACUUUGCCACGGUAGCCCGACCACAUACCUCCACGGUUUUACCUCUAGAUCGCGUUUCUGCGGAGCUCGGGCGGAGNNNNNNNNNNNNNNNNNNNNNNNNNNNNNNNNNNNNNNNNNNNNNNNNNNNNNNNNNNNNNNNNNNNNNNNNNNNNNNNNNNNNNNNNNNNNNNNNNNNNNNNNNNNNNNNNNNNNNNNNNNNNCCACCAACCUCCGGAGCGACGUCACGCUGCCGGAGAACUCAUCUACCUCUCCGUCUCUCUUGCUGGAUCAAGAAGGCCGAGAUCAUCGUCGAGCUGUACGUGUGCUGAACGCGGAGGUGCCGUCCGUUCGGCACUAGAUCAUGGGACGGAUCGCGGGACGGUUCGCGGGGCGGAUCGAGGGACGUGAGGACGUUCCNNNNNNNNNNNNNNNNNNNNNNNNNNNNNNNNNNNNNNNNNNNNNNNNNNNNNNNNNNNNNNNNNNNNNNNNNNNNNNNNNNNNNNNNNNNNNNNNNNNNACAGCGUGACGGCGCUCCGGAGGUUGGUGGUGAUCUUAUCUCAGGAGGGCUCCGCCCGAGCUCCGCAGAAACGCGAUCUAGAGGUAAAACCGUGGAGAUAUGUGGUCGGGCUGCCGUGACAAAGUUGUGUCAAAUCAGCCCUAAAACCUCCGUAUAUAUAGGGGGAGGAGGGGGAGCCUUGCCUUGGGGUCCAAGGACUCCCAAGGGGGUCGGCCGAGCCUAAGGGGGGAACCCUCCCCUUCCAAACCGAGUCCAACUAGGUUUGGAAGGAGGAGUCCUUCCCCCUUUUCCCAGCUCCUCUUUUUUUACUCUUUGAUUUUCUUCCUAUGGCGCAUAGGGCCUUCUUGGGCUGUCCCACCAGCCCACUAAGGGCUGGUGCGCCACCCCCAAGGCCUAUGGGCUUCCCCGAGGUGGGUUGCCCCCCCCGGUGAACACCCGGAACCCAUUCGUCAUUCCCGGUACAAUCCCGGUAACUCCGAAAACCUUCCGGUAAUCAAAUGAGGUCAUCCUAUAUAUCAAUCUUCGUUUUUGGACCAUUCCGGAAACCCUCGUGACGUCCGUGAUCUCAUCCGGGACUNNNNNNNNNNUUCCGAACCAUUCCGGAAACCCUCGUGAUGUCCGUGAUAUCAUCCGGGACUCCGAACAACAUUCGGUAACCAACCAUAUAACUCAAAUACGCAUAAAACAGCGUCUAACCUUAAGUGUGCAGACCCUGCGGGUUCGAGAACUAUGCAGACAUGACCCGAGUGACUCCUCGGUCAAUUUCCAAUAGCGGGACCUGGAUGCCCAUAUUGGAUCCCACAUAUUCUAUGAAGAUCUUAUCGUUUGAACCUCAGUGCCAAGGAUUCAUAUAAUCCCGUAUGUCAUUCUGUUUUGUCCUUCGGUAUGUUACUUGCCCGAGAUUCGAUCGUCAGUAUCCGCAUACCUAUUUCAAUCUCGUUUACCGGCAAGUCUCUUUACUCGUUCCGUAAUACACGAUCCCGCAACUUACACUAAGUCACAUUGCUUGCAAGGCUUGUGUGCGAUGUUGUAUUACCGAGUGGGCCCCGAGAUACCUCUCCGUCAUACGGAGUGACAAAUCCCAGUCUUGAUCCAUACUAACUUAACGAACACCUUCGGAGAUACCUGUAGAGCAUCUUUAUAGUCACCCAGUUACGUUGCGACGUUUGAUACACACAAAGCAUUCCGCCGGUCUCAGUGAGUUAUAUGAUCUCAUGUUCAUAGGAACAAAUACUUGACACGCAGAAAACAGUAGCAACAAAAUGANNNNNNNNNNAUCACAUGAUUCUCCUAAUGAUGUGAUCCCGUUAUCAAGUAACAACACUUGCCUAUGGCCAGGAAACCUUGACCAUCUUUGAUCAACGAGCUAGUCAACUAGAGGCUUACUAGGGACAGUGUUUUGUCUAUGUAUCCACACAAGUAUUGUGUUUCCAAUCAAUACAAUUAUAGCAUGGAUAAUAAACGAUUAUCANNNNNNNNNNAGAUCCCGCAACUUACACUAAGUCACAUUGCUUGCAAGGCUUGUGUGUGAUGUUGUAUUACCGAGUGGGCCCCGAGAUACCUCUCCAUCACACGGAGUGACAAAUCCCAGUCUCGAUCCAUACUAACUGAACGAACACCUUCGGAGAUACCUGUAGAGCAUCUUUAUAGUCACCCAGNNNNNNNNNNNNNNNNNNNNNNNNNNNNNNNNNNNNNNNNNNNNNNNNNNNNNNNNNNNNNNNNNNNNNNNNNNNNNNNNNNNNNNNNNNNNNNNNNNNNCCAAGUGCCAGUUCCUGUUUUUUUCCGUGUUUUUGACCCUUUUCAGAGGAGGAUUUUAAACGGAGUCCAAACGGAACGAAACUUCCAAAAAGAUUUUUUCCGAAACAGAAGACGAUCGGGGGACUUGAGAACCAAGGCAGGGGGCCACCAGGGACCCCACAAGCCCCCUAGCCGCGGCCAGGGGGCCCGCACCUCCCAGGCUUGUGGGCUCCUUGGGCCUCCUCUGCCCUAGGUCUUUCGCCUAUAUAUUACCAAAAAUUCCAGAAAAAAUUAGGAGAUCAUCGAAAGUACUUUUCCGCCGCCGCAAGCUUCUGUCUCCGCAAGAUCCCAUCUGGGGCACGUUCUGGUGCCCUGCCGGAGGGGGGAUUCCGAUACGUAGGGCUUAUUCAUCAACACCAUGACCUCUCCGAUGAUGCGUGAGUAGUUCACCAUAGACCUACGGGUCCAUAUCUAGUAGCUAGAUGGCUUGUUCUCUCUCUUGGAUCUUUAAUACAAAGUUCUCCAUGAUCUUCAUGGAGAUCUAUCCGAUGUAAUCUUCUUUUGCGGUGUGUUUGUCGAGAUCCGAUGAAUUGUGGAUUUAUGAUCAGAUUAUCUAUGAAUCUUAUUUGAGUUUCUUCUGAUCUCUUAUAUGCAUGAUUUCAUAUCCUUGUAAUUCUCUUCGAGUUGUGGGUUUCGUUUGGCCAACUUGAUCUAUGAUUCUUGCAAUGGGAGAAGUGCUUGGUUUUGGGUUCAUACCGUGUGGUAACCUCACCCAGUGACAGAAGGGGUAGCGAGGCACGCAUCGUGUUGUUGCCAUCAAGGGUAAAAAGAUGGGGUUUUCCUCAUUGGUUUGAGAUUAUCCCUCUACAUCAUGUCAUCUUGCUUAAGGCGUUACUCUGUUCGUCAUGAACUCAAUACACUAGAUGCAUGCUGGAUAGCGGUCGAUGUGUGGAGUAAUAGUAGUAGAUGAAGAAAGUAUCGGUCUACUUGUCUCGGACGUGAUGCCUAUAUGUAUGAUCAUUGCCUUAGAUAUCGUCAUGACUUUGCGCGGUUCUAUCAAUUGCUCGAUAGUAAUUUGUUCACCCACCGUAAUAUCUGCUAUUUUGAGAGAAGCCUCUAGUGAACACUAUGGCCACCGGGUCUACUUCACACCAUAUUUUCAGCCUUACUCUUUUAGUUCGUUGCACUUUCCGCCUUCAGAUCUCACUUUGCAAUCAAUCUUGAUGGGAUUGACAACCCAUUCAUAGCGUUGGGUGCAAGCUCUUUUGUGUUUGCGCAGGUACUCUGGACUUGACGAGAUUCUCCUACUGGANNNNNNNNNNCUGCUCCUGUGCUGCAUCACCCUUUCCUCUUCAAGGGAAAAACCAACGCAAGCAAGUCUCCGUCAACAUGUCAAUUUCUGGCACUUUUGUUUGAGAAGUAGCAGAAGGAUUUCUAGCGCCGUUGCCGGGGAGGAUCAAGUCAAGAACUCAUCCAAGUAAGUGUCGCAAACUCAUCUCUUGCAUUUACUUUUUUGCCUCUCGAUUUCCUCUCCCCCACUUCUGAAAAACAAAAGUUUACAAAAAAAUAUUUGCCCUUUUCUUCGUUUGCCUUUUUCGUUCGCCGUUUUCUCUCGCUUGUUCUUUGUUCGCUUGUGUGCUUGCUUGCUUGCUGAAGUCACCAUGACUGAAAACACCAAACUUUGUGACUUUUCAAAUACUAAUAAUAAUGAUUUUAUUAGUACUCCGAUUGCUCCCGCCACUAGUGCGGAGUCGUACGAAAUCAAUGCCGCUUUGCUGAAUCUUGUUAUGAAAGAGCAAUUCUCUAGCCUUCCUAGUGAAGAUGUUGCAUCCCAUCUUAAUACCUUCAUUGAGCUUUGCGAUAUGCAAAAGAAGAAAGAUGUGGAUAAUGAUGUGAUUAAAUUGAAGCUUUUUCCUUUCUCGUUGCGAGAUCGAGCAAAAACUUGGUUUUCGUCUUUGCCCAAAAAUAGUAUUGAUUCUUGGAAUAUGUGCAAAGAUGCUUAUAUAUCCAAGUAUUUUCCGCCGGCUAAGAAUAUCUCUCUCCGUAAUGAUAUCAUGAAUUUUAAGCAACUUGAUCAUGAACAUGUUGCACAAUCUUGGGAGAGGAUGAAAUUGAUGAUUAGAAAUUUUCCCGCUCAUGGCUUGAGUCAUUGGAUGAUUAUACAAAUCUUCUACGCUGGCUUGAAUUUCGCUUCUAGAAAUAUCUUGGACUCCGCCUCCGGUGGAACGUUCAUGGAAAUCACGUUAGGAGAAGCCACAAAACUCCUAGCGAAUAUCAUGACGAACUACUCUCAGUGGCACACUGAAAGGUCACCUACUAGUAAGAAGUUACACGCUAUAGAAGAAAUUAACUCGUUAAGUGCUAAGAUGGAUGAGUUAAUGAAUUUGUUUGCUAGUAGAAGUGCUCCUUUAGAUCCUAAUGAUAUGCCAUUGUCUUCCCUGAUUGAGAGUAGCAACGCUAGCUUGGACGUUAAUUUUGUUGGUAGGAAUACUUUUGGCAACAACAAUGCUUUUAGAGGAAACUAUGUUCCUAGGCCUUUUCCUAGUAACUCCUCUAAUAACUUUGGCAACUCCCACAACAAUACUCAUGGAAAUUACAAUAGAUUACCCUUUGAUCUAGAGAGUAAUAUCAAAGAGUUUAUCAAUUCACAAAAGAUUUUCAAUGCGUCCAUAGAGGAAAAACUACUUAAAAUUGAUGAUUUGGCUAGGAGCGUUGAUAGAAUGUCUAGAUUGAUGCUUUGAAAGUUAGAUGUGCUCCUCCCAAGAUCAAUAUGGAUGAAACUUUGAAAGCUAUGCGUGUUUCCAUGAGUGAGAGCAAAGAAAGAACCGCCCAAAUUCGUGCUAGACAUGAAUGGCUUAAAGGCGUGUUCUCGUGAUAAGAAUCACGAAGAUCUUAAAGUGCUUGGUGUGACUCCCAUUGAAUCUUUGUUUUGUUGUGUCAAACCUAAUGAUGAUGGGGCUGGAUAUGAAUCCACUUUGGUUGAAAAAUGCCCCAAUGAUUCGGAGUCCAUCUAUCUUGAUGCUAAAAGCAUUGAAAGUGGAGUAGAAGAUAUUAAAACUUUGAGUAGUAAUGAAAUUACUACUUUUAAUUUCAAGGAAUUCAAUUAUGAUAGUUGCUCCUUGAUUGAAUGCAUUUCCUUGAUGCAAUCCAUGCUAAACUCUCCACACGCUUAUAGCCAAAACAAGGCCUUUACCGAUCAUAUCAUCGAAGCUAUGAUAAAAUCUCUUGAAGAGAAACUUGAAUUGGAAGUUUCUAUCCCUAGAAAGCUUCAUGAUGAGUGGGAACCUAUUAUCAAAAUCAAAAUCAAAAACUAUGAAUGCAAUGCCUUGUGUGAUUUGGGUGCUAGUGUUUCCGCGAUUCCAAAGUCUUUAUGUGAUGUUCAGGGUUUUAAUGAGAUUGAGGAGUGUUCUCUUAAUUUGCAUCUUGUGGAUUCUACUGUCAAGAAACCCAUGGUAAGGAUCAAUUAUGUUCUUAUUAUUUCAAAUAGGAACUAUGUAACCGUGGAUUUCAUUCUGCUUGACAUUGAUUGCAAUCCUACAUGCCCUAUCAUUCUUGGUAGACCUUUCCUAAGGACUAUCGGUGCUAUCACCGAUAUGAAGGAAGGGAAUAUUAGAUUUCAAUUUCAUUUAAGGAAGGGCAUGGAGCACUUUCCUAGAAAGAAAAUAAGAUUGCCUUAUGAAUCCAUGAUGAGGGCUACUUAUGGUUUGAGCACCAAAGACGACGAUACGUGAUUCUAUCGCUCAAUACCUGGCUAAGGACGUUAAACAAUAGCGCUUGUUGGGAGGCAAUCCAAUAAAUUUAUCUUUUUUCUUUAUGUUUUCUUGCGUCCUCACCAUCAUAAUUCUGUUAUCAUUGUGUAUUUUGUGUUUUUUGUGUGUUUGAGCCAAGCAAAACCUUUAUGACUAGUCUUGGUGAUGGUUGUUUGAUCCUGCUGGAAAAAGACAGAAACUUUUUGUUCACGAGAUUAUUUUUCAUUUUUAUUCAGAAAGAGCUUUUGAGUUGAUUCUUUUUGCUGCUUGUUGAUAUGCCUUUUUCCCACGCAGUAGUAAGUUUUCAAAAAAAUUGAGGUACCAGAAGUAUACGAAUUAUACAGAUUGAUAUAGACUGGUUUGUUUUUGACAUAUUCUGUUUUGUUGAGUUGGUUGCUUGUUUUGAUGAAACUAUGUAUAGUAUCGGGGGGUACUAGCCAUGGAAAGGUGAGAAUACAGUAAUCUAACACCAAUACAAAUAUAAAUCAUGAUUGAUAUAUUACCUAAAGAGGUGGUAAGUUGUUUUCUUGUGCUAAUGAUAUCACAAGUUUCUGUUUAAGUUUUGUGUUGUGAAGUUUUCAAGUUUUGGGUGAUGUUCUCAUGGACAAAGGGAUAAAGAGUCGAAAGAGCUCAAGCUUGGUGAUGCCCAAGGCAUCCCAAGCCAAAUUCAAGGACACCAAAAAGCCUAAGCUUGGGGAUGCCCCGGGAAGGCAUCCCCUCUUUCGUCUUCAAAUCCAUCGGUAACAUUACUUGGAGCUAUAUUUUUAUUCACCACAUGAUAUGUGUUUUGCUUGGAGCGUCUUGUAUCGUAGGAGUCUUUUCUUUUUGUUGUGUCACAAUCAUCCUUUCCGCACACCUUUUGAGAGAGACAUGCACUCAUCGUGAAUUGCUAGAAUGCUCAUCGUGCUUCACUUAUAUCUUUUGAGNNNNNNNNNNACUUAGAUCUUUUAGAGCACGGCGGUGCGUGACUUGGUAGUUGGCUUGUGCUAUGAAAGUAGUCCCAAAGGUGAUAGGUACCCAAAGAGGAUACAAAAACCUCCAUCUUCAUGUGCAUUGAGUAGAAAGAGAAGUCUUGAUUCCUCUCAACUAGUUUUGAGACGUGGAUUUGGUAAUAUUAAGAGUUAUGUUAGUAGGGUGUUGUGAAUCUAGAAAUACUUGUGUUGAAGUUAGUGAUUCCCGUAGAAUGCACAUAUGGUGAACCGCUAUGUUAGGAAGUCGUAGCAUAAUUGAUCUAUUGAUUGUCAUCCUUUGUGUUGAGGUCGGGAUCGCGUGAUGGUUAACACCUACAAACCCUUCCCCUAGGAGUAUGCGUUUAACACUUUGUUCCGAUUACUAAUAAAAACUUUCGCAACCAGUAUGUGAGUUCUUCAUGACUAAUGUGAGUCCAUGGUAUAGAUGCACUUUCACCUUCCACCAUUGCUAGCCUCUCUAGUGCCGCGCAACUUUAGCCGGUACACAAACCCACCAUAUGCCUUCCUCAAAACAGCCACCAUACCUACCUACUAUGGCAUUUUCAUAGCCAUUCCCAGAUAUAUUGCCAUGCAACUUCCACCGUUCCAUCUCGUGAUUUGUGCCAUCACUAUCAUAUUGCCUUUGCAUGAUCGUAAGAUAGCUAGCGAGAUGUUUCAACGUCGUACGCCAAGAUAGAUCGUUGUACAUCCCGGUACACUGCCGGAGGCAUUUUCUAUAGAGUCAUCAUCAUUCUGAGCUUUGAGCUGUGAGUAAAUAAAAGUGUGAUGAUCAUCAUUAUUAGAGCAUUGUUCCAUGUGAGGAAAUAAAAAAAAGAGGCCAAAGAGCCCAAAUAAAAAAAGAGAAAAAGAGAGGCCCAAGAGCCCAAAUAAAAAAAGGGAGAGAAAACGAGAGAAGGGACAAUGCUACUAUUUUUUUCCACACUUGUGCUUCAUAAUAGCACCAUGUUCUUCAUGAUUGAGAGCCUCUCGUUUCGUGAGCACCAUAUUCUAGUGGGAAUCUUUAUUAUAUAACUUGGCUUGUAUAUUCCAAUGAUGGGCUUCCUCAAAUUUCCCUAGGUCUUCGUGAGCAAGAAAGUUGGAUGCACACCACUAGUUCUCCUUUUGAGCUUUCACAUACUUAUAGGUCUAGUGCUUCCUUUGUAUGGCAAUCCUUACUCAUUCAUAUUGAUAUCUAUUAAUGGGCAUCUCCAUAGCCCUUUGAUACGCCGAGUCAAUGUGAUCAUCUCCUCCUUUUUGUCGCACAACCACCACCACACUCUAUUCCACCUACAGUGCUAUAUCCAUGGCUCACGCUCAUGUAUUGCAUGAUAGUUAUAAAAAGUUUGAGAAAGUAAGGGUGCGAAAACAAUUACUUGGCCAAUACCGGGGUUGUGAAUGAUUUAAAUUAGUUGUGUGAGGAUGAUGGAGCAUAGCCAGACUAUAUGAUUUUGUAGGGAUAACUUUCCUUGGCCUUGUUAUUUUGAAAGUUCAUGAUUACCUUGUUAUUUUGCUUUAAGUAUUAUUGUUUUCAUGUCAAUAGCAAACUAUUGUUUUGAAUCUUACAGAUCUGAACAUUCAUGUCACACGAAACAAGUUACAAAGGACUACUAUGCUAGGUAGCAUUCCACAUCAAAAGUUCAGUCUUUAUCACUUCCCCACUCGAGGACGAGCGGGAGUUAAGCUUGGGGAUGCUUGAUACGUCUCCAACGUAUCUAUAAUUUUUGAUGGUUUCAUGCUAUUAUCUUGUCAAACUUUGGAUGUUUUGUAUGCCUUUUAUAUCUUUUUUGGGACUAACUUAUUAACUCAGUGUCAAGUGCCAGUUCAUGUUUUUUCGUGUUUUUGACCCUUUUGAGAGGCGGAUUUUAAACGGAGUCCAAACGGAACGAAACUUCCAAAAAUAUUUUUUCCGAAACAGAAGACGAUCAGAAGACUUGAGAACCAAGGCAAGGGGCUGAUACGUCUCCAACGUGUCUAUAAUUUUUUAUGGUUUCAUACUAUUAUCUUGUCAAACUUUGGAAGUUUUGUAUGCCUUUUAUAUCUUUUUUGGGACUAACUUAUUAACUCACUGCCAAGUGCCAGUUCCCGCUUUUUCCGUGUUAUUGACCCUUUUCAGAGGAGGAUUUUAAACGGAGUCCAAACGGAACGAANNNNNNNNNNUGAAACAGAAGAAGAUCGGGGAGCAUGAGAACCAGGGCAGGGGGCCACCAGGGACCCCACAAGCCCCCUAGCCGCGGCCAGGGGCCCGCGCCUCCCAGGCUUGUGGGCUCCUUGGGCCACCUCUGCUCUAAGUCUUCCGCCUAUAUAUUCCCAAAAAUUCCAGAAAAAAUCAAGAGAUCAUCGAAAGUACUUUUCCGCCGCCGCAAGCUUAUGUCUUCGCAAGAUCCCAUCUGGGGCACGUUCUGGUGCCCUGCCGGAGGGGGGAUUCGGAUACGGAGGUCUUCUUCAUCAACACCAUGACCUCUCCUAUGAUGCGUGAGUAGUUCACCAUAGACCUACGGGUCCAUAGCUAGUAGCUAGAUGACUUCUUCUCUCUCUUGGAUCUUCAAUACAAAGUUCUCCAUGAUCUUCAUGGAGAUCUAUCCGAUGUAAUCUUCUUUUGUGGUGUGUUUGUCGACAUCCGAUGAAUUGUGGAUUUAUGAUCAGAUUAUCUAUGACUCUUAUUUGAGUUUCUUCUGAUCUCUUAUUUUCAUGAUUUCAUAUCCUUGUAAUUCUCUUCGAAUUGUGGGUUUUGUUUGGCCAGCUUGAUCUAUGAUUCUCGCAAUGGGAGAAGUGCUUGGUUUUGGGUUCAUACCAUGCGGUGACCUCAUCCAGUGACAGAAGGGUUAGCGAGGCACGCAUCGUGUUGUUGCCAUUAAGGGUAAAAAGAUGGGGUUUCANNNNNNNNNNNNNNNNNNNNNNNNNNNNNNNNNNNNNNNNNNNNNNNNNNNNNNNNNNNNNNNNNNNNNNNNNNNNNNNNNNNNNNNNNNNNNNNNNNNNAAUCACUUAGCAACCGAACUGGUAUCCAAUACCCUCGUGCUACUAGGAGUACUAGUAAAGUACACAUCAACAUCAUGUAUAUCAAAUAUACUUCUUUCGACUUUUGCCAGCCUUCUUAUCUACCAAGUAUCUAGAGUUGCUCCGCCUCAGUGACUGUUCCCCUCAUUACAGAAGCACUUAGUCUCGGGUUUGGGUUUAAUGUUGGGUCUCCUCAUUAGUGGAGCAACUGUUUUGCCGUUUCAUGAAGUAUCCCUUCUAGCCCUUGCCUUUCUUGAAACUUAGUGGUUUUACUAACCAUCAACUAUUGAUGCUUCUUCCUGAUUUCUACUUUCGCAGUGUCAAACAUUGCGAAUCGCUCAAGGAUCAUUAUAUCUAUCCUUGAUAUGUUAUAGUUCAUCACGAAGCUCUCACAGCUUGGUGGCAGUGAUUUUGGAGAACCAUCACUAUCUCAUCUGGAAGAUUAACUCCCACUUGAUUCAAGCGAUUGUCGUACUCAGACAAUCUGAGCACACACUCAACGAUUGAGCUUUUCUCCUUUACUUUGUGGACAAAGAAUCUUGUCGGAGGUCUCGUAUCUCUUAACAAGGGCACAAUCAUGAAAUCACAAUUUCAUCUCUUUAGAACAUCACUUAUGUUCCGUGACGUCUCAAAACGUCUUCGGCGCCUUGCUUCUAAUCCAUUAAGUAUUUUGCACUGAACUAUCGUGUAGUCAUCAGAAACGUGUAUGUCGGAUGUUCACAGCAUCCACAGACGACGCUCGAGGUGCAACACACCGAGUGGUGCAUUAAGGACAUAAGCCUUCUGCGCAACAACGAGGACAAUCAUCUGCAAAGUUUGCUACUAUCAACUUUCAACUAAAUUUUCUCUAGGAACAUAUAAAAACAGUAGAGCUAUAGCGCAAGCUACAUCGUAAUUGGCAAAGACCAUUAGACUAUGUUCAUGACAAUUAGUUCAAUUAAUCAUAUUACUUAAGAACUCCCACUCAAAAAGUACAUCUCUCUAGUCAUUUGAGUGGUACAUGAUCCAAAUCCACUAUCUCAAGUCCGAUCAUCACGUGAGUCGAGAAUAGUUUUAGUGGUAAGCAUCUCUAUGCUAAUCAUAUCAACUAUACGAUUCAUGCUCGACCUUUCAGUCUCAUGUGUUCCGAGGCCAUGUCUGCACAUGCUAGGCUCGUCAAGCUUAACCCGAGUGUUCCGUGUGUGCAACUAUUUUGCACCCGUUGUAUCUGAACGUUGAGUCUAUCACACCCGAUCAUCACGUGGUGUCUCGAAACGAAGAACUGUCGCAACGGUGCACAGUCGGGGAGAACACAAUUUCGUCUUGAAAUUUUAGUGAGAGAUCACCUCAUAAUGCUACCGUCGUUCUAAGCAAGAUAAGGUGCAAAAAAGGAUUAACAUCACAUGCAAUUCAUAAGUGACAUGAUAUGGCCAUCAUCACGUGCUUCUUGAUCUCCAUCACCAAAGCACCGGCACGAUCUUCUUGUCACCGGCGUCACACCAUGAUCUCCAUCAACGUGUUGCCACCGGGGUUGUCGUGCUACUCAUGCUAUUACUACUAAAGCUACAUCCUAGCAAAAUAGUAAACACAUCUGCAAGCACAAACGUUAGUUUAAAGACAACCCUAUGGCUCCUGCNNNNNNNNNNCCUUGAUCUCCAUCACCAAAGCACCGGCACGAUCUUCUUGUCACCGGCGCCACACCAUGAUCUCCAUCAACGUGUCGCCAUCGGGGUUGUCGUGCUACUCAUGCUAUUACUACAAAAGAUACAUCCUAGCAAAAUAGUAAACGCAUCUGCAAGCACAAACGUUAGUUUAAAGACAACCCUAUGGCUCCUGCNNNNNNNNNNNNNNNNNNNNNNNNNNNNNNNNNNNNNNNNNNNNNNNNNNNNNNNNNNNNNNNNNNNNNNNNNNNNNNNNNNNNNNNNNNNNNNNNNNNNCGGUUGCCGUACCAUCGACGUGCAAGUCGAUAUUAUCUAUUACAACAUGAUCAUCUCAUACAUCCAAUAUAUCACGUCACAUCGUCGUCCAUAUCACAUCACAAGCAUACCCUGCAAAAACAAGUUAGACGUCCUCUAAUUUUGGUGUUGCAUGUUUUACGUGGUGACCAUGGGUAUCUAGUAGGAUCGCAUCUUACUUACGCAAACACCACAACGGAGAUAUAUGAAUUGCUAUUUAACCUUAUACAAGGACCUCCUCGGUCAAAUCCGAUUCAACUAAAGUUGGAGAAACUGACACUUGCCAGUCAUCUUUGAGCAACGGGGUUACUCGUAGCGAUGAAACCAGUCUCUCGUAAGCGUACGAGUAAUGUCGGUCCAAGCCGCUUCAAUCCAACAAUACCGCGGAAUCAAGAAAAGACUAAGGAGGGAAGCAAAACGCACAUCACCGCCCACAAAAACUUUUGUGUUCUACUCGAGAAGACAUCUACUCGAGAAGACAAAAACUUUUGUGUUCUACUCGAGAAGACAUCUACGCAUGAAGAGAGACGGAGAGGUAGAUGAGUUCUCCGGUAGCGUGACGGCGCUCCGGAGGUUGGUGAUGAUCUUAUCUCAGCAGGGCNNNNNNNNNNGUUGAUCCGGCAAGAGAGACGGAGAGGUAGAUGAGUUCUCCGGCAGCGUGACGGCGCUCCGGAGGUUGGUGAUGAUCUUAUCUCAGCAGGGCUCCGCCCGAGCUCCGCAGAAACGCGAUCUAGAGGUAAAACCGUGGAGAUAUGUGGUCGGGCUGCCGUGGCAAAGUUGUCGCAAAUCAGCCCUAAAACCUCCGUAUAUAUAGGGGGAAGAGGGGGAGCCUUGCCUUGGGGCUCAAGAGGCCCCAAGGGGGUCGGCCGAGCCAAAGGGGGAAGGUCUCCCCUUCCAAACCGAAUCCAACUUGGUUUGGAAGGUGGAGUCCUUCUUCCCUUUCCCACCUCCUCCUUUUUUUNNNNNNNNNNNNNNNNNNNNNNNNNNNNNNNNNNNNNNNNNNNNNNNNNNNNNNNNNNNNNNNNNNNNNNNNNNNNNNNNNNNNNNNNNNNNNNNNNNNNUCAACGGACACCUUCGGAGAUACCUGUAGAGCAUCUUUAUAGCCACCCAGUUACGUUGUGACGUUUGAUACACACAAAGUAUUCCUCCGGUGUCAGUAAGUUAUAUGAUCUCAUGGUCAUAGGAAUAAAUACUUGACACGCAGAAAACAGUAGCAACAAAAUGACACGAUCAACNNNNNNNNNNUAAAGCAUUCCUCCGGUGUCAGUGAGUUAUAUGAUCUCAUGGUCAUAGGAACAANNNNNNNNNNAUAUUAGUUUGGGUCUUAGUCCAUCACAUGAUUCUCCUAAUGAUGUGAUCCCGUUAUCAAGUGACAACACUUGUCCAUGGUCAGGAAACCUUGACCAUCUUUGAUCAACGAGCUAGUCAACUAGAGGCUUACUAGGGACAGUGUUUUCUCUAUGUAUCCACACAUGCACUGUGUCUCCAAUCAAUACAAUUAUAGCAUGGAUAAUAAACGAUUAUCAUGAACAAAGAAAUAUAAUAAUAACUAAUUUAUUAUUGCCUCUAGGGCAUAUUUCCAACANNNNNNNNNNGUCACAUGAUUCUCCUAAUGAUGUGAUCCCGUAAUCAAGUGACAACACUUGCCUAUGGUCAGGAAACCUUGACCAUCUUUGAUCAACGAGCUAGUCAACUAGNNNNNNNNNNNNNNNNNNNNNNNNNNNNNNNNNNNNNNNNNNNNNNNNNNNNNNNNNNNNNNNNNNNNNNNNNNNNNNNNNNNNNNNNNNNNNNNNNNNNCGCUUCAAUCCAACAAUACCGCGGAAUCAAGAAAAGACUAAGGAGGGCAGCAAAACGCACAUCACUGCCCACAAAAACUUUUGUGUUCUACUCGAGAAGACAUCUACGCAUGAACCUAGCUCAUGAUGCCACUGUUGGGGAACGUCGCAUGGGAAACAAAAAAUUUCCUACGCGCACGAAGACCUAUCAUGGUGAUGUCCAUCUACGAGAGGUGAUAUUCGAUCUACGUACCCUUGUAGAUCGCACAGCAGAAGCGUUAAGAAACGCGGUUGAUGUAGUGGAACGUCCUCACGUCCCUCGAUCCGCCCCGCGGACCGUCCCGCGAUCCGUCCCACGAUCUAGUGCCGAACGGACGGCACCUCCGCGUUCAGCACACGUACAGCUCGACGAUGAUCUCGGCCUUCUUGAUCCAGCAAGAGAGACGGAGAGGUAGAUGAGUUCUCCGGCAGCGUGACGUCGCUCCGGAGGUUGGUGGUGAUCUUAUCUCAGCAGGGCUCCGCCCGAGCUCCGCAGAAACGCGAUCUAGAGGUAAAACCGUGGAGGUAUGUGGUCGGGCUACCGUGGCAAAGUUGUCUCAAAUCAGCCCUAAAACCUCCGUAUAUAUAGGGCGAAGAGGGGGAGNNNNNNNNNNNNNNNNNNNNNNNNNNNNNNNNNNNNNNNNNNNNNNNNNNNNNNNNNNNNNNNNNNNNNCGCCCCAAAGGGGGUCGGCCGAGCCAAGGGGGGAGUCCUCCCCUUCCAAACCGAAUCCAACUAGGUUUGGAAGGUGGAGUCCUUCCCCUUUUUCCCACCUCCCCUUUUUUUCUCUUUGAUCUUCUUCCUAUGGCGCAUAGGGCCUUCUUGGGCUGUCCCACCAGCCCACCAAGGGCUGGUGCGCCACCCCCAAGGCCUAUGGGCUUCCCCGGGGUGGGUUGCCCCCCCCCCCCGCCCGCAAGGCCUAUGGGCUUCCCCGAGGUGGGUUGCCCCCCCCGGUGAACACCCGGAACCCAUUCGUCAUUCCCGGUACAUUCCCGGUAACUCCGAAAACCUUCCGGUAAUCAAAUGAGGUCAUCCUAUAUUUCCGAACCAUUCCGGAAACCCUCGUGAUGUCCGUGAUAUCAUCCGGGACUCCGAACAACAUUCGGUAACCAACCAUAUAACUCAAAUACGCAUAAAACAGCGUCUAACCUUAAGUGUGCAGACCCUGCGGGUUCGAGAACUAUGCAGACAUGACCCGAGUGACUCCUCGGUCAAUUUCCAAUAGCGGGACCUGGAUGCCCAUAUUGGAUCCCACAUAUUCUAUGAAGAUCUUAUCGUUUGAACCUCAGUGCCAAGGAUUCAUAUAAUCCCNNNNNNNNNNNNNNNNNNNNNNNNNNNNNNNNNNNNNNNNNNNNNNNNNNNNNNNNNNNNNNNNNNNNNNNNNNNNNNNNNNNNNNNNNNNNNNNNNNNNGCAAAGUCAUGACGAUAUCUAAGGCAAUGAUCAUACAUAUAGGCAUCCCGUCCGAGACAAGUAGACCGAUACUUUCUGCAUCUACUAUUAUUACUCCACACAUCGAUCGGUAUCCAGCAUGCAUCUAGUGUAUUGAGUUCAUGACGAACAGAGUAACGCCUUAAGCAAGAUGACAUAAUGUACAGGGAUAAUCUCAAACCAAUUAUGAAAACCCCAUCUUUUUACCCUUGAUGGCAACAACACGAUGCGUGCCUCGCUACCCCUUCUGUCACUGGGUGAGGUCACCGCACGGUAUGAACCAAAACCAAGCACUUCUCCCAUUGCAAGAAUCAUAGAUCAAGUUGGCCAAACAAAACCCACAACUCGAAGAUAAUUACAAGGAUAUGAAAUCAUGCAUAUAAGAGAUCAGAAGAAACUCAAAUAAGAUUCAUAGAUAAUCUGAUCAUAAAUCAACAAUUCAUCGGAUCUUGACAAACACACCGCAAAAGAAGAUUACAUCGGAUAGAUGUCCAUGAAGAUCAUGGAGAACUUUGUAUUAAAAAUCCAAGAGAGAGAAGAAGCUAUCUAGCUAAUAGCUAUGGACCCGUAGGUCUAUGGUGAACUACUCACGCAUCAUCGGAGAGGUCAUGGUGUUAAUGAAGAAGCCCUUCGUAUCUGAAUCCCCCCUCUAGCAGGGCACCAGAACGUGCCCCAGAUGGGAACUUGCGGAGACAAAAGCUUGCGGCGGGGGAAAAGUACUUUCGAUGAUCUCCUGAUUUUUUAUGGAAUUUUUGGGAAUAUAUAGGCGAAAGACCUAGGGCAGAGGAGGCCCAGGGAGCCCACAAGCCUGGGAGGCGCGCCCCCUGGCUGCGGCUAGGGGGCUUGUGGGGUCCCUGGUGGCCCCUUCUACUUCUCAAACAACAGCGCCAAAAAUUGACACGUUGACGGAGACUUGCUUGCGUCGGUUUUUCCCUUGAAGAGGAAAGGGUGAUGCAGCACAAGAGCAGUAAGUAUUUCCCUAAUUUUGAGAACCAAGGUAUCAAUCCAGUAGGAGAAUCUCGUCUAGUCCAGAGUACCUGCGCAAAAACAAACGAGCUUGCACCCAACGCUAUAAAGGGGUUGUCAAUCCCUUCAAGAUUGAUUGCAAAGUGAGAUUUGAAGGCAGAAAGUGCAACGAAGUAAAAGAGUAAGGCUGAAAAUAUGGUGUGGAGUAGACGCGGGGGCCAUAGUGUUCACUAGAGGCUUCUCUCAAAAUAACAAAUAUUAUGGUGGGUGAACAAAUUACUGUCGAGCAAUUGAUAGAACCUCGCAACGUCAUGACGAUAUCUAAGGCAAUGAUCAUACAUAUAGGCAUCACGUCCGAGACAAGUAGACCGAUACUUUCUGCAUCUACUACUAUUACUCCACACAUCAACCGCUAUCCAGCAUGCAUCUAGUGUAUUGAGUUCAUGACGAACAGAGUAACGCCUUAAGCAAGAUGACAUGAUGUAGAGGGAUAAUCUCAAACCAAUGAUGAAAGCCCAUCUUUUUACCCUUNNNNNNNNNNNNNNNNNNNNNNNNNNNNNNNNNNNNNNNNNNNNNNGACCCCAUCUUUUUACCCUUGAUGGCAACAACACGAUGCGUGCCUUGCUACCCCUUCUGUCACUGGGUGAGGUCACCGCACGGUAUGAACCCAAAACCAAGCACUUCUCCCAUGCAAGAAUCAUAGAUCAAGCUGGCCAAACAAAACCCACAAUUCGAGGAGAAUUACAAGGAUAUGAAAUCAUGCAAAUAAGAGAUCAGAAUAAAUUUAAAUAAGAUUCAUGGAUAAUCUGAUCAUAAAUCCACAAUUCAUCGGAUCUCGACAAACACACCGCAAAAGAAGAUUACAUCGAAUAGAUCUCCAUGAAGAUCACGGAGAACUUUGUAUUGAAGAUCCAAGAGAGAGAACAAGUCAUGUAGCUACUAGCCAUGGACCCAUAGGUCUAUGGUGAACUACUCACGCAUCAUCGGAGAGGUCAUGGUGUUGAUGAAGAAGCCCUCCGUAUCCGAAUCCCCCCUCCGGCAGGGCACCAGAACGUGCCCCAGAUGGGAUCUUGCGGAGACAGAAGCUUGCGGCGACGGAAAAGUACUUUCGAUGAUCUCUUGAUUUUUUCUGGAAUUUUUGGGAAAUAUAUAGGCGGAAGACCUAGGGCAGAGGUGGCCGAGGGAGCCCACAAGCCUAGGAGGCGCGAGCCCCCCUGGCUGCUGCUAGGGGGCUUGUGGGGUCCCUGGUGGCCCCCUGCCCUGGUUCUCAGGCUCCCCGAUCUUCUUCUGUUUCGGAAAAAAUCUUUUUGGAAGUUUCGUUCCGUUUGGACUCUGUUUAAAAUCCUCCUCUAAAAAGGGUCAAAAACAUGGAUAAAAUAGGAACUGGAACUUGGCACUGAGUUAAUAAGUUAGUCCCAAAAAAGAUAUAAAAGGCAUACAAAACAUCCAAAGUUUGACAGGAUAAUAACUGAGUUAAUAAGUUAGUCCCAAAAAAGAUAUAAAAGGCAUACAAAACUUCCAAAGUUUGACAAGAUAAUAGCAUGAAACCAUCAAAAAUUAUAGAUACGUUGGAGAUGUAUCAAGCUUCCCCAAGCUUAACUCCUGCUCGUCCUCGAGUAGGGAAGUGAUAAAGACUGAAUUUUUGAUGUGGAAUGCUACCUAGCAUAGUUGUCCUUUGUAACUUCAUUCAUGUGACAUGAAUUUUCAGAUCCAAAAGAUUCAAAACAGUAGUUUGCUAUUACCAUGAAAACAAUAAUACUUCUCUAGAGCUAGUUUCAAUGUGAAUGAGUAGGGAUUGCCAUACAAGGGAUGCACUAGAGCUAUAAGUAUGUGAAAGCUCAAAAGGAGAACUAGUGGGUGUGCAUCCAACUUGCUUGCUCAUGAAGACCUAGGGAAAUUUUGAGGAAGCCCAUCAUUGGAAUAUACAAGCCAAAUUAUAUAGUAAAGAUUCCCACUAGUAUAUGGUGGUGACAAAACGAGAGGCUCUCAAUCAUGGAGAACGUGGUGCUAUUAUGAAGCACAAGUGUGGAAAAAGAUAGUAGCAUUGUCCCUUCUCUCUUUUUCUCUCUUCUCUUUUUUUGUUUGGGCACUUGGGCCUCUUUUUAUUUUUUAUUUUUUUAUUUGGGCUCUUUGACCUCUUUUUUUAUUUCCUCACAUGGGACAAUGCUCUAAUAAUGAUUAUCAUCACACUUUUAUUUACUCACAGCUCAAAGCUUAGAACGAUGAUGACUCUAUGGGAAAUGCCUCCGGUAGUGUACCGGGAUGUGCAACGAUCUAGCUUGGCGUAUGACGUUGAAACAUCUCGCUAGCUAUCUUACGAUCAUGCAAUGGCAAUCGGAGCGUGACAGCACAAGUCAUGAGAAGGAACAGUGGGAGUUGCAUGGCAAUAUAUCUCGGAAUGGCUAUGAAAAUGCCAUAGUAGAUAGGUAUGGUGGCUGUUUUGAGGAAGGCAUAUGGUGGGUUUGUGUACCGGUGAAAGUUGCGCGGCACGAGAGAGGCUAGCAAUGGUGGAAGGUGAAAGUGCAUCUAUACCAUGGACUCACCUUAGUCAUGAAGAACUCACAUACUUGUUGCGAAAGUUUUUAUUAGUAAUCGAAACAAAGUGCUAAACGCAUACUCCUAGGGGAAGGGUUGGUAGGUGUUAACCAUCGCGCGAUCCCGACCUCAACACAAAGGAUGACAAUCAAUAGACCAAUUAUGCUCCGACUUCCUAACAUAGCGGUUCAUCAUACGUGCAUGGUGCGGGAAUCACUAACUUCAACACAAGUAUUUUGUCACGCCCAAGAUGCGACCCUAUCCUCAAUUUGGCACGAAGGCCUCGUCAGGGAUAGAAGCGCAUCUCGUCGUGUCGCAAGAAUGGAUAUCGUUACAAGUACAUGUACUGAAAAGAAGUGGUAUAUAAAGAGAGUUGGCUUACACUCGCCACAAGCUACAUCAGAGUCACAACAGUACAUUACAUAAACAUCAUGAAGAAGAGCAGGGUCCGACUACGGACGAAAACAAACGAGAAAAUGAAACGACGUCCAUCCUUGCUAUCCCAGGCUGCCGGCCUAGAACCCAUCCUAGAUCGAUGAAGAAGAAGAAGAAGCAACUCCAAAUGAACAAUCAACGCGCUAGCGUCAAGUAACCUUUACAUGUACCUGCAAUUGGUGUUGUAGUAAUCUGUGAGCCACAGGGGACUCAGCAAUCUCAUUUCCAAAGGUAUCAAGACUAGCAAAGCUUAUGGGUGAGGUAUGGUUAAGUGGUGAGGUUGCAGCAGCGGCUAGCAUAUAUUUGGUGGCUAAACUUACGAGUACAAGAAAUAAGAGGGGGAAGAUCUACGCAUAGCGGACGGAAGCUACGGAUGAUCAAACGAAUGAUCCUGAACACCUACCUACGUCAGACAUAACCCCACCGUGUCCUCGAUCGGAGAAGGAACUCACGAAAGAGACAGUCACGGUUACGCACACAGUUAGCAAGUUUUAAUUAAAUUAACUUCAAGUUAUCUAGAACUAGUGUUAAACAAAGUUUCCACGUUGCCACAUAACCGUGGGCACGGCUUUCCGAAAAGAUUUAACCCUGCAGGGGUGCUCCAACUAGUCCAUCACAAAUUACCACAAGCCGCAUAGAAAUCCUCAAUCACGAAGCUCGCUAUCUCGUCGGAUUCCCUAGUGGAAAACCUCAACUCUGAGAUUACCCAAAGCAUCACCGGAAUCCCGAUGCACAAGAUAUUUCCAAAGGCAAAACUAACCCAGCAAGGCCGCCCGACGUAUCGACGAUCCCGAUAGGAUUCGCGUACCUCGUUCUCAGGACACGACGGAUGGGUCACACUAGGAGAACCAAACCUCGGGUUGCCCUGCGGUGGCCCCGUAGUCUGCCAAUUUGGACCAACACUCAUGAGGAGCACUGGCCCGGGGGUUGAUUAAAUUAUCCUCGGGGUCCGGAAAGUCCCUAUGCAAUUUUAUUAGGUGUUUAGGAAAAUGUAGUACCAAAGUUGGGCCUUGCCAGACUAGUCUUAAUCUAAAACGAAUUAUCAAGGGGGUCCCCAUAACAACCCCGAUCGUGUUAGGAGCGCUCAUUUAUGGAACAUAACACCGGUAGCCGGAAACUAAGGGGGCAAAGGUGGAACAAAACACCAGGCUAGAAAGGCCUAGCCUUCCACCUUUUACCAAGUAUAUAGGUGCAUUAAAUUAAAUAGCAUUUAAUAUGGUGAUAUAACAAGGAACCCAUGCUUUCACAUGGAAGCAUCUGCACCUGCAACUAGCAACGCUAUCAACAGGGUUAAGCAAGCAGUAACAUAGCCAAUCAGUGGUUUUCUAGGUUGAACAGGUGGAAGGUUUCAUGGCAUUGUUGAGAGGCUAAUAUUUAACAUGUGGUAGGCAACGAGACAUAAACGGUAGCAACGGUAAAACUAGCAUGGCAAUGAUAGUAAUGGUAUCUGGGGAAAUGGUCAUCUUGCCUGAGAUCCCGCUUGGAAGAAGAAUGCCUCCGUGAAGCAGACGAACCGACGUAGUCGAACGGGUCCUCACAUCCGACACGCUUGCGGAACUCUAUCGAGACGGGGGAAACCGGAAAUAAGCAUCAACACACGAUAUUCACCACACGAUGCACAACACAUAUGAUGCAUGAGCAGCUGAAUACAUGCAAGUUACGGCAUGACCAAUCACACAAUCAAACACUACACAUUAAGUGAAGUUCAAUAUGCAACGAGUUGCAUAUUGACGAAACUCCACGUUUAUUUAUUUAGUUCUAUCCCGAUUAGGUACACGUCAAUAUUAAAUGAUGUUAAACAUGGCAAGAGGUGAAGCACAAUUAAUCUACCUAUCUAGGCAUUUUAAAUGAGGUCGGAAAUGACAUAUAGCAUCUCCGAAACAACCUCACAUGUUAAUUUACAAUUCUGUCCAGAUCUGAACUAACACAUUUAGUUAGUUGUUAAACAGCAAAACAAAUAGGUUCACGUGAUUCUACGCGUCAAGGCAAGCAAUUUACACAUAGAAAUCAUCUCCAACGGAGCUACGGUUCAAAAGAUACAAGCACCGCAAGAUAUGAUGGCAUGAAUGCAAUAUGUGUGCAACGUCGGUCACGAGCACUUCAAAACAUGCAAACAGCAAGAGAAAAUGAAACUACACGAGAUUAUAAGCAAGAAUUCAUGUACGACACGAUCAAAUCGGAGCUACGGUUCAAAAGCUACGAGCAAAACAAGAAAUCACUACAAUCUACCAAAAUCAGCCACAUAACACUUUCUACGCCCGACAACUACGGCUGCACAACUCCGACAAACUCAACCAAGGCAUGGCACGAAAGAGGGCAAGACACACUACUACAAACAACUAACAACAACUAGCAUGUCAGCAAGGAGCCAGGAAAAGAAGACACAAAAUGGCAUCUCACACACUAUUUCAGACUUAGUGAAAAUUACACCUCCUGAAAGUGCAGUUUUCGAUCUGAAACCAUAUUGAUAGCAGCAAAACCAAUAGCUACAGGACUCCAAAGGGCAUGAAAAUUCACAGCAAGCUAGAGAAACCCAAGGGCUACAACUAACUCCAUUGGACCAACCUCAAAAGAGCUACAGAUCACAAGCUAGAAGAAAAAAAACAGCAACAAAAUAUAACCGAUUUCAGACUUAGAAAUAUUUCAGCACCUCCAAAUCAGCACUAUUUCUAGCAACUUGAGAGCAAGCAAAUCACACCUAAACAUGCAUUUCUGUUGCAACCAAAAAUACCAGGGGCUAGACAAAACAUCCAAGAACAACUCCCUAGUUGACAACUUAAUCAAACGAAGCACGGAAUAAAUCCUACGAAUUAAACAAAAGGGCAUCACGGCAAAAUAUCUCACGAACUAACUUACUCAAAAGCUAAAACUAAUUGCGCAGAAAAAUCACAUGGAUUUUUCUACCCCGGAAACAUAUAAAAUAUGUGGGGUUGCACAACAAUAUAAUGCCACACGAAAAUGCGGGAAAGAUAACCUAUACAUGGGAAAAUAAACUACCGACAAUCCAUACAUGCAAAAAUACCUAUGACCGCUCUAAAAUACAUGGAAUAAUGGUCCCUAAAACAUAGGCAUUUUAUCUAAGGCAUUCGAACAAACCGGACAUGCGCGAAAAUUAAAUUACGGGCAAAUCACAUUAGGACAGCACGCUAAACUAGGCAUUCGGCAUGCUAAACUACAUCAAACAAAAAUGCAAAUUGUAAAUUCGUAAUCUACGCGAAAUUCUACACGAAAACCAUAUACUACACGUUCCGAUCCGACUAACGGCUAAAAAGAUACGGACGUUUUAUUAUACGGCUAUCUCGUGAAAAGGAACUUAAUUCAGAUUAAAUCCUUAAAUACUACUGGGCCGAAUCUAAACUAAUUGGGCCUACAGUGCCAAAACGCGUCAAAACUAUACAUCGCAUGAGUAGGAAAAAGAAAGGAAAGGAAAUAAAAAGGCUCGGGGCGGCCUCACCUUGCUCUUGGGCCUAGCCCAAGCGGAGGAAGCUGGGCGGCCUGGCCGCGGCGCUGGUGGGGAGGCCGAAGGCCUGGGCCGGCUCAGGGCUCUCUGGGCCGCAGCGGGGAAGGCCUGGAGCGCUGGGGCCCACGUGGCCUGGCGAAGGGGCAGCCUCGAGCGGGCGACCACUCGUCGUCCUCCCAUCUCCUCGGGGAAGCGAGACCGAGAAGCCAUGGCGGUUGGAGCCUGGCCUAGGGAACGCGGGGAUCGCGGUGGCCGGCUCUUGGGGCAGCGGAUCCGGCCGGGAUCCGCCGGAUCUGGCUGCCGGUGGGGCUGCGACGAGGGAUCCUUGGCGGCGGCUCAGGUACGGGCGACGGAAGGCGGCAGGUUCGGGCAGCUCGGGCCGACGGCUGGCGGCUGCAGGUCUCGGCCGGCGGGGACGCUGGCCGGCGGCGAAGGCAGCCGGGUCUGGCGGCUGCGGCGAGUUGCUCCGGCCGGGAGACGCUCCGCCGGCUCGAUUCCGGGAGGAGGUCGGCGGGCACUAGAGCUGCUGGGCGUGGGAGGAGCCUCGGGCCCGGGCGGGCUUGCGAUGGGCUCGGUGGGCCCGCGGCGGCUAGGGCUGGUGGGAGAGAGAGGGGGAAUUAGGGUUAGGUGGCGCGGUUUUCGAGGUGGAGAGGGAUGGCAGUCUAAAAAUUAGGAGGGGGUAUUUAUAGAGAAAAGAGGGGCUCGGUUAACCGGAAUCGCGUUCCGGAUCCAACCGUGCGGUCGGAUUCGGACGAUUCCGAACGCAGGUAUGGGUACGUGGCCGUGUAGAGGGGAUAUCCGGAGACGAGAGGGAGAACGGGCGGCGCGGCAACGAUUUAAAAACAUCAACAGACGUCCGACGGUAGACCGAAUACGGUGCCGCUACGGUCGACCGUUCGGGUACCAGACGGACUCCGAUGGCGACGAAAUUUGACAACGGCCUAACUACGUCCAAAUAAGACCGCGCGUCAAAUCUCAACCCAAUCAGAGGAAGUUUUCAACACACUUUUAAAAACAAGGUUUGACGAUGCCGCGGGCGCGUGCGAGUGCGGUUGGGCUCAGAACGGACAACGACGAGAACCGGCAACUAAUAACGGAUGCAAGUUUUGAAAACUGGCGGCAACAGAGUGCCGAUGCAAAGCUGAUGAUGCGCAUGAUGCGAUGAUGAUGCGACAAAUAAAAAUAGACACACGACGGAAACCGAAAGAAAAGGGGAAUCUUCUGGAACGUCGGCAUCGGGCUGUCACAUAUUUCUAGAUUCACAACACCCUACUAACAUAACUCUUAAUAUUACCAAAUCCACGUCUCAAAACUAAUUGAGAGGAAUCAAGACUUCUCUUUCUACUCAAUGCACAUGAAGAUGGAGGUUUUUGUAUCCUCUUUGGGUACCUAUCACCUUUGGGACUACUUUCAUAGCACAAGCUAACUACCAAGUCACGCACCGCCGUGCUCUAAAAGAUCUAAGUGAAGCACAAAGAGCAAAAUUAUCCAGCUCAAAAGAUAUAAGUGAAGCACGAUGAGCAUUCUAGCAAAAUCACGAUGAGUGCAAGUCUCUCUCAAAAGGUGUGCAGCAAGGAUGAUUGUGACACAACAAAAAGAAAAGACUCCAACGAUACAAGACGCUCCAAACAAAACACAUAUCAUGUGGUGAAUAAAAAUAUAGCUCCAAGUAAUGUUACCGAUGGAUUGAAGACGAAAGAGGGGAUGCCUUCCCGGGGCAUCCCCAAGCUUAGGCUUUUUGGUGUCCUUGAAUUUGGCUUGGGAUUCCUUGGGCAUCCCCAAGCUUGAGCUCUUUCCACUCUUUAUCCCUUUGUCCAUGAGAACAUCACCCAAAACUUGAAAACUUCACAACACAAAACUUAAACAGAAACUCGUGAUAUCGUUAGCACAAGAAAACAAACUACCACCUCUUUAGUUACUGUAGUAAUCUUGAUUUCUAUUUAUAUUGGUGUUAGUAUACUGUAUUCUCACUUUUCCAUGGCUAGUACCCCCCGAUACUAUCCAUAGUUUCAUCAAAACAAGCAACCAACUCAACAAAAACAGAAUCUGACAAAAACAUACCAGUCUGUAGCAAUAUGUAUACUUCUGGUACCUCACAAAUUCUAAAAAAUUAUGACUGCCUGGGAAAAAGGUAUAUCAACCAGCAGCAAAAAUAAUCAACUCAAAAGCUCUUUCUGAAUAAAAAUGAAAAAUUAUCUCGUGAGCAAAAAGUUUUUGUCUUUUUCCAGCAGGAUCAAACAACCAUCACCAAGACUAGUCAUAAAGGUUUUGCUUGGCUCAAACACAAAAAAAAACACGAAAGACACAAUCAUAAGAGAAUUAUGACGGUUUGGACGCAACAAAAAAUAAAGAAAAAGAUAAAUUCAUUGGGUUGCCUCCCAACAAGUGCUAUUGUUUAACGCCCUUAGCUAGGCAUAAGGCAAUUCAAUGAUGCUCACACAAAAGACAAGAAUUGAAUCACAACGAGAGCAUCAUAAAGCAUGUGAAAAUCACAUCUAAGUCUAUCAUACUUCCUAUGCAUAGGCAUUUUAUAGGAAAACAAAUUAUCAAGACAACCAAUAGCUGCCAUAUGCAACGAAGAAGAAAGAGACAAGAGCAAUCUCAACAAAACGAGAGGUGAAUUGGUAACAUGAAAGUUUCUACCGCAAUAUUUUCCUCUCUCAUAGCAAUUACAUGCGGGAUCAUAAUCAAACUCAACAAUAUAGCUAUCACAAAGGAUAUUCUUUUCAUGAUCCACAUGCAUGCAAAGUUGGCGCUCUUCAAAAAUAGUGGGAUUAUCAUCAACUAAAGUCAUGACUUAUCCAAACCCACUUUCAAUAUUAUUGCAAAUAUCAAAUUCAUCAUGAGGCUUAAACAAAUUUUCAAGAUCAUAACAAAAAUCGUUACCCCAAUCAUGAUCAUUGCAGCAAGUAGUAGACAUAGCAAAACAAGCAUCCCCAAGCUUAGGGUUUUGCAUAUUUUUAGCAUGAUUGUCACUAAUAGAAUUUAUAGCGAAACCAUUGCAAUCAUGCUUUUCAUUCAAGGAGCCCUCAUGAAUCAUGAUACGUCCAUUUUGCAUCAUGUUUUCAUGUUGAUAUUUAUCGCUUCUUGGGCUGUUAUUUCACUUCACGGCACAAUACUUAUGCCUUUUCUCUCUUAUUUUGCAAGGUUUACAUGAAGAGGGAGAAUGUCGGCAACUGGAAUUCUGGCCUGAAAGUGGAGCAAAGUUGAGAUAUCUAUUCUGCGCAACUCCAAACGCCGUAAAAAUCAACGAGGAUUUUUUUUCCAGAUUUAUAAAAAAUACUGGGCUAAAGAAGCGCCAGAGGGGCGCCAGCAGGCGGCCACAAGCCUACACGGUGCAGCCACCCCCCCCCCCCAGGCCGCGCCACGAGGUCUUGUGGGCAGCCUGCUGGCCCACUGGCCCCCCUCUUCUACUAUAUGAAGGGUUUCAUGUAGAAAAAAUCAGGGAGGAGCUUUUUCAUGAAUUCGCCGCCGCCACGAGGCGGAACUUGAGCAGAACCAAUCUAGAGCUCCGGCAGGACGAUCUUGCUGGGAAACUUCCCUCCUGGAGGGGGAAAUCGUCGCCAUCAUCAUCACCAACACUCCUCUCAUCGGAGGGGACUCAUCACCAUCAACAUCUUCAUCAGCACCAUCUCAUGUCCAAACCCUAGUUCAUCACUUGUAACCAAUCUCCGUCUCGCGACUCCGAUUGGUACUUGUAAGGUUGCUAGUAGUGUUGAUUACUCUUUGUAGUUGAUGCUAGUUGGAUUACUUGGUGGAAGAGUUUAUGUUCAGAUCCUUGAUGCUACUCAUUACCUCUCUGAUCAUGAAUAUGAUUAUUCUUUAUGAGUAGUUACUUUUGUUCCUGAGGACAUGAGAUAAGUCAUGCUGAUAGUAGUCAUGUGAAUUUGGUAUUCGUUCGGUAAUUUGAUAUGUUGUAUGUUGUUUUUCCUCUAGUGGUGUUAUGUGAACGUCGACUACAUAACACUUCACCAUUAUUUGGGCCUAGAGGGAGGCAUUGGGAAGUAGUAAGUAGAUGAUGGGUGUUACUGCAACAAAAGACCUUCCAAUGGCGCCAGAAAUAGGCACGUUGUCGGGAAAUUAUCUUGACGUGCUCCUCCCGUCAACGGCGCCAGAAAUAGGAGUGUUGCUUGAUACUCGUCAGCAAGGGCACCAGGAAUCCUUCAGCUGCGGCUACGCCUUAAGGGACUUCCUAGGCAAGUAUGCAAAGGAUUUCCCCCGUGGCCUUCGAGCCUUGCGUUGGUGUUCCCUCGAAGCGGAAAGGGUGAUGUAGCACAGCGGUGGUAAGUAUUUCCCUCAGUUAGAGAACCAAGGUAUCAAUCCAGUGGAGGAGUAUCUCAAGAUCCUGCACAAACGCAAGCUGAGGGUAAUACUUACCGUCGAUGUGCUACAUCACCCUUUCCGCUUCGAGGGAACACCAAUGCAAGGUUCCAAGGCCACGGGAGAAAUCCUUUCCAUACUUGCCUAGGAAAUCCCUUAAGGCGUAGCAGUAGCUGAAGGAUUCCUGGUGCCGUCGACACAACUAUUUCCUGGUGCCGUUGCAAGGGAUACACAACAAACAUCAGAAGUAUUUCUGGCGCCGUUGCCGGGGAGGAGAAAUCAAGAUCUAUCCAAAUAGGUCUCACAAACUCUUCUAUUGCAUUUCCUUUUGUUGACAGUUGCCUCACGUUUUCCUCUCCCCCACUUCACAUUUGCCAUUUUCAUUCACCUUUCUCCCUUGUCGGUUUCUUGCUUGCUUGUGUGCUUGUUUGUUUGUUGAAGACAUCAUGUCUGAAAACACCAAACUUUGCGACUUCUCGAGCAAUAAUAAUAAUGAUUUUAUUAGUACUCCGAUUGCACCCGCCACUAGUGCGGAAUCGUAUGAAAUCAACGCAGCUUUGCUGAAUCUUAUUAUGACAGAGCAAUUCUCUGGCCUUCCUAGUGAAGAUGCCGCAUCCCAUCUCAAUACCUUCAUUGAGCUUUGAGAUAUGCAAAAGAAAAGAGAUGUCGAUAAUGACGUGAUUAAGUUGAAACUUUUUCCUUUCUCGUUGCGAGAUCGCGCAAAAACUUGGUUUUCUUCUUUGCCUAAAAAUAGUAUCGAUUCUUGGGAUUGGUGCAAAGAUGCUUACAUAUCCAAGUAUUUUCCGCCGGCUAAGAUCAUCUCCUUACGUAACGAUAUCAUGAAUUUCAAGCAACUUGAUCAUGAACACGUUGCACAAUCUUGGGAGAGGAUGAAGCUUAUGAUUAGAAAUUGUCCCACUCGUGGCUUGAGUUUGUGGAUUAUUAUACAAAUCUUUUACGCUGCCUUGAAUUUCGCAUCUCGCAAUAUCUUGGACUCCGCCUCAGGUGGAACAUUCAUGGAAAUCACGUUAGGAAACGCUACAAAACUCCUAGACAAUAUCAUGACCAACAAAUCUCAGUGGCACACUAAAAGGUCGCUCAGUGGCACACUAAAAGGUCGCCUGCUAGCAAAAAGGUGCACGCUAUAGAAGAGAUUAACUCGCUUAGUGCUAAGAUGGACGAGUUGAUGAAUUUGGUUUCUAGUAGAAACGCUACCGUAAUCCUAAUGACAUGCCACUAUCUUCUUUGAUUGAGAGUAGCAACGCUAGUUUGGACGUGAAUUUUGUCGGUAGGAACAAUUUUGGCAACAACAAUGCUUUUAGAGGAAACUAUGUUCCUAGGCCUUUUCCUAGUAACUCCUCUAACAAUUAUGGCAAUUCCUACGGCAACACUUAUGGAAAUCAUAACAAAUUACCCUCUGAUCUAGAGAGUAAUAUCAAAGAGUUCGUCAACUCUCAAAAGAUUUUCAGUGCGUCCAUAGAGGAAAAACUACUCAAAAUAGACGAUUUGGCUAAGAGCGUUGAUAGGAUGUCUUGUGAUAUUGAUGCUUUGAAAGUUAGAUGUGCUCCUCCCAAGAUCAACUUGGAUGAAACUUUGAAAGCUAUGUGUAUCUCCAUGAAUGAGAGCAAAUAAAGAACCGCCCAAAUUCGCGCUGGACAUGAAUGGUUUAAUAGGGUGCAUUCUAGUGAUGCAAAUCACGAAGAUCUUAAAGUGCUUGGUGUGUCUCCUCUUGAAUCUUUCUUUUCGCGUGUCAAACCUACUUAUGGAGGGGCUGGAUAUGAAUCCACUUUGGUUGAAAAACGCCCCAAUGAUUCGGAGUCCACCUAUGAUGAUAAAGGUGUGGAGAGUGGAGUAGAAGAAGUCAAAAUUUUGGGUAGUAAUGAAACUCCCACUUUGGAUUUCAAGGAAUUCAAUUAUGAUAAUUGCUCCUUGUUUUAAUGCAUUUCUUUGAUGCACUCCAGUGCAAACUCUCCACGUGCUUAUAGCCAAAGCAAAGCCUUUACCGCGCAUAUCGUAGAUGCUAUGAUGAAAUCUCUUGAAGAGAAGCUUGAACUAGAAGUCUCUAUACCUAGAAAACUUCUUGAUGAGUGGGAACCUACUAUCAAAAUCAAGAUCAAAAACUAUGAGUGCAAUGCUUUGUGUGAUUUGGGUGCUGGUGUUUCCGCGAUUCCAAAGUCUUUAUGUGAUAUUCUUGGUUUUCAUGAGACUGAAGAGUGUUCUCUUAAUUUGCAUCUUGCGGAUUCUACCGUCAAGAAGCCCAUGGGGAGGAUCGAUGAUGUUCUUAUUGUUGCAAGUAAGAACUAUGUACCCGUGGAUUUCAUUGUACUUGACAUAGAUUGCAAUCCUUCAUGUCCCAUUAUUCUUGGUAGACCUUUCCUAAGGACUAUUGGUGCUAUCAUCGAUAUGAAGGAAGGGAAUAUUAGAUUUCAAUUUCCCUUAAAGAAGGGCAUGGAUCACUUUCCUAGAAAGAAAAUAAGAUUGCCUUAUGAAUCUAUGAUGAGGGCUACCUAUGGUUUGAGCACCAAAGAUGACUAUACGUGAUUCCAUCACUUUCGCCUAGCUAAGGGCGUUAAAAAAAGCGCUUGUUGGGAGGCAACCCAACGAAUCUAUCCUUUUUCUUUCUGUUUUAUGUUUUUCACACUUUCAUAAUUCUGUUAUGAUUGUGUUUUUUGUGUUUCUUUUUGCAUUUGUGCCAAGCAAAACCGCUAUGAUUAGUCUUGGGGAUGAUCGUUUGGUCAUGCUGGAAAAGACAGAAACUUUCUGCUCACGAAAAGAAUUUUCAUGUUUUUUCUGUAAGAGAUUUUGAGUUGAUUCUUUUGCUGCUGAUUGCUACGCAAAUUCAUCAGACUGUCGUAAUGUUUAAGAAUUUUUGAAGUAGUAGAGGUAUACUAAACAUACAGAUUGCUACAGACUGGUCUGGUGUUAACAGAUUCUGUUUUUGUUGUGUUGGUUGCUUAUUUUGAUGAAACUAUGGAUAAUAUCGGGGGUUAUUAGCCAUGGAAGAUUAAAAGUACAGUAACCCAACAUCAGCGCAAGUAGAAUUUAAGUUUGCUACAGUACCUAAGGAAGUGGUGGUUUACUUUCUUGUACUAAUGUUAUCACGAGUUUAUGUUUAAGUUUCGUGUUGUGAAGUUUUCAAGUUUUGGGUGAAGUUCUUAUUGACAAAAAGAUAAAGAGUGGCAAGAUCUCAAGCUUGGGGAUGCCCAAGGCACCCCAAGGGAUUCAAGGAUGUCGUAAAAUCCUAAGCUUGCGGAUGCCCCGGGAGGGCAUCCCCGCUCUCGUCUUCAAUCCAUCGGUAACGUUACUUGGGGCUAUAUUUUUAUUCACCACAUGUUAUGUGUUUUUGCUUAGAGCGUCUUGUAUCGUAGGAGUCUUUUAAUAUAUUUUUUGUGUCACAAUCAUCCUUGAUGCACACCUAGAGAGAGAGACAUGCACUCACCGUGAUUUUGUCGAGCUUCACUUAUAUCUUUUGGUACACAAUUCAGCUCACUUAUGCUUCACUUAUAUCUUUUGGUAGACAAUUCAGCUCACAUAUGCUUCACUUAUAUCUUUUGAGAUAGAUACUUUUGCUCUAUGUGCUUCACUUAUAUCUUUUAGAGCACAGCGGUGCGUGGCUUGGUAGUUGAUCUAUGCUUUGAAAGUAGUCUCAAAAGGGGUAGUUAUCCAAAGGGAUGCGAAAACUUCCACCUUCAUGUGCAUUGAAUAGUUAGAGAAGUUUGAUUCAUCUCAAUUAGUUUUGAGUUGUGGUUAUGGUAAUAUUGAAGUCAUGUUAGUAAGGUGUUGUGGAUCUAGAAAUACUUGUGUUGAAGUUAGUGAUUCCCGUAGCAUGCACGUAUGGUGAACCACUAUGUGAUGAAGCCUGAGCAUGAUUAGUCUUUUGAUUGUCAUCCUUUGCGUGGCGGUCGGGAUCGCGCGGUGGUUUAUACCUACCAACCCUUCCCCUAGGAGUAUGCCUUGAAUGCUUUGUUUCGAUUACUAAUAAAACUUUUGCAACAAGUAUGUGAGUUCUUCAUGACUAAUGUUGAGUCCAUGGUUUAGAUGCACUUUCACCUUCCACCAUCACUAUCUUGUUAGUGCCGCGCAACUUUCGCCGGUGCACAAAACCCACCAUUAGCCUUCCUCAAAACAGCCACCAUACCUACCUACUAUGGCUUUUUCAAAGUCAUUCCAAGAUAUAUUGCCAUGCAACUACCACCAUGAGAUGUGCCACCACGUCUACAUUGCCUUUGCACGAUCGUAAGAUAGCUAGCAUGAUGUUUCCAUUGAUGUCUAUGCCAUGCUAGAUCAUUGCCACGGUACACUACCGAAGGCAUUCCAUAUAGAGUCAUAGUUGCUCUAAGUUUUGAGUUGAAAGUGUGAUGAUCAUCAUUAUUGGAGCAUUGUCCCAUGUGAGGAAAUAAAAGAGGCCAUAGAAACCCAUAAAAAAGAGGCCAAAGAUCCCAGCAAAAUAAAUAAAUAAAUAAAAGUAUGAGAGAAAAAGAGAGAAGGGACAAUGCUACCACUUAUUCCACACUUGUGCAUUUUGAGCACCAUGAUCUUCAUGAUUGAGAGUCUCUCGUUUUGUCACCACCAUAUAGCUAGUGGGAAAUUCUCAUUAUAUAACUUGGCUUGUAUAUUCCAAUGAUAGGCUUCCUCAAAAUUGCCUUAGGUCUUCGUGAGCAAGCAAGUUGGAUGCACACCCACUAGUUUUCUUUAAGAGCUUUCACAUACUUGUAGCUCUAGUGCAUCAUUUGUAUGGCAAUCCCUACUCAUUCAUAUUGAUAUCUAUUGAUGAGCAUCUCCACAGCUCAUUGAUAUGCCUAGUUAAUGUGACUAUCUUCUCCUUUUUGUCUUGCAACCCCCACCACAUUCCACACCAUCUAUAGUGCUAUAACCAUGCCUCACGCUCAUGUAUUGCGUGAGAGUUGAAAAUGUUUGAGAAAGUAAAGGUGUGAAACAAUUACUUGGCCAAUACCGGGGUUGUGCAUGAUUUAAACUCGUUGUACAAUGAUGAUAGAGCAUAGCCAGACUAUAUGCUUUUGUAGGGAUAACUUUCUUUUGGCCUUGUUAUUUUGAAAGUUCAUGAUUACUUUGCUAGUUUGCUUGAAUUAUUAUUGUUUCCACGUCAAUAGCAAACUAUUGUUUUGAAUCUAAUGGAUCUGAACAUUCACGUCACAUAAGGGGAAUUACAAAGGACACCUGUGCUAGGUAGCAUGAAAGCAUCAAAAAUUCAUUCUUAUCACUUCCCUACUCGAGGACGAGCAGGAAUUAAGCUUGGGGAUGCUUGAUACGUCUCAAACAUAUCUAUAAUUUUUUAUGGUUUCACGCUGUUAUCUUCUCUUCUUUGUAUGUUUUAUGUACCUUUUUAUAUCUUUUUGGGACUAACUUAUUAAUUCAGUGCCAAGUGUCAGUUCCUGUUUUUUCCGUGUUUUUGACUCUUUUCAGAUCUGAUUCUGGAAUGGAGUCCAAACGGAAGAAAAACCCCGAUAUGAUUUUUUCCCGAACGGAAGAAGUCCAGGGGGCUUUUGGGCCAAGCCAGGUUGGCUCCAGGGAGCCCACAAGCCCCCACUCCGCCAGCAGGGCGAGGUGGCGGUGGGCAGGAUUGUGGCCUCCCUGGCUGCCCCCUGACCUAGAUCUUUGGCCUAUAAAUUCCCAAAUAUUCCGCAAAAAAUCAGGAGAGCCUCGAAAAUACUUUUCCGCCGCCGCAAGCUUAGGUUUCCACGAGAUCUCAUCUGGAGACCCUUCCCGGCACACAGCCGGAGGGGACUUUGGAGUUGGAGGGCUUCUUCAUCAUCAUCAUCGCCCCUCCAAUGACUCGUGAGUAGUUCACUUCAGACCUACGGGUCCAUAGUUAGUAGCUAGAUGGCUUCUUCUCUCUCUUGGAUCUUCAAUACAAAGUUCUCCAUGAUCUUCAUGGAUAUCUAUCCGAUGUACUCUUCUUUGGCGGUGUGUUUGUCGAGACCCGAUGAAUUGUGGACUUGUGAUCAGAUUAUCUAUGAUAUAUAUUUGAGUCUUUGCUGAUUUCUUAUAUGCAUGAUUUGAUAUCCUUGUAAGUCUCUCCGAGUCUUGGGUUUUGUUUGGCCAACUAGAUCUAUGGUUCUUGCAAUGGGAGAAGUGCUUGGUUUUGGGUUCUGCCAUGUGGUGACCUUUCCCAGUGACAAUAGGGGCAGCAAGGCACACAUCAAGCAGUUGCCAUCAAGGGUAAAAAGAUGGGGUUUUUAUCAUUGGUUUGAGAUUAUCCCUCUACAUCAUGUCAUCUUACUUAAGGCGUUACUCUGUUCUUAUGGACUUAAUACACUAGAUGCAUGCUGGAUAGCGGUCGACGUGUGGAGUAAUAGUAGUACAUGGAGAAAGUAUCUGUCUAUUUGUUUCGAACGUGAUGCCUAUAGAAAUAAUCAUUGCAUAGAUAUCGUCACGAGUCUGCACCAUUCUAUCAAUUGCUCGACAGUAAUUUGUUCACCCACCGUCUACUUUAUUUCAUGAGAGAAGCCACUAGUAAACACUACGGCCCCGGGGUCUAUUUACAUCCAUCGUUUACAUCUCCGCUUUUACUUUGCUUUGUUACUUUGUUGCUUUCAGUUCUCACUUGGCAAACAAUCUAUAAGGGAUUGACAACCCCUUCAUAGUGUUGGGUGCAAGCUGUUGUGUUUGUGCAGGAUCUUGAGAUACUCUUCCGCCGGAUUGAUACCUUGGUUCUCAAACUGAGGGGAAAUACUUACCGUCGUUGUGCUACAUCACCCUUUCCGCUUCGAGGGAACACCAAUGCAAGGUUCCAAGGCCACGGGGGAAAUCCUUUGCAUACUUGCCUAGGAAGUCCCUUAAGGCGUAGCAGUAGCCGAAGGAUUCCUGGUGCCGUCAACACAACUAUUUCCUGGCGCCGUUGCAAGGGAUACACAGCAAACAUCAAUAAUCUAGUGCGCAAAACUCACUAGCAAUUGGAUCAACAUAAUUGGAUCUCUUAAAGAGAUUAGCAAGUGGAUGAGGAUCCAUAUCACUAGAUUUUCAGCAAGCGAAGAUGCAAGCAUAUUGAAGGCACAUAGCACACAAGCAAAGGAAAGGCAAGCGAAAGAAAUGGCGGACGAAAAACGAAAACAGAAAAGGCAAACGAAGAAAAGGGAAAAUAUUUUUUGUAAAUUUUUGUUUUUCAGAAGUGGGGGAGAGGAAAACGAGAGGCAAAAAAGUAAAUGCAAGAGAUGAGUUUGCGACACUUACUUGGAUGAGUUCUUGACUUGAUCCUCCCCGGCAACGGCGCCAGAAAUUCUUCUUGUUACUUCUCAAACAACAGCGCCAAAAAUUGACACGUUGACGGAGACUUGCUUGCGUCGAUUUUUCCCUCAAAGAGGAAAGGGUGAUGCAGCAGAGGAGCAAUAAGUAUUUCCCUCAGUUUGAGAACCAAGGUAUCAAUCCAGUAGGAGAAUCUCGUCAAGUCCAGAGUACCUGCGCAAACACAAACGAACUUGCACCCAACGCUAUAAAGGGGUUGUCAAUCCCUUCAAGAUUGAUUGCAAAGUGAGAUCUGAAGGCAGAAAGUGCAAUGAAGUAAAAGAGUAAGGCUCAAAAUAUGGUGUGGAGUAGACGCGGGGGCCAUAGUGUUCACUAGAGGCUUCUCUCAAAAUAGCAAAUAUUACGGUGGGUGAACAAAUUACUGUCGAACAAUUGAUAGAACCGCGCAAAGUCAUGAUGAUAUCUAAGGCAAUGAUCAUACAUAUAGGCAUCACGUCCGAGAUAAGUAGACCGAUACUUUCUUCAUCUACUACUAUUACUCCAUGCAUCGACCGCUAUCCAGCAUGCAUCUAGUGUAUUGAGUUCAUGAAGAACAGAGUAAGUCCUUAAGCAAGAUGACAUGAUGUAGAGGGAUAAUCUCAAACCAAUGANNNNNNNNNNNNNNNNNNNNNNNNNNNNNNNNNNNNNNNNNNNNNNNNNNNNNNNNNNNNNNNNNNNNNNNNNNNNNNNNNNNNNNNNNNNNNNNNNNNNUGCCUUAGAUAUCGUCAUGACUUUGCGCGGUUCUAUCAAUUGCUCGACAGUAAUUUGUUCAUCCACCGUAAUAUUUGUUAUUUUGAGAGAAGCCACUAGUGAACACUAUGGCCCCCGGGUCUACUUCACACCAUAUUUUCAGCCUUACUCAUUUUCUUCGUUGCACUUUCCGCCUUCAGAUCUCACUUUGCAAUCAAUCUUGAAGGGAUUAACAACCCCUUUAUAGCGUUGGGUGCAAGCUCUUUUCUGUUUGUGCAGGUACUCUAGACUUGACGAGAUUCUUCUACUGGAUUGAUACCUUGGUUCUCAAACUGAGGGAAAUACUCACUGCUCCUGUGCUUCAUCACCCUUUCCUCUUCAAGGUAAAAACCAACGCAAGCUCAAGAGAUGACAGAAGGUUUCUGUCUCCGUAGCAAUAACCCAGAAGGUAUUCCUUCGGUGUCCAAGAGUUGCAUGAUCUCAUGGUCAUAGGAACAUACACAUUGACAUGCAGAAAACAGUAGCAAUAAACUGACACAAUCAUAUGCUACGUUCAUAGUUUUUUGGUCUUGUCCAUCACAUCAUUCUCCCAAUGAUGUGAUCCCGUUAUCAAGUGACAACACUUGUCUAUGGUCAGGAAACCUUGACCAGCUUUGAUCAACGAGCUAGUCACUUAGAGGCUCACUAGGGACAGUGUGUUGUCUAUGUAUCCACACAUGUAUUUGAGUUUCCAAUCAAUACAAUUCCAUCAUGCAUAAUAAACGAUUAUCAUGAAUAAAGAAAUAUAAUAAUAACCAAUUUAUUAUUGACUCUAGAGCAUAUUUCCAACAGUCUCCCACUUGCACUAGAGUCAAUAAUCUAGUUCACAUCACUAUGUGAUUGUAAUGAACCUAACACCCAUACAGUUAUGGGGUUUGAUCAUAUCUUGCUUGUGAGAGAGGUUUUUAGUCAAUGGGUCUGAACCUUUUGAGAUAUGUGUGUGCUUUACAAAUCUCUAUGUCAUCCUAUAGAUGCUGCUACCACGCACCAUUUGGAACUAUUCCAAAUGACUGCUCCACUAUACGAAUCCGGUUUACUACUCAUAGUUAUUCAGAUUAGUGUCAAAGCUUGCAUUGACGUAACUCUUUACGACGAACUAUUUAAUCACCUCCAUAAUUGAGAAAAAUUCCUUAGUCCACUAGUUACUAAGGAUAGCUUUUGACCGCUAUCCAGUAAUCCAUUCCUGGAUCACUUCUGUACCCCUUGACAGAUUCAUGGCAAGGCACACAUCAGGUGCAGUACACAGUAUAGCAUACUAUAGAGCCUACGGCUAAUGCAUAGGGGACGACCUUCGUCUUUUCUCUUUCUUCUGCCAUGGUCGGGCCUUGAGUCUUACUCAAAUUCACACCUUACAACACGACCAAGAACUCCUUCUUUGCUAUUCUAUUUCGAACUCCUUCAAAGACUUGUCAAGGCAUGCAUUUCGUUGAAAGUUCUUUUAAGCGCUUUGAUCUAUCUCCAUAGAUCUUGAUGCUUAAUGUUCAAGUAGCUUAAUCCAGGUUUUCCUUUGAAAAACACCUUUCAAACAACCCUUUAUGCUUUCCAGAAAUUCUACAUUAUUUCCUAUCAACAAUAUGUCUACCACAUAUACUUAUCAGAAAUUCUAUAGUGCUCCCACUCACUUCUUUGGAAAUACAAGUUUCUCAUAAACCUUGUAUAAACCCAAAAGCUUUGAUCAUCUCAUCAAAGCGUAUAUUACAACUCCGAGAUGCUUGCACCAGUCCAUAGAAGGAUCGCUGGAGCUUGCAUACUUGUUAGCAUCCUUAGGAUUGACAAAACCUUCUCGUUGUAUCACAUACAACCUUUCCUCAAGGAAACCGUCGAGGAAACAAUGUUUUGACAUCCUAUGUGCAAUAUUUCAUAAAUAAUGCAGCAACUGCUAACAUAAUUCCAACAGACUUUUGACAUCUUUACGAGUGAGAAAGUCUCAUCAUAGUCAACUCUUUGAACUUGUCGGAAACAUCUUUGCAACAAGUCGAGUUUUUCUUAAUGGUGGCUUUUCACCAUCAUCGUCUGUCUUCCUUUUAAAGAUCCAUCUAUACUUAAUAGUCUUACGACCAUCAAGUAGUUCUUCCAAAGUCUACACUUUGUUUUUAUACUCGGAUCCUCUCUCGGAUUUCAUGGCCUCCAGCCAUUUACCGGAAUCCGGGCCCACCAUCGCUUCUCUAUAGCUCGUAGGUUCAUUCUUGUUCAACAACAUGACCUCCAAGACAGGGUUACCGUACCACUCUAUAGCAGUACGCGACCUUGUCGACCUACGAGGUUUGUAGUAACUUGAUCUGAAGCUUAAUGAUCACUAUCAUCUGUUUCCACUUCAAUUGGCGUAGGCGCCACAUGAACAACUUCCUGCGCCCUGCUACACACUGGUUGAAGUGAUGGUUUAAUAACCUCAUCAAGUUCCACCACCCUCUCACUCAAUUCUUUUGAGAGAAACUUUUCCUCGAGAAGGGACCCGUUUCUAGAAACAAACACUUUGCUUCCGGAUCUGAGAUAGGAGGUAUAGCCAACUGUUUUGGGUCUCCUAUGAAGAUGCAUUUAUCCGCUUUGGGUUCGAGCUUAUCAUGCUGAAACUUUUCCACAUAAGCAUCGCAACCCCAAACUUUUAAGAAACGACAGCUUUGGUUUCUCCAAACCAUAGUUCAUACGGUGUCAUCUCAACGGAAAUACGUGGUGCCCUAUUUAAAGUGAAUGCGGUUGUCUCUAAUGCAUAACCCAUAAACGAUAGUGGUAAUUCGAUAAGAGACAUCAUAGUAUGCACCAUAUCAACUAGGAUGCGGCUAUGACAUCCGGACACACCAUCACACUAUGGUGUUUUAGGUGGCAUGAAUUGCAAAACAAUUUCCACAUUGUCUUAACUGUGUACCAAACUCGCAACUCAGAUAUUCAUCUCUAUGAUCUUAUCGUAGACAUUUUAUCCUCUUGUCACGACGAUCUUCACUCUGAAAUAGCUUUGAACUUUUCAAUAUUUCAGACCUGUGAUUCAUCAAGUAAAUACUCCUGUAUCUACUCAAAUCGUUAGUGAAGUAAGAACAUAACGAUAUCAACUGCGUGCCUCAACAAUCAUUGGACUGCACACAUGAAAAAUGUAUUACUUCCAACAAGUUACUUUCUUGUUCCAUCUUACUGGAAAACAAGGCCUUCAGUCAUCUUGCCCAUGUGGUAUGAUUUGCAUCUCUCAAGUGAUUCAAAAUCAAGUGAGUCCAAACGAUCCAUCUGCAUGGAGUUUCUUCAUGCAUUUAUACCAACAUGACUCAAAAGAUUUGCAUCUCUCAAGUGAUUCAAAAUCAAGUGAGUCCAAACGAUCCAUCUGCAUGGAGUUUCUUCAUGCAUUUAUACCAACAUGACUCAAGCGGCAGUGCCACAAGUAAGUGGUACUAUCAUUACUACUUUCUAUAUUUUGGCAUCAAUAUUAUGAACAUGUGUAGCACUACGAUCAAGAUUCAGUAAACCAUUGAAGGUAUUUAUUCAAGCAAAUAGAAUAACCAUUAUUCUCUUUAAAUGAAUAAUCGUAUUGCAAUAAACACGAUCCAAUCAUGUUCAUGCUCAACGCAAACACCAAAUAACAAUUAUUUAGGUUUAACACCAAUCCCGAUGGUAGAGGAAGCGUGCGAUGUUUGAUCACAUCAACCUUACAAUUACUUCCAACACACAUCGUCAUCUCACCCUUGCUAGUAUCCUUUUAAUCCAUAGCUAUAAUUUCGAGUUACUAACACUUAGCAACUGAACCGGUAUCUAAUACCCUAGUGCUACUAGUAGUACUAGUAAGGUACACAUCAAUAUCAGGUAUAUCCAAUAUACUUUUGUCGACUUUGCGAGUCUUCUCAUCUACCAAGUAUCUAGGGUAGUUCCGCCUCAGUGACCGUUCCCCUCAUAACAGAAUCACUUAGUCUCGGGUUUGGCUUCAACCUUGGGUUUCUUCACUAGAGCAGCAACUGGUUUGUCGUUUCAUGAAGUAUCCCUUCUUGCCCUUGCCCUUCUUGAAACUAGUAGUUUUACUAACCAUCAACAAUUGAUGCUCCUAUUCGAUUUCUACUUUCGCGAUGUCAAACAUCAUGAAUAGCUUAAGGAUCAUCAUAUCUAUCCUUGAUAUGUUAUAGUUCAUCACAAAGCUCUAGUAGCUUGGUGGCAGUGACUUUGGAGAACAAUCACUAUCUCAUCUGGAAGAUUAACUCCCACUCGAUUCAAGCGAUUGUAGCACUCACACAAUCUGAGCACAUGCUCAACGAUUGAGCUUUUCUCCCUUACUUUGUAUACAAAUAAUCUUGUCGAAGGUCUCAUACCUCUCAACAAGGGCAUGAGCAUGAAAUCCCAAUUUCGUCUCUCCGAACAUCUCAUAUGUUCCGUGACGGUCAAAAUGUCUUUGGCGCCUCAAUUCUAAGCCGUUAAGCAUUACACACCGAACUAUCAUGUAGUUAUCAAAAACGUGUAUGUCAGAUGUUCGCAACAUCCACACACGNNNNNNNNNNNNNNNNNNNNNNNNNNNNNNNNNNNNNNNNNNNNNNNNNNNNNNNNNCGAGGUUCAGCACACCGAGCGGUACAUUAAGGACAUAAGCCUUUUGCGCAGCAAUGAGGACAAUCCUCAGUUUACGGACCCAGUCCGCAUAAUUGCUACUACCAUCUUUCAACUAAAUUUUCUCUAGGAACAUAUCAAAAACAGUAGAGCUAUAGCGCAAGCUACAACAUAAUUUGCAAAGACCUUUUGACUAUGUUCAUGAUAAUUGAGUUUAGCUAAUCAUAUAACUAAUAACUCCCACUCAAAUAGACAACCAUUUAGUCAUUCGAGUGGCGCAUGAUCCAAAUCCACUAACUCAAGUCCGAUCAUCACGUGAGUUGAGUAUAGUUUCAGUGGUGAACAUCUCCAUGUUAAUGAUAUCAACUAUAUGAUUCAUGCUCGACCUUUCGGUCUCUUGUGUUUCGAGGCCAUGUCUGUACAUGCUAGGCUCAUCAAGUUUAACCUGAGUGUUCCGCGUGUGCAACUGUUUUGCGCCCGUUGUAUGUGAAUGUUGAGUCUAUCACACCCGAUCAUCACGUGGUGUCUCGAAACGACGAACUGUCGCAACGGUGCAUAGUCGGGGAGAACACAAUUUUAUCUUGAAAUUUUAGUGAGGGAUCACCUUAUAAUGCUACCGUCGUUCUAAGCAAAAUAAGGUGCAUAAAAGGAUUAACAUCACAUGCAAUUCAUAAGUGACAUGAUUUGGCCAUGAUCUUGUGCUUCUUGAUCUCCAUCACCAAAGCACCGACAUGAUCUUCAUCGUCACCGGCGCCACACCAUGAUCUCCAUCAUUGUGCCGCCAUCGAGGUUAUCGUGCUAUCUAUGCUAUUACUACUAAAGCUACCACCUAGCAAUAUAGUAAACGCAUACGCAAGCACAAAUGUUAGUUUAAAGACAACCCUAUGGCUCCUGCCGGUUGCCGUAGCAUCGACGUGCAAGUCGAUAUUUAACUAUUACGACAUGAUCAUCUCAUACAUCCAAAAUAUCAUAUCAUGUCUUUGGCCAUAUCAUAUCACAUGCAUACCCUGCAAAAACAAGUUAGACGUCCUCUAAUUUGUUGUUGCAUGUUUUACGUGGCUGCUACGGGUAUCUAGCAUGAUCGCAUCUUACUUAUGCAAAGCCACAACGGUGAUAUGCAAAUUGCUAUUUAACCUUCUCCAAGGACCGUCUCGGUCAAAACCGAUUCACUAAAGUUGAAGAAACAGACACCCGCCAAUUAUCUUUAUGCAACAAGUUGCAUGUUAGUCGAUGAAACCGGUCUCUCGUAAGCGUACGAGUAACGUUGGUCUGGGCCGCUUCAAUCCAACAAUACCGCCGAAUCAAGAAAAGACUAAGGAGGGCAGAAAAUUGAACAUCAACACCCACAAACUCUUUUGUGUUCUACUCGAGAUAUCAUCUACGCAUGAACCUAGCUCAUGAUUCCACUGUUGGGGAACGUUGCAUGGGAAACAAAAAAAUUCCUACGCACACGCAAUACCUAUCCAUGGUGAUGAUCAUCUACGAGAGGGGAGAGUGAAUCUACAUACCCUUGUACAUUGCUAAGCGGAAGCGUAUAUAACGCGGUUGAUGUAGUGGAACAUCUUCGCGAUCCAAAUCGCAGCCCGUCCCGUGAUCUCAUCACGAUCCUUCCUGAUCUAGUGCCGAACGGACGACACCUCCGCGUUCAACACACAUACAGCUCGAUGACGAUCUCCACCUUCUUGAUCCAGCAAGAGGGGCGGAGAGGUAGAUGAGUUCUCUAGCACGACGGCGUGGUGGUGGUGGUGGUGGUGCUAUUCCAGCAGGGUUCGCCUAAGCACCGCUGAAACUAGAGGAGAAACAGAUCUAGAGAGAGAGGGCAGCACAUGACUGUUUUCUAUUGGCUCUAAAACCCUCAAAACCCUUAGUAUAUAUAGGAGGAUAGUAGGGAUAGGGUUGUGCCCUAGGCCUGCCUUUUUUCCCUUGCGCGAGAAGGAGAGGAGGAGUCCUCCUCCAAUCCUAUUUAGAGUAGGAUUCCUCCUUCCCACUUGGAACUCUUUUCACCUUGUGUUUUUUCCUUCUCAAACCUCAUGGGCCUUAGUGGGAACUUAUUCCAGCCCACUAGGGGAUGGUUUACCUCUUCCCACAGCCCAUGAGGCCCCUUGGGGCGUGACACCCUCCCAAUGGUCCCCGACACCCCUCCCGACACUCCCGGUACACUACCGAUGAGCCCGGAACUUUUUCGGUGACCAAAAUAGGACUUCCUAUAUAUCAAUCUUUACCUCUGGACCAUUCUGGAACUCCUCGUGAUGUCCAGGAUCUCAUCCGGGACUCCAAACAACCUUUGGUCACCAACACCUAUAACUCAACUAUACCGAAACGUCACCGAACCUUAAGUGUGCAGACCCUGCGGGUUCGAGAACUAUGCAGGCAUGACCUGUGACACUCUCCGGUCAAUAACCAAUAAUGGGACCUGGAUGUCCAUAUUGGCUCCCACAUAUUCUACGGAGAUCUCUAUCGGUUGAACCUCUAUGUCAAGGAUUCAGUUAAUCACGUAUGAUGUUCCCUUUGUCCUUCGGUAUGUUACUUGCCCGAGAUUCGAUCGUCGGUAUCCCCAUACCUAGUUCAAUAUCGUUACUGGCAAGUCUCUUUAUUCGUUCCGUAAUACAAGAUCCCGUAACUAACUCCUUAGUCACAUUGCUUGCAAGGCUUGUUGUGAUGUUGUAUUACCGAGUGGGCCCCGAGAUACCUCUCCGUCACAUGGAGUGACAAAUCCCGGUCUUGAUCCAUGCCAACCCAACAGAUACCUUUGGAGAUACCUGUAGAGCACCUUUAUAGUCACCGAGUUACGUUGCGACGUUUGAUAACCCACAAGGUAUUCCUCCGGUGUCCAAGCGUUGCAUGAUCUCAUGGUCAUAGGAACACAUACAUUGACAUGCAGAAAACAGUAGCAAUAAACUGACACGAUCAUAUGCUAUGUUUAUAGUUUUUGGGUCUUGUCCAUCACAUCAUUCUCCCAAUGAUGUGAUCCCGUUAUAGAGUGAUAACACUUGUCUAUGGUCAGGAAACCUUGACCAUCUUUGAUCAACGAGCUAGUCAAUUAGAGUCUCACUAGGGACAGUGUGUUGUGUAUGUAUCCACACAUGUAUUUGAGUUUCCAAAUCAAUACAAUUCCAGCAUGGAUAAUAAACGAUUAUCAUGAAUAAAGAAAUAUAAUAAUAACCAAUUUAUUAUUGCCUCUAGAGCAUAUUUCCAACAACCAACAUGGUGAAAGUGACUAGAUGAAAUUCCUGUGAGCCCUCAAGAACACUUUGCCUAUUAUAAGAACCCAUUUUGGCCUAUCCUUUGCCACAAAAGGAUUGGGAUACCUUGCUACACUUAUUGUUACUAUUGCUACUCGUUACUUGUUACAAUUAUCUUGCUAUCAAACAACUUGUUACCGCUAUUUCAGUGCUUGCAGAAAUUACCUUGCUGAAAACCACUUGUCAUUUCCUUCUGCUCCUCGUUGGGUUUGACAAUUUUACUUAUUGAAAGGACUACGAUUAAUCUCCUAUACUUGUGGGUCAUCAUGUUCGUCUCCCCCUUCAUUUGCUAAUCCUUCAUAGAGGUGGGGGAAUCCUGAUUUUGCAUGUUCACCGCGUAGUUAGGGCUAGGUUUUCAUUUUGUUGUGGUGUGGUUCAUAUGGAGGUGGCUCCGCCACAUCUAACACAUAUCGACGACUCGUCGACAAAGUCAAGGAACCUAUGGAUCAGUGUCAUCGUGCUUCGACAUUCUAUGGUGUUUGUUUGAUCGUGGGCUUGUUGUUGGCGGCCUCGUCUUUUUCUGGAUUUUUCCCCCUAGAGGAAACCGUGGGCUAGGUCACCUGUUCUUGCUCAUGAUGUUAGCUUGAUCGUUGACACGAAUCAGGAUGUGGCACUCACCGAUUUAGCAUCUGCCCCGAACUCCCAACGCACACCGCGGCUGGCUACAAAUAGAGACAUCUACAAGUAGUUUCUUUCUCUAGUUUUGUGUGGGUGACACAACUGUUGUUGUUCUCGUUGCCAUUCUCCCCUUUUAGACUAUUAGGAGGGAAAAAGCCCUCGUAGUUCCAAUUUUAUUGAAGACAAAACAAGAGUAAUUCAGACAAGCACGCGUCAUCCGCAUGUUACAAAAGAAAAGUAAAACAUGAAAGUUUCAAGGCUAGAAAACACCGGCAACUUAUUAUAUCAGCAAGGUAACUAAAAGUUUUAGUCUCUCCUCAACCGAUGCUACGCCGAUAAAAUCGAGCAGCGUUGUUUUCAAUUUCACAAGGAUUUUCUCGAGGGCUUAGAUGUACUUCUAAGUUUUGUCAAUGUCUUUUUUGUCGAAGUGAGGAUAAUUUUCCUAGUUCUAGAUAUUUAUUUUGUACUCGUUCUUCUAGUAAUACUCUAGAAAUUAGUAUAAAAAUACUUAUCUAUAUUUGACCUCACAAGAAAAGAUCCUAAGCUUUCCUCCUCCUAUUGUGGGUGCCGCCGCCGGUUUGCCUCAUCUUAGAUGGCCUUUGGGCCAUUGAGGUGCGAAGGACCUCGGCUCCGCACCGGCAUGAGGGGUCCCGUUCUUGCUUUUAUUAGGUUCAACAUCUUGGUUAAGGUUGUGUGGCGGCGACCAUGUUCCUCAACAGAAAUAAUGUCUCCCGUGUUUACCCCCGUCCCGAUGACGCGUCUAGCUUCAUGGGAGGGCGUAUGAAGUUUUGUCUUCACCAGCUCUCGCGGGAUUCGGUCUGUACUGGUUUUUGGUGGACAUGUUUGGAUCCGGUCUUUGUCCAUCUUCGUGUUGGUGUUUAUAGGCUUGGUCCUUCCAAUCUACGAAUUUCUUCAUCGGUGAUGGUUGUUGCUCUCGUGCACUAGUCCUAUGAUGCCUUAGCACGACCUAAUGUCUAGUACAACAAGGUUUUUCGGCCUCCAACGAGGGAGGGGCGAUAAUGGUGGCACACUUUUGGUUCACUUGAGUGUUUGUAGUCGUCUCUAGGUGGUUCACGGACCUGAUUGUAUAUUUUUUAUUAUCUCUUGUGUUCGUUGUACUGCCAUGGUUAAGAAUGAAUAGAUUGGAAUUUUCUCGCAUAAAAAAAUUGAUAAUUAGAAGCUGUAGUUUUGUCCAAUCUAUUAAGGGGAUACUCCUCCUUAUCCUUCAUAACACUAAACUUCGUAGUUUUUAAGGCCGCAUGGUCAAUUGAGGUCUUCAAUUUAGAACUGGGUUAUCCAAAUUUGACCAAGUCAACAAUUUCACAAGAAGCUCUCUCAUUCAAUUUUUAACACACCAUGCUCCUUAAUUUUAAAGCUUUCUCCUUCAAUUGAGGCAUACAAUUCUAAUGUUUUGAUUUUGACUUGAUCAAUCCUUUGUUGUGGCAAUGAAAUCUCUAAUUUCCUUAAGUUCCCCUGUUUUAAAGCCCCCUCAUCCAAUCCAGAUCUUUAAUUUGGAUUGGAUACACAAUUGAUUGGGUUGUUGUUCCGGGUUUCGUGGUGGGAUUUCCAUGAAUGGGUGGUGUGGUCUUGGUUGAAAAAAAAUGAAAGUGUUGCCCAUGACACGUUUAUCACCAACAUAAAACUUGCGUCUAACAAUGUAAAUAACUUUCUUAUGUAUUUGUAUUGAGUAAAAGAUGUUCUUCAAUCACACGAUCAAAAAGAUCCACCAAACACCACAAAAAGAAAAUGAUGCACUUAUGAAUGAUUCGCCAGGGAUUAGUCAUAGCAAACAUUCUCCUACCAAUAACUUCCUGAUUUUCAUCCUUGGCCCACUCUUCCUGUACUAUCUGAUAAAACACAUACUUCAUUAUAUCCUUUACAUGUCAAACAAAUCAACACUAAAUAAUUUCUAUAACUUUAAAAAAAAUAUCACACACACAUAUAUAUAUAUAAAUAAAAGAUGUACAUCCCAUAACAUAAACGGCGCGACAAAGCAUGCACUGUCCUCCUAGCCUACAAAGAAAAAUCAAAGAAAAACGAGCACGCUCUUUGCAUCGCACGAUUAGGGGCGACGUGGCGCGGCCUGCGCCACCCACAUCAUCAUCUUCUCGUUUGACCCGGCACCCCAGGCGGCUCGUCGUCAGUUCGUCCCUCCCUCCCUCCUUCCCCUGUGCUGUGCCAUCCCGAAGCGUAAACUGAAAAAUGGCGAGUGUGACCUCGAGGUGCUCCGGCCUCCUCCUCCCGGACCUGCGGCCGGGCCUCGCGGGGCUCCGCAGCCGCUCGCCUCCGCCUUCUUCUUCCCGCGUCCAUCUGCGCCGGUGCCGCCGCCGGCCGAGAACCCUGUCCUGCGUCGCGCCGCCCGACUCCGCGGAGCCGAAGACGGUGAGUCCUCGUAGCAUACUCAAACAGAUUCGGGGCAGUGGAUAGACUAAUCUGGUGCUUCUUUAGCUUCAUGCUCAUAAGAAACAGAAGUAAAAAAUUCCAGUCAGAUAGCAGUAUAGCAUGAACCGUGAAGUCAUUCCNNNNNNNNNNNNNNNNNNNNNNNNNNNNNNNNNNNNNNNNNNNNNNNNNNNAUUCCUGCUCCCGUUUGCUUCCACAGGACGAACAGCAGGUGAAAGCUGAGCUGGGUGAAGAGAAGGCUCAGCCAAGCAGCAGCACGCCCCAGGAGGCUGCUGUAGACCCACCUGUUCCAGACAGGGGUCUCAACAGACGGAUAGCUGUGCUCACCACGCUUGCAGCGGUGGGCCUCUUUGGAUCCCAAAGGCUCCAGCUUGGCGGGUUUUCUCUCAAAGAUCUUGCUGCCAAUGCUGUGCCAUAUGAAGAGGUUAGCGCUUCUUGGCCUUUGUCCUUUGACCCCGAGGAGCUUUGUGCACAGUUCUACACUGAACAUGAACAGAUAGAUAGAUAGAUACAAACUCUUCAGCUAAAUGUCAAACAGCAAAAGGAAGUUCGCUGCCAUUUUGUGUAUACUGAAAUCAGUCUAGUGCGACCCUCCAUACGUGUGUCAUUUAGUUACUAGAUUUUGUGCUUAGAAUUGCAGUAAUUGGACAACAAAGCAUCAUCUGGUGCAGUUCAGAUCAUGGUAGAGUUACAACUCACUGCAAGGGAAAUAGUUGCUUUAGAUACAACAAAAGAUGAGAUUCUUGCCGAAUCCGACCCAAUCAGUAUGUCUGUACUAAGGAUGACGGCCUGUAUCCAGAGUUUCCCUGGGGCGACCCUCCAGAUAUGUGUCAUUUAGUCACUAGAUGUUGUGCUUACAAUUGCCUGGCUUAGAGCAUCUCUAGUAGAACCCUCAAACCCUUAAAUCUAAAACCAGUUUUAAGGGUUGAGAAUUGGCCAUUUUUGACACUUUUAAGGGUUGAAAAACAAGGGCAAAGACUAGAACACUCAAACCCAACCCUUAUAACGGAAUAUUCCGUUAUAAGGGUUGGGUUUGAGGGUUCUAGUCUUUGUCCCAACCCCAACCCUUAAAACUGUCAUUUCAUAUAUCACACAUUUCAUCACAUUUCAUCAUAUGACAUAUCACAAAUUCAAUCACAUUUGACAUAAAACAAUAAUCAUUCUAGUUAUUAUUACACCACCGAAUAAAACAAUAAUCAUUCAAAUUAUUACAACAAUGUUUGAGCAAAUCACAACAAUUGUUCGAAUCAAAUAGGACAUAGAAAAGUAAAACAAAGAUACAUCAUAAUUCAUGAGUAAAACAUUUGACAAUGGAGAUAAAAUGUAAAGUGAAAUAAUAGCAACUUUGGAAGAUCAUGACAAUCUGAAGCAAAAUACAAGGUAAGCAUAUCAUGAAAAUUUGAAACCAAAUUAUUACAUGCUAACUUAUUUUUUAGCAGCAAUCUGAAGAAAAAUACAAGGUAAGCAUAUCAUGCAAAAUCUAUUUACUAGCCUCUAUUUGUAACUGAUUUCUUAGCAGCAAAAUCUGCCAUGAAAUCUGUUAUGAAACCUGAAACCUGAAAUCAUGGAACCUGAAGCAAAAUCGGUAUCAAUUGCACAGGGAAAAACCUGAAACAACUAAUUGCACAGGGCAUGUAUCAAUUGCACAGGGCAAAAUCUGUCAUGAAACCUGAAACCUGAAACCAUGAAACCUGAAGCAAAAUCUGUUAUGACUUGCCUGAAAAAAAUUCAGUUGGCUAGAAACUCACAUACACAGGGCAUGUAUCAAUUGCCUCUCUGCCAAUAAUUUUGUUCUACUUAUCUAGCAAAACCAGGAAGAAUAUGUACACUGGAGCUCGCGAGGGCACCAUGGUAGAAGUGUGGAGGUGGAGAAGGAUUGGAACAGGAGCUCAUCGGGGCGUCGGGGAACUGCUGCAGCGGCGAGGUGGGCGGCUCAGGCCGGGGCGGGGCGCCGCGAGGAGGCGGCGGCUGGAGACGGGAGCGGGAUGAAAAUCCCUCCCGCGCUGGAGAGGAAGCGGAGUGCGGGUUGGGAGGAGGAAACUCCUCCCAACCCUCACUUCUACAGGUUCAAAACAAGUUUGAGGGUUGGACCUCUAAAUUAUUUUACGGAUUUGAGGGUUUAGGGGUUCUAGUCUAUCGUUUUUUUCCGACGAAAACUGUAAAAAAGCGGUUAUUUUUAAGGGUUUGAGGAUUUGAGGGCUCUACUAGACUUGCUCUUAGUUGUAGAUGUUGAGGUAUAAAUGCAUAGCCCACCUUUCCUCAUUAGCUUGAGUUUUUUGGUGAACUGGCUGGUGCGUGCAGUCUACAUGGCAUCAGAGCUAGGAGGUAUUGAAGGUCUUGAGUUCAAGACACGGUUGACCCAAUUUAAAAAUUAAAAAUUUGCAGCCCACUUUCGGUCCAUGUUUAGGGCUGAGGGAGCCUCACGUGAGGGGGAGUGUUGACGUAUAGCAGUUCUAUAGUACACAUAUUAAGUCGAAUAUCUAAUGACUGGUCAUAUGCCCAUUUGAAUGUUAAUCCAACGAAGGGUUGCUUUCGAGAAUGCAUUACUCAAGUUGUAAGGAUGUUAGAUAUUUUUGGGGAAGAUGCCAGAAACUGAUGGGUUUGUUUAUUUGCAGUUCAUUGAUUUGGUACUGCUUCAUGUGAAACCUUGCUUCUGUACCUGUAUGGGGUGACCAUUAGUAAACUAGUGUUCAUAGUAUGUACACUAUGAUGAAUCGAUUUCAUGUGAAAUUGACAAGAAAUCCUAUUAUGACUGAGCCUCAUCUUUAUCUGGUUGCGCUGACUACAUUUAUGUCGCAUAGAGAAAUGCAUCUUUGAAUUGCAUGCUUGUUUGCUUUCAAAAUCUAAUUAACAUGAGAAAUGCAUCUGCAGGCUCUCUCAAAUGGCAAGCCCACUGUUGUCGAGUUUUAUGCGGAUUGGUGUGAAGUUUGUCGAGAGUUAGCUCCAGAUAUUUACAAAAUUGAGCAACAGUAUAAGUAAGCUGCCUUCAACAUUUUUAACUUCUAUAUAUCCCAUAGAAAUAGCAACUAUGAUUUGGUUCCUUCAUUGAAGAAUUGAUGGGUAUUUAUGCUUUUUUACUGAUCGUAAUGUGCACCUUCCAUAGAAUACAGCUCUGUAGCUGGACAGCUAUACCAAUACAGUGCAAGUGUAUGCAGUAUAAUACACUUGCCAUACCCAUACUAAAGAAUACUUAAAGUUCAUUAGUGAGUCUAGACAUCAAUAAUUCAACUCUGAGCUACACCCAGGUGCAUAUCCACUUGAUUUUCUAUGUGCAUUUACUCUUUUUGGAAAUAAACAUAAAUGUACAUUAUGUUAGAAGAGUAGUAGCCCUGGUACUAAAAUGCUUGCUGUAAUUGAUUUGCAAAAAAGAAAUGCUUGCUGUAAUCUCCAGAAACCACUAUAUCAACAACUUGGAUACAACUGCUGACUGAAUGCAUUUUCUUCUUCUUUUCUUUAGAUGCUAGUUAAUUUAUCUUAACAAUUCUUUAUAGGGACCGUAUCAACUUUGUCAUGUUGAAUGUCGACAAUACAAAAUGGGAACAAGAGCUUGAUGAAUUUGGAGUAGAAGGCAUUCCUCAUUUUGCCUUUCUGGAUAAGGAAGGAAAUGAGGAAGGAAAUGUUGUUGGGAAGCUUCCAAGACAAUAUUUUCUUGAUAAUGUGGUUUCUCUGGCAUCUGGUGAUCCAACGAUACCUCAUGCACGAGCCGUUGGUCAAUACUCGAGCGCGGAAUUCAGAAAAGUCCAUCAAGUUGCUGAUCCCAGAAGUCAUGGCUAGAAAUAACUCUUCAUUGCUAUCGGUUUUAGCGUAAUGCCAAGACUCAUGGACAAGUAGGCUUUAUUCUCUCUUGAAGAAGUAUAGUCCAAGUACUAGAAUGUAUGUUGUCCUUUUGCAGGAGAAGUGCAUAUAGCAGCUGAUUGUCAGUAUAUGAUGUCACCAGAUUUAGUGAAAUAGUUAUAUCUAUCUUCAGCAAUGUCCUGUUGAGGGCUGUUGAAGUUGAAAUAUAGCUCUUUACAAACAUAGCAAAGUAUGCUAUAGUAGGGCGUUUUGGAGCUCGGGCUCCAUGGCAUCCUUUAUUUUUGAAAAAUUCAAAAUUCAAAUUUUCGGUUUCAAAAUAAUCUGGAAAAAAUAUGCAAGUAUAAAAGGAUGAAAUGUAUAUGUGUGCAAAAAUUCUGGAUGAAAUACCUUAAGAUGCGAUCUGUGUAAAAAGAACAAAUUCAUGGACUUUUGGGGUGAAUAGUACCAUGUGUUAAAAAGCCACAUAUUUGUAUCUUUUGCACAUGUCUCGUUUCAACGUAUUUUGUUCUAAAAAUUUGCACACAUAUGUGUUAUGCCUUCAUGUAUAUCCGUAUUUUCUUCAGAUUUUUUUGAAAUGUAAGAAUAUGAAUUUUAAGGUUUUCAAAUAAAGGGUGCCAUGGAGCCCGAGCUCCAAAAGGCAUUUUCAAGUAUGCUACCACAACCUGUCAAUUUCUAGUAUGUACCUAAAUAAUGUCUUGCUGACAAAACCACUGAAGCUUUUAUUAUGGAGGCUAUACUUUCACCCAAGUCAAUAUAUAGUUAGAACAGAUAGUUUUACGCAUCUGUUGCAUGAUGUUUCAUAACUAUCAGGUCUCUUGUUACCCCUGAGGCCCUGACACUACUGGGUUUUUUUUCGAUCUGAUUCCUGCAGGAGGCCGAUAUAGGUUAGGCAUGUUCAGUCUUGGAGCCAAGAAUUUGGGCGUUGGGCAGAGCUGACCGAAUGCAGAAAUCACAUUAAAAUGGCAGCAGGAUCAGUGUUUCGUGUAUAUGAUUGUGGCAUUGUGCCAGUGGAUUAUCUGAUUCAGGCAUUUGGCUAGAACAUUGAGGAGAGUUGGUUACUACGAGAACCAGUGUAUUGCGUAUAAUUGAACACUGCCCACACCCCGCCAAAAAGAAACAGAUGCAUGCUAAUUGGUACUUUCUCAUCCGGAAUUACUUGUCAGUUGUCGCUCAAACGGUUGUCGCGACAAGUAACUAACUCUACGAUAUUGUGAUUCCGUUGAGCGUUGGCUCCUGCACUUGUUCUGGCUUUAGGGGGUUGCGUGUAGUAGUCGCUUCCAGGCUGUGUUUGGCAGGCUUGUGUUAUCCUAGUACUAACAAGGGCUUGUGUUUGGCAGGCUUGUGUUAUCCUUGUGUUAUCCCUAACUGUUAACUCUUUAGUCUUAUCUGCAACUUCCAUGGCCGUUCGGGCGCCCAGCCUGUUUUGGCACGCGACCACAGCUGGCUUCCCUUCCCCGGUUGCAGAACCUAAAAAACCAAAAUUCCAAUUCUAAUCCUUAUGGGGCAUCAGAAACGAAGCCCACGUGUCGUCCCACACUCGGGCGACGCUCAUACCCUAGCCAUCGAGGCGCGCGAGCUCCCUCAUCCCCUUCCUCCGACACCGCCGGGGGACGCCCGGGCCAACGGUGGCGGCGGAGGAAUCUUCUCUCCCGCGUCAAAGGGGUGUUGCGGAGCUCAAAAUGUGUGGUGACGCGGCCAAUCCAUCCUAAACGGUAGGACGACAAUGGCUGCGGCAGGCGGCGGCUGGCCCUGCCUCGGGCGACGUCUGCAGGCGCGGCGUGCGGCUUAGCCACGGGCGGCGGCGUUAGUUGCGGGUGUGGCGGUCGGCCCUGUUCGGGCAACGACGUCGUGCAAUGUGGCGGCGCACCAUCUGGUUUCAAAUAGACCGUGACGACGUGAGGGCCUGGUUGACAAGUCGGCGACGUACGUGCUAUGACCUUGGUUAGAUCUGAUCUGACCGGUGCGGCCUGUGCAGUACGUGGCGUCAGAGAUCGAUGGCGGUCCGUGCACACGCUGUUAGAUGAAGGUUCGUCAAACAUAUCCGGGUGAAAACCUUGCUCUAUGCUAGUUGCCAAGGCCGGUGAUGGCGACACUCUUCUGUGUCGUCCCCUUCCUGAAGGCAUCAUCAUGGAGAAGCUCCAAACUUCUAUCUGCUACCUCCGGAGGAAACCCUAUAUCAGUUGAUCGGAUGACGACGGCGCCCUUGUGUUGUUCGCCCCUUGGGGGCGUCAUUCUUGGAGGUGCGCACUGGUGCAUGCGAGGGACCAGUGGACGGUUUCUGCGGUGGAUCGGCGUAUCAGGUGACACAUCGACGGUGUAGGGUCUCGGCGGCAACGAAUGUGUGAUGACUGAUGCGCGUAGGGAGGUGGCGUCGUGUGGCAUCGUGGUGGCAUCAACGACAUGAGUGGCAAGAUGGAUGCAUCAAUAACUGCUGUGAAGAUGGAUUAGUGGAAGACGACGGCGGCAACCUCUGAGAGUGCACCGGACCGGUGUGUGUCCUAGACCCGGUAUGUGGCGUGAUUAGGCCCUCCGACUUUCGAUGUUAGGCUUCGGUGCGAGGUCUAUUUGGUAUUCGGUUCGGACUAUCGAUACUCCUUCAUCAACUCAAUAUGAGUAGCAACAUAUGUUGUCAAAAUGAUGAUUUCAAACUCAAUGAUGUAUUACUUUGUAAUGUUUUUAUGAAUAAUUAAUAAUAUAAUAAUAUGUAUCGUUCAGACGCAGAGACCGGGGGUCUUCCCCUUUAAAAAAGAAGUAUCUAACCUUAUAGCGAGCAGGAAUAUUGAAGCAAAAGUAGUGGGCUGCAAUCCCUCAAGAAAAACGAGAGCAAAAAUUCAUGUACCUGCCCCUCGAACCUGCCAGGAAAAAACUCAAGUUUUGACAUCUCUAACAGUGUAGUUUUCAAAAUGUAGUUUUGACCGUUUCUUUCUCUUAUAUAUGAAAAAUGAGAGCAGGCAUUCAUUGACCUGCUCCUUGAACGUUUUAUUACGAAAAGACUCGAGGUUUGGCAUAAACAUAGUCUUCAAAACGUAACUUUGGUCAUUUUCUUAUACGAAGACGAUAGCAGACAUUUCUCUACCUGCCCCUUGAAGGUAUUUUGAAAAGACUCGAGGUUUGACAUAAACAUAGUCUUCAAAGUGUAACUUGGACAGUGUUUCUUAUAUAUGAAAAACCUAUAGGGGCAAGUUGGUUGCCCGCACCAAUUUUGACGUGUUUGUAUAGACUUUUUAGACGAGUCUGACUAAGAAAAAAAAAUAACUUGUAAACCAUCAUUUGCAUAUUGUUUGAUUGUUCAUAUAUAAAUUAGCUGCAUGAGGGAAUUAAUUUUAAUACAAUGUUUGGUUGACCGCAUAACAUUAGUCGUACAUAGGACACUUUGUUUGAUCGCAACAUGCAUUAGGUGUUGUCAUCUACAACCGGACCCCUCAAACCCUCCUCAAAUGCCCGGACAAGUCUCCCGGGUACUGAUCGGUCAUGAAAAAGCAACCCACACAAACCCCUCAAACCGGCCUUAAACGCCUGGGCUGACCGACACCCCUCAUAUCCCGUGAGCCGGCUAGUGUCCCAUGUCCUACUCUACCUCGCCGGCGACCGGACCGACACAAUGAAGGGCGCAGCCAGCCGUCGGACAUGGGCAUGGCGGAGCCAGAUGAGCUCCGCUUAGUAUUAGUUUUUUAUGUUGCAUGUAAUAGUAUGGAUUUUAGGUUUCUAAUUUGAGGCAUCCGGGUGUAGAAUGAUUUAUGUGAGGCAUGACCGGUUAGUGUCCACGGACACGUCGAGCGCGUACGCAGGCAUUUGUGGGGUCUGAUUUGCAAGGUCCGGCUGUAGAUGCUCUUACCACACACGAUCUUAGCAAUUUCCCUCCUAGAUACGAAACAAAUUAUGAUGCAUCCUAGCUACUAUCAAGUGGCAGUUCACAUUAUUAAGAGCAAAAUGGCUGAAUGGGGAAAGUUCAUCAUCCAUCAUCUUCCUCUUCCUCUUACCUCUUAUGCCGUUGCUGUCACUAUUCCCCCUCCUCUUUUGCUGCUACCUCCUCUUCUGUUGUUGCUCUUGCUCUUCUUCUUCUUGUCCAGAUUCUUGUCUGGCCUAUGUUAUCCCACAUUGCAUGUGUCCACUCUAGCCUUUUGUUAUUCCAGACUUCGUUGUCAAAUACCUCAACACCAUGGCCAUCGAGGUAAACAUCGCCAGGCGUCAGAUCUUCCUCCUCACGCACUAGUUCAUGACAACCACAUUACAAGAUCUAGUUAUGCAGAAUGCAACAUGUAAUAACAAGCUUAACCUGGAUAGGGUAGGGAUGGAAUGACUUCUGAUCCAGGAUUUUGAACCUAUUCUUCAGAGCUCUAAAUGCCCUCUCAAUAGUUACUCUAUGGCUGGAGUAUUUGAGAUUGAACAUCUCCUGUGGAGUCCAAGGGUAGUUCCUACGAGAUAACUUGUUCACAUGGUACCCGGUCUUCCUGAAGGGUGGAAGAAAACCUGGACGACAUGCAUAGCCAACAUAUCCUAGGUAGAACUUGUCAUCAGGGAUGUUGAUGCAUGUCAUGAGGACGACUCAUGCUGUCACCGAGUAUAUUAGCAUCAUGUGGUGACCCUUCCCAGCCAUCGAGCACAUAGGUGAACUUUAGAUCAAAGUCAACAACAACAAGCACAUUCUCACUUGUGUAGUGCUCCCCCUAUAUGUCGCAGCUUGUGACCUCGUCACUCUGGGAGUGACAUGAGUAUCAUAUGUUGCCCCAAUGCAAUACUGAAAUGGCAAUACAAGUUUGUGUUAGUGCUCAUCUUAAACAAUCCAAGCAUAUCAAGCAAUGAACAACAUAUUGCAGUACUCACCUUGAAGUAUGGAUACAAUCUUGGGCUAGUGCGAAUCUUGGUAGGAGUCCGUCCAGUUGGUGACUUGAUCAUCUCUCCUAUGAGAUCCCCAACAACAUACAACACUUGCUUGAAGUAUCUUGAGAUGGUCUCCAUUGAUCUUCUGAACGUGUUAUGGAUAAUCCUGAACCUAUGGUUAUGGCCAACAACAUGAAGAAACAUGGCCACAUGCUUUUCCACACUGGUGUCAAUGUUAUCUUCUAGGAGACCCCUACUCCCGAAGGUCUAGACAAGUCUGACAGAUGGUGCUCUUUUCAUUCUAAGCACCCACACAACCUCUGUGUCAUUGCAGUUCUAUAUGUAGUUCAGAUUGGUGAUCCUCUCCCGCUCCCUCAUAGGCAUUAGAGCAUAUCUGAUGACAUGGUUCUCACCACGAUGAACAACUCUCUUGUGAAUGAACAUGACCCAUGUUUGAAUUACAGAUAUCAGUGAUGCGGUCUAAACUACCAGCCGCUUCCGUGCAUCCAUAACCUAGUCCGCAUCGAUGGUGCGUUGAGCAAUGGGAAAAUACAUCCUAGACCUUGCCUAACGACCUAACAACAUACAUAACAUAGAGGAGGGUUGUUGUUUUUACCAGCAUCAUAGAUGAGGAUGACGAAGGGGGGCAUGGUUGAGUCAAGGACCACGAAACGAUGGCCAAAUGGAAGAGCAACAACAACUCCUACUGCCGGAUCUACCGCCUCCGCCGCCGCUUGCACAGAUUCGAGUCGGCACCGUCGGUGGUGGUGAGGCUAGAGGAAGUGGUUGUAGUAGCGGUGACCGAGUAAAUGGGUGUGUGUGGGGGUGAGACUAGAUUUGGCGUCGUACCGCGCCCUCGAUUUCCAUCUCCCGCCAUCCCCACUCGCUUUCGCCCUACCCCCCAAGCGUGCGAGAUUGCGUCGCCCUUUGCCUCACUCAAUAGGAACCGCUGAUUGAUCAAUAGUUUCUAGCGAGCCAGGUUGAUGACUGUUUUAAGUCUCGUGCAGAUGCAAGCCAUCCCACUACAUUCACAAUCAAAUGCACAUUUCGUGGUCCAAGUGGACCUGGUUGCAAUUUUGUGGGCAACCAAACACACCCUAGUAGACUUUCCUCUACGUGCUACUUGAACGUAUUAUGAAAAAGACUCAAGGUUCGACAUAGGCAUGGUUUUUAAAAAAUGUAUUUUUUUUUCUCUUCUUCUAAUAAUAAUAUUUUCAAUGUUAUAUGAAUUAGUAGUUACAAAAUAAUUAUCACAAAUAUGAUGAUAUAUUCAGAAUUCUGACUACAUGUUUUCUGGUAUGGUAUUGCCUCCUUUCCAAAACAGAUGACAAUGUUGUAGUCAAAGUUUCGAAUUUUGACUCGUUAUAAUUAAGAAAAAUCAAGGUUCUAAAUAAACUUAUAGUCUUCAAAAUGUAGCAUUGACAUUUGUAACAAUAACAUUUUUCAAUCUUUUAAGAAUUUAGUAAUUAUAAAAUAAUCACCAGAAGUAAUAUGAUGGUAUUAUGAAGUAAUAUGAUGGUAUUAUCUGUAACACUAAUAAUGUUUGUAUGUAUUGAUGGUAAAAGUUAGAGAAUCCGAACUGCAUGCUUUGUACAUGGCCCGCAGAGGCGAGGCGGGGCAGACCAGAAACCCUCACCGCCGCUGCCAAGAGAACCAAGCUUCCGGUGCCGUUUUUCGGCGGCUCUUCUCUGCCGGCGAUCUCUUGGUCGUCGGUCGUGAGGGGGGUCGCCGGGCCCCACGCAUGCAGACCGUUUUUGGUUUAGGUUUAGGACCCAAGAAGCUUAGGUUUUGGAUCGUUCCACAUCUUUGCUUUGGCGGCGGCGACGACGAUGCUGAAUAAAAAAGCUCCAGAUUCUUCUCCGGCGAGGCGAUCAUCUCUAUGGUCGGUGAUGGAUUUGGGAACCAGUCUGUUCAAGCAGGGAUAUCGUGACGACGACGACAUCCUUGUGUUGGACUUGUAUCCUCGGGCUCCGCUGUUGUGACGGUAUGUGCUCCAGCGUCGACAUAGAGCUUGGGAGGUAGUCUAGGAGUGGAUGCAGAUUAUGGUUUUCAUCGAUGACAUGUGGAAGACGGAACAUGUGCUGGGUUCGUGAUUGAUGGAUGACAGAUAUGGUUUCCUCCAUCAACGUCUUAGUUGUGGUGGGGUGUCAGAUUUGGAGGUCGAUGACGUGUCCAGGGUGUUGACCCGGUCUGAUUCGUUUAAGGACAAUGGCUUCAUAUUUGGUGAGCCACCUUGAAGAUCCAUAAAGCUGCAUAUCAGCGAUGGAGCCGCGUCGAGCUCGGGUGAGGAGGUGAUUCAUCAUUUUUUUUCUUUGGUGGCUGUUGUGGUGGUGCCGAAGGCAGGUGACAGACGUUGGUAUCAAACUCAACGAUGUUCUCCUAUCUUAGUUUUGUCAUGUCGUUUUUACGUGACUUGUAAUUUGAUCUUUAUGAUAUAAAUGAAACACAUAUUGCUGUGCAAAAAAAUACAUGAUUUCUGUUCUUUGUGUAUCAUAAUAUUUGUUGUUAAAGAGAAGUAAUCUAAUUCUCUCCAACAACAAGUAUUUAGGAACAGGGAGUAAUAUGAUACUACCUCGUUUCAAAACAGAUGAUGAUAUCCUUAAAGUAUUUUGGAUAAUAUUUUUUUCCCGAGGACAUCAUAGGAGAUCUGCGUGUCAAUACGUUAUGGGAUAAUAAAUAACAGUCAAAGAUGCUUACUGCAGGCGGGGCCUGUUUUGGAGCGGAGGGAGCAUUCUUAAAUAUUUCUAUUUUGUUUCACUCGCAAAAAUGGUAUAUUUCUACUUUUACCAAUAUAUUUCUCCAUGAUUCAAAAGAAAAAGAAAAAGAGAGGCUGAGAUAUGUAAUCCUGAUAGAGAGUGUUUGUUAAAAGAACAUGACUUUUAUUCAUGUACUACUUCCUUCAUUCUUAAAUAUAUUUUUUCAAAUUCUAUUAAAGACUACAAACAAAAUAAAAUAAAUGAACCUAUAUUUUAAAAUAUAAUAACUACAUACAUGCGUUCCACAGCAGAGAGUACAGAACACGCCAUUGUAUCACGACGCUAUUGCCUACUUUGACCAGUAUGCUAUCCAGUGGAUAGAUUCCCACGCUUAGAUCGCCUAUUAGAUUUUCCUCAGGCCUCGUUUGGUUAAGGGGGAUUGGGGAGAUUUUGAGAGGGAGGGAUUUUAGGGAAUUGGGUGAAUCCCUUUGUUCCAUCCAAUCCUCUCAAAUCUCCGGGGUUUUGCUUCCUCUAGUCUUCCGAGGAGGGUUUUGAAACACAUGGAUAGGAAGGGAUUGAAGGGGAACGGAGGGGAUUGGGCUAAGCAAACCCCUCCUACCAAAUGGGCGUCCAAGGAUGUGUGGGGUUUCUGCCCCCCCCGGGGAUUUUUCUUUCAAACCCUCCCCAAUCCUCGUUAACCAAACGAGGCCUCAAGAAAGAUAGAAGUACAAGUACAACAUUGGAUGAAGACGGCGGUCUUCCCUGAAGAAACAAGUGGAAAGUCCCAUGCCAUACGGGUCCAGCUCAUGCGCGCGGUGCUGCCCCCACGUCCAGCUCCUUCACGCGGUGCCGCACCGACUCCAGCUCCUUCAAGGGCAGCUGCUCAUUCCUCUCAAGAAUCCAUCAUGACAUGAAGACCUUCAAGUGUAAGUGGCUCACGUUUAGAAAUGCGAGGAUAUGAAAACAGCAGAUUGUUCUCCUACCUCACUCCAGGUCUAGGCUAUCAACCUCGUCAAGAAUGAAUGACGUAUAGUAGUUUCUAAUGGCUAUGUCGUAAAUUUGUAAGUACUACCUCCAUUCCAAAAUAAAUAACUCAACUUUAUACUAACUUUGUACUAGAGUUAGUAUAAAGUUAAGUCACUUAUUUUGAAAUGGAGGAAGUACUUGGAUGUUAAAACUGAUGGUAGUAUAUUUUGAUGUGAGACUAGUCAUAUUAUUUUGCGAUGGUUGUAAUGGGCAUAUGGAAACUACUUGAAUGGUAAAAUCUGAUGGGAAUGAUAUCUACCAUGUUUUUUGUGCUGGUCAUCUCAUGCCAAACUUGUUUGAUUUAAUUUUUUGUUCAAAAUUUAACAAUUUCAGAAAACUGUGAAAAUAUUCUAGUAAAUUACACAUAUGUACAGUAUCAUUCUGGGAAAAUAUUACUCCAUUUGGAUUGAUGGUUUCCUAGAUAAUGGAAGUUUUAGUUUGCCGAUUUAUCCAGUUUUAUUGCCAUGUGUGCACUUGCAAGCGGGACCCAUUUAUCUGAAAUUAUGUCAAUAUUUUUAAACACUAGAUUAGACCUAGCUGCAAUGCAUUACACCGAUAUGUGGUGUUUUUCGCAACAAACCUAUAUAGCAGGUGUUUUGUGCAAUACUAGCACCAAUAACUAGUGGUUUGUGCAAUUUCCUCUACGGGUACAGGACGCGCGGUCUUCCUCGUGGAUCGUCGAACCUACGCGCGGUCUGGUCAGAUGUUAGGCCAACUUCAACUCACAAUUUUAAACGGACGUUAAUUGUAUCUGGAUUUUAUUCGUUUAGAUAGAACAAUAAAAUGGCGUCCGACUGUUUUUUAGAUGCGUCCAACAAACUUUAACUCCAACACACCCCGUUCGUACUGCAUGCAAAACAAACAAACAGACAUGUAGCUCCCAUGCCAAUGGCCAUAGUUCACGCGCUGACAACAAAACCAACAGGCGGCGAACAUAUGCUAGCCUACAAAAUUGGACCCAAGUUUCACGCCGGUAACAAAGCCAACGACCGGCACACUAGGCAGCCUUCAAAAUGAACAACUUUUUCCCAGUCUGGCUAACAAAAGCCAGCGACCGCACAGUAGUCAGCCUUCAAAAUGAACAAGUUCUUCCCAGGCCAUCUACCAAAAGUCAGUGUUCGGCACACUAGCCAGCCUUCAGAAAGAACGACCAUAGUCCUCGGUCCCUAGUUCAUGUCGCCUUGGUCGAACAUCUCCUUUUACCGGUUCUCGAACCAAACUUUGAUCAAGUUUACAAUCAUGAUUGCUAGUGCCACCUCUUUUGCUUUGGUGUCGACAAUGAUGGCCUUGAUUGCGAGCUUCUUCUCCUGGGCGGCGUCCUCCAUGUUGUGCUUUCUCCUCUUUGCGGCCUUCUUCAUGUCAAGUUUCUUUGUUUGGAGCUCCAAGUAUAUCUUCAUUUGCUACUUCUCUCCUCCCGCACUUUCUUUUGAGUCAUCAUACCUUCCAAAGUUGAUUGCAAUGUGAAGGAUGUCGUAUCACGCUUCGAGUAUUCUUGCCUAUCGACCCUCCUUAACAAAUAUACAUUCUCCUCCACGACCGUCUUCCCACCUUUCUUCUUUAGAGCGUCAUAUUUAUCUUUGAAAUUAAGGCAAUCUUUGAUGAACAACCAACAGUGUGUGAGAGUGAAUGGCUUGUCCUUCUAUUGGACCUUGAAGGCUUCCAAAGAUUUAAAUACCUACAAAAUUAAGAAGAUGACCACAAAUAAAAUAACAAGGACACAACAUACAUACCAAAAAACAUGAACAAUGCAUGAUAAUGAAAGAGGAAAGGCCAUACUAAGUCGCCGACGCCUAGUCCACUCACCAGACGUGAUUCAACGCUCUCAAGCGCGGCUUGAUACUUGUUGCAUUCUUACUGAACCCCCAUCUCUUUUGGAUUGAGUUGAUGCCACAAGUGAUCGCAAACUUGUAGGGCACGGACUUCCUUCGUUUGUGAAAGGUUUUAUGAACUCUUAUCCGAAAGACGACUCAUUUUUUCUUGGCACCGAUCUUGGGAUCUUGGUCUAUCUCCAUCCAUCUCUUGCAAAUCAAAGUGUACACAUCUUUGUUGUAUCAUCUCGUGCAAAUGCUUCCACCCCCUUCUUUGUGCCUCCGCUCUUUCGGUGAGCUCAUCGAUGAAGAUCAAUGGCUCCUCCGCAAUUUUGACCUAUUCUUCCUCGUUUUCGCAAUAGAUGUCCUCAUCUUCAUGCCAUGAGUUGCCAUGGUGGGCAUGUUCCACUUCAUGGGCAUCGAAGUCAUCGACACCAUAUUUUUCACGACUGUCUUGGCUUUGGGUCUCCCCUGGAUCAAAAGCACUGCCAUGGUCAAAAGUAUUGCUUUGGACGAAAGCAAUGCCUUAGUCUUCGUCAUGGAAUGCAUGGCCAUUGCCCUCGAAGAUGACAUUCUCCAUGAACUGGGUGUACUCAAGGUCGUUAGUCGGCGAUGUCGGGAGUGGCAUUCCAUCAAACUGUUGGAAAUAUGCCCUAGAGGCAAUGAUAAAAUAGUUAUUAUUAUAUUUCCUAUUUCAAGAUAAUCGUUUAUUAUCCAUGCUAUAAUUGUAUUGAAUGAAAACAUAAAUACAUGUGUGGAUAUAUAGACAAAACUAUGUCCCUAGUAAGCCUCUAGUUGACUAGCCAGUUGAUCAAGGAUGGUUAAGGUUUUCUGACCAUAUGCAAGUGUUUUCACUUGAUGACUGGAUCACAUCAUUGGAAGAAUGAUGUGAUGGACAAGACCCAAACUAUAAACAUAGCAUGUGAUCGUGUCAUUUUGUUGCUAUUGUUCUCUGCGUGUCAAGUAUCCAUUCCUAUGACCAUGAGAUCAUGUAAUUCACGGACACCGGAGGAAUAUCUUGUGUGUAUCAAACACCGCAACAUUACUGGGUGACUAUAAGGUUGCACUACAGGUAUCUCCGAAGGUGUCCGUUGAGUUAGCAUGGAUCAAGACUGGGAUUUGUCACUCCGUGUGACGGAGAGGUAUCUCGGGGCCCACUCGGUAAUACAACAUCACAUACAAGCCUUGCAAGCAAUGUGACUAAAGUGUUAGUCACGGGAUCUUGUAUUACGGAACGAAUAAAGAGACUUGACGGUAACGAGAUUGAAAUAGGUAUAGGGAUACCGACGAUCAAAUCUCGGGCAAGUAACAUACCGAAGGACAAAGGGAAUGGUAUACGGGAUUAUAUGAAUCCUUGGCAUAGAGGUUCAACUGAUAAUAUCUUCGUAGAAUAUGUAGGAUCCAAUAUGGACAUCCAGGUCCCGCUGUUCGAUAUUGACCGAGGAGUGUCUCAGGUCAUGUCUGCAUAGUUCUUGAACCCACAGGGUCUGCACACCUAAGGUUUGGUGAGGUUUCGGUAUAGUUGAGUUAUAGGUGUUGGUGACCGAAGGUGUGUUCGGAGUCCCGGAUUAGAUCACAGAUGUCACGAGGGUUUCCGGAAUGGUCCGUAAACGAAGAUUGAUAUAUAGGAUUGUUUCAUUUGGCCUCCGGAAAGAUUCUGGGCAUUGCCGGGAGUAUACCGAGAGUGACGAAUGGGUUCCGGGUUUUUACUGCGAGGGGGCCACCCACCCGGGAGAGAACGUAAUAGCCCAUGGGUGGCGCACCAGCCCUUAGUGGGCUGGUGAGGCCAGCCCAAGUGUACUAUUUCGGCCAAGGAAAGAAAAUCAAGGUGAAAGAAAAGGAGGGAGGUGGAAAGGAAGGAAGGGACUCCUCCUUCCCAAACCGAAUUAGAGUUGGAGUCCCUCCUCCUCCACUUCGGCCGACGUCCUAGGGGCUCCCUUCAGAUCCAAGGCUAGCCCCUCCCCUCCUCCUAUAUAUACUAGAGGUUUUAGCAUUUUUGAGACACAACUUUGCCACGUGCAACCCUAAACCUCUACUUCGUAGUUCUUCCUCUAGAUCGGUUUUCUGCGGAGCACGGGCGGAGCCUGAUACGUCCAUUUUGCAUCAUGUUUUCAUGUUGAUAUUUAUCGCUUCUUUGGCUGUUAUUUCACUUCACGGUACAAUUAUUAUGCCUUUUCUCUCUUAUUUUGCAAGGUUUACAUGAAGAGGGAGAAUACCGGCAACUGGAAUUCUGGCCUGAAAGUGGAGCAAAGUUGAGAUACCUAUUUUGCGCAACUCCAAACGCCGUGAAAAUCAACGGGGAUUUUUUCCCAAUUUAUCAAAAACACUGGGCCGAAGAAGUGCCAGAGGGGCACCAGGGGGUGCCCACAAGUCUGCACAGCACGGCCACCCCCCAGGCCGCGCCAUGGGGGCUUGUGGGCAGCCCACUGGACCACUGCCCCCCCUCUUUUUCUAUAUGGAGGGUUUCGUCCGGGAAAAAAUCAAGGAGGAGCUUUUUCGUGGUUUCGCCGCCGCUACGAGGCAGAACUUGAGUAGAACCAAUCUAGAGCUCCGGCACGACGAUCCUGCCGGGGAAACUUCCCUCCCGGAGGGGGAAAUUGUCGCCAUCGUCAUCACCAACACUCCUCUCAUCGGAGGGGAUUCGUCACCAUCAACAUCUUCAUCAGCACCAUCUCAUGUCCAAACCCUAGUUCAUUUCUUGUAACCAAUCUCUGUCUCGCGACUCCGAUUGGUACUUGUAAGGUUGCUAGUAGUGUUGCUUACUCUUUGUAGUUGAUGCUAGUUGGAUUAUUUGGUGGAAGAGUUUAUGUUCAGAUCCUUGAUGCUACUCAUUACCUCUCUGGUCAUGAAUAUGGUUAUGCUUUGUGAGUAGUUACUUUUGUUCCUGAGGACAUGGGAUAAGUCAUGCUAAUAGUAGUCAUGUGAAUUUGGUAUUCGUUCGGUAAUUUGAUAUGUUGUAUGUUGUUUUUCCUCUAGUGGUGUUAUGUGAACGUCGACUACAUAACACUUCACCAUUAUUUGGGCCUAGAGGAAGGCAUUGGGAAGUAGUAAGUAGAUGAUGGGUUGCUAGAGUGACAGAAGCUUAAACCCUAGUUUACGCAUUGCUUCAUAAGGGGCUUAUUUGGAUCCACUAGUUUAAUGCUAUGGUUAGACUUUGUCUUAAUUUUUCUUUCGUAGUUGCAGAUGCUUGCGAGAGGGGUUAAUCAUAAGUGGGAUGAUUGUCCAAGUAAGGGCAGUACCCAAGCGCGGGUCCACCCACUUAACAAACUAUCAAAGUAACGAAUGCGAAUCAUAUGAACAUGAUGAAACUAGCAUGACAGAAAUUCCCGUGUGUCCUCGGGAGCGUUUUUCCUCCUAUAAGACUUUGUCCAGGCUUGUCCCUUGCUACAAAAGGGAUUGGGCCACUUUUCUGCACCAUUGCUACUUUUGUUACUUGUUGCUUGCUACGAUUCAUCUCACCACACAAUCACUUGUUACCGACAAUUUGAGUGCUUGCAGAUAUUUCCUUGCUGAAAACCACUUGCCAGAUCUUUCUGCUCCUCGUUGGGUUCGACACUCUUACUUAUCAAAAGGACAACGAUUGCCCCUAUAAUUGUGGGUAAUCAAGACUCUUUUCUGGCGCCGUUGCCGGGGAGUGAAGUGCCUUUGGUAAGUGGAACUUGGUAAGGAAACAUUCAUAUAGUGUGCUGAAAUUUAUUGUCACUUGUCACUAUGGAUACUAAUCCUUUGAGGGGCUUGUUCGGGGUAUAUUCACCUCGAACGGAAGCACAAAUAGUUGCUCCUCAACCUGCUGCACCUACUGAAAAUAUUUUCUUUGAAUUUCCUUUGGGUAUGCUUGAGAAACAGCUGGCUAAUCCUUUUAUAGGAGAUGGAACAUCACAUCCAGACUUGCAUCUAAUCUAUGUAGAUGAAGUUUGUGGUUUAUUUAAGCUUGCAGGUGUGCCCGAGGAUAAGUUCAAGAAGAAGGUCUUUCCUUUAUCUUUGAAGGAUAAGGCGUUGACAUGGUAUAGGCUAUGUGAUGAUACUGGAUCAUGGGACUACAAUCGGUUGAAAUUGGAAUUUCAUCAAAAGUUUUAUCCUAUGCAUUUAGUACAUCGUGAUCGGAAUUAUAUUUAUAAUUUUUGGCCUCGUGACAGAGAAAGCAUCGCUCAAGCUUGGGGGAGGCUUAAAUCAAUGCUAUAUUCAUGCCCCAAUCAUGAGCUCUCGAGAGAAAUUAUCAUUCAAAACUUCUAUGCUCGGCUUUCUCAUGAUGAUCGCACCAUGCUUGACACUUCUUGUACCGGUUCUUUUAUGAAGAGAGAUAUUGACUUCAAAUGGAAUUUAUUGGAGAGAAUUAAACGCAACUCCGAAGAUUGGGAGCUUGAAGAAGGUAAGGAUUCGGGUAUGAAUUUCUCGUUUGAUUGCGUUAAAUCCUUUGUUGAGACAAGUACUUUUUGUGAUUUUAGCGCUAAGUAUGGACUUGACUCUGAGAUAGUAGCUUCAUUGUGUGAAUCAUUUGCUUCUCAUAUUGAUCUCCCCAAAGAGAAGUGGUUUAAAUAUCAUCCUCCUUUAGAAGUCAAUGUAGUUAAACCCACUCCAGUUGAAGAGAAAGUCAUUGCCUAUAAUGAUCAUGUGGUUCCUAGUGCUUACAUUGAGAAACCACCUUUCCCUGUUAGGAUAAAGGAUCAUUCUAAAGCUUCAACUGUGAUACGUAGAGGCUAUAUUAGAACACCUACACCCCCUGAGCAAAUUAGAGUUGAACCUAGCAUUGCUAUUAUCAAAGAUCUUCUGUCUGAAGAAGUUGAGGGACAUAAUAUUCACUUCUGUGAAGAUGCUGCUAGAAUUGCUAAACCUCACGCUAGAGACAAACAUAGGCCUCUUGUUGGCAUGCCUGUUGUUUCUGUUAAGAUAGGAGAUCAUUGUUAUCAUGGAUUAUGUGACGUGGGUGCUAGUGUUAGUGCAAUACCUCAAUCCUUAUAUGAUGAAAUCAAAGAUGAGAUUGCACCUGUUGAGAUAGAACCUAUAGAUGUCACUAUUCAGCUUGCCAAUAGAGAUACUAUCUGCCCUGUGGGAAUUGUUAGGGAUGUUGAAGUCUUGUGUGGUAAAACGAAGUAUCCUGCUGAUUUCCUUGUUCUUACUACCGCACAAGAUAGCUUUUGUCCCAUCAUAUUUGGUAGACCCUUUCUCAAUACCGUCAAUGCUCAUAUUGAUUGUGAGAAGCAAACUAUCACUGUUGGCUUUGAAGGUGUGUCACAUGAGUUCAAUUUCUCUAUGUUUGGUAGACAACCUCAUUAAAAGGAGUUGCCUAGUAGGGAUGAAAGUAUUGCCUUAGCCUCUAUUGCCGUGCCUCCUACUGAUCCCUUAGAGCAAUACUUGCUUGAGCAUGAAAAUGAUAUGCAUAUGGAUGAAAGGGAUGAGAUAGAUAGAGUUGUCUUAGAACAAUAUCCUAUCCUUAAGAAUAACUUGCAUGUUGAACUGCUUGGGGAUCCUCCCCCACCAAAGGGUGAUCCUGUGUUCGAGAUUAAACAGUUGCCUGAUACUCUUAAGUAUGCCUAUCUUGAUGAAUAGGAGAUAUAUCCUGUUAUUAUUAGUGCUAGCCUCUCAGAGCAUGAAGAAAAUAAGUUGCUAAAAACUCUGAGGAAGCACCGUGCUGCUAUAGGAUAUACUCUUGAUGAUCUUAAGGGCAUUAGUCCCACUCUAUGCCAGCACAAGAUUAAAACUAAUCCUGAUUUCAAACCAGUUGCUGAUCAUCAAAGGAGACUGAAUCCUAAGAUUAAAGAAGUAGUGAGAAAAGGAAUACUAAAGCUCCUGGAAGCAGGUAUCAUUUAUCCUGUUGCUCACAGCGAUUGGGUGAGUCCGGUGCAUUGCGUCCCUAAGAAGGGAGGCAUUACCGUUGUCCCUAAUGAUAAGGAUGAAUUGAUCCCUCACAGGUUUAUUACUGGCUAUAGGAUGGUGAUUGAUUUUAGGAAGUUGAAUAAGGCCACUAGGAAAGAUCAUUACCCUUUGCCUUUUAUCGACCAAAUGCUAGAAAGGUUGUCUAAACACACACACUUCUGCUUUCUAGAUGGUUAUUCUGGUUUCUCCCAAAUACCAGUUGUACAAUCUGAUGAGGAGAAAACCACUUUCACCUGCCCUUUCGGUACCUUUGCUUAUAGACGUAUGCCUUUUGGCUUGUGUAAUGCACCUGCCACCUUUCAAAGAUGUAUGAUGGCUAUAUUCUCUGACUUUUGUGAAAAGAUUGUCGAGGUUUUCAUGGAUGACUUUUCCGUUUACGGGUCCUCUUUUGAUGAUUGCCUCAGCAACCUUGAUCGAGUCUUAUAGAGAUGUAAAGACACCAAUCUUGUCUUGAAUUGGCAGAAGUGCCACUUUAUGGUUAAUGAAGGCACCGUCUUAGGACAUAAAAUUUCUGAAAGAGGUAUUGAAGUUGAUAAGGCUAAGGUUGAUGCAAUCGAGAAAAUGACAUACCCCACAGAUAUCAAAGGGAUAAGAAGUUUCCUUGGUCAUGCUGGUUUCUAUAGAAGGUUCAUCAAAGACUUCUCUAAGAUUUCUAGGCCUCUUACCAAUCUCUUGCAAAAGGAUAUCCCUUUUAUCUUUGAUGAUGAUUGUGAGGAAGCCUUCGAAAUACUUAAGAGGGCUUUGAUAACUGCACCUAUUGUUCAACCACCUGAUUGGAACUUGCCUUUUGAGAUCAUGUGUGAUGCUAAUGAUUAUGCUGUUGGUGCUGUCCUAGGGAAAAGAGUUGAUAAGAAGUUGAAUGUUAUUCACUAUGCUAGUAAAACUCUAGACAGUGCCCAGAGAAACUAUGCAACUACGGAGAUGGAAUUUUUAGCAGCCGUGUUUGCAUGUGAAAAGUUCAGGUCUUACAUAGUUGAUUCCAAAGUCAUUAUUCACACUGAUCAUGCUGCUAUUAAGUACCUUAUGGAGAAGAAGGACACUAAACCUAGACUUAUCAGAUGGGUUCUCUUGCUACAAGAAUUUGAUUUGCACGUUGUCGACAGAAAGGGUGCUGAUGACCCAGUAGCAGAUAACUUGUCUAGGUUGGAGAACGUUCUUGAUGACCCACAACUUAUUGAUGAUAGAUUUCCCGAUGAGCAAUUGAAUGUCAUCAAUGCUUCAUGUAGUGCACAGUGGUAUGCUGAUUAUGCAAACUAUAUCAUUGCCAAAUAUAUACCACCUAGUUUCACAUACCAGCAAAAGAAGAAAUUCUUCUUUGACUUGAGACAUUACUUCUGGGAUGAUCCUCACCUUUAUAAGGAAGGAGUAGAUGGUGUUAUUAGACGUUGUGUACCUGAACAUGAACAGGGACAGAUCCUACAUAAGUGUCAUUCCGAGGCCUACGGAGGACACCAUGUGGGAUAUAGAACUACACACAAGGUAUUGCAAUCAGGUUUCUAUUGGCCCACUCUCUUCAAGGAUGCCCGUAAGUUUGUCUUGUCUUGUGACGAAUGUCCAAUAAUAGGUAAUAUUAGCAAACGUCAGGAAAUGCCUAUGAACUAUUCACUUGUCAUUGAACCAUUUGAUGUUUGGGGCUUUGAUUAUAUGGGACCUUUUCCAAAAUCUAAUGGGUAUACUCACAUCUUAGUUGCUAUUGAUUACGUCACUAAAUGGGUAGAAGCUAUCCCCACUAGUAGUGCUGAUCACAAAACUUCUAUUAAGAUGUUGAAAGAAGUUAUCUUCCCUAGAUUUGGAGUCCCUAGAUAUCUAAUGACCGACGGUGGCUCACACUUCAUUCAUGGUGCUUUCCGUAAAACGCUUGCUAAGUACGAUGUCAACCAUAGAAUUGCGUCUCCCUAUCACCCUCAUUCCAGUGGUCAAGUAGAGCUAAGCAAUAGAGAGAUUAAACUGAUUCUACAAAAGACUGUCAACAGGUCUAGAAAGAAUUGGUCUAAGAAGCUUGAUGAUGCACUGUGGGCUUAUAGAACUGCCUAUAAGAAUCCCAUGGGCAUGUCUCCGUACAAAAUGGUGUAUGGGAAAGAAUGUCAUUUACCUCUUGAGCUAGAGCAUAAAGCUUAUUGGGCAAUCAAAGAGCUCAACUUUGAUUUCAAACUUGCCAGUGAGAAGAGGUUAUUCGACAUUAGCUCGCUUGAUGAGUGGAGAACUCAGGCAUAUGAGAAUGCCAAGCUGUUCAAAGAGAAGGUUAAGAGGUGGCAUGAUAAGAGGAUGCAAAAGCGUGAGUUCAAUGUAGGUGAUUAUGUCUUGCUAUAUAACUCUCGUUUAAGAUUCUUUGCAGACAAGCUUCUCUCUAAAUGGGAAGGUCCCUAUGUUGUUGAGGAAUUAAUCGUUCCGGUGCUAUCAAGAUCAACAACACGGAAGGUAAUUGUCCGAGAGUGGUAAAUGGGCAGAGAAUCAAGCAUUAUAUCUCAGGUACUCCCAUAAACGUUGAAAGGACUAUCAUUAAUACCAUAACUCCGGAAGAAUACCUAAGGGACAUUUAUCAGCCUGUUUCAGACUCCGGAAACGAAGAUGUAUGUGAUUCGGUAAGAAAACAGAGUACAAAACUUUCCCAAUAGAAAUUUUUCUCCGUUUUGGAAUAUUUAUAAAAUACAAAAAUUGGAAGUAGUCAGGAAAGUGCGCGAGGAGGCGACAAGCCUGCACGGCGCGGGCCCACCCCUGGCCGCGCCGUGAGGGCUUGUGGCCACCUCGUGCGCCUCCUGGACUCCGUUUUCGUGCGGGGUACUCCUUCUGGUCUGGAAAAAAAAUCAUUAUAUAUACUUCCGUUUGGUCUGACACCUGCAUCAUGCAGAUUUCCUCUGUUUUUCGUUUCGAGCCUAUUUCUGUUGCAGAUCUAGAUCGCUAUGACUUCCCCAAAAGCUCCAAAUGACAAGAUCUUCGAGAAGGUCAUCAAUCCCUACCUCACGAAAGUGCUGCAACAUCCUCAAUCUAUCGGGAUGCGUGAGGGGAUGUUGCACAUCCGUGAUGUUGAGGGGCCUAAGAAGACCAGAAGCAUGGAGACGAGGCUCGAAGCAAUGGAGCAACAAGUCUUCAAGUGCCAAGGGAUGGUGGAGCGUGGACUCAACGCCAACCACAUGAUGAUCAUGGAGUUCACCAACAAGCACAGGAUUGAUGCCAAUGACAUUGGGAAGCACCUCUCCAGGCUCUAUGACAUGGUUGAUCAACUCCACGGCCAGAUCUAUGACCUACAGAACCAAAACUGUGAGUAUGAGUAUAGAUUUAAAUCAAUAGGGUUGGAUGCAGAUUUGAGGAUUCCGGAGACUCGUUCAUCUUUCCAUGGUGGAGCACCUAUGCCUUGGAAGACGGAGGAUCAAACUCAUGUUGCAACAACUCUGCCACCAUCACCACCAAAGGAAGACAACUGAGCAUUGGUAUGGGCAAUCCCCUUGGCUUUUGCCAAGCUUGGGGGAGUUGCCCCAGUAUCGUAUCACCAUCACAUCUUUUGCCUUUACCUUUGUUUUAGUUUUCCUUUUCAGUUUUCUUUUUCUCUAGUAGUUUAAAAGUCUUAGUUUUUUAGUCUUGACUUUUGCUUUGUGUCACCCCCGAUGUAUUCUUGCUCGUGAGCCAUAUAAUAAAGAGUGUCCUAGUUGAAGGGCUUUGCCUCUUGCCAUGAUCAAAAGAGUGAGAAUAGAACAAAAGCAUGAAAGAUCAUGUAAUGAUCUUAUGGGAAGUGAUGGCUUCACAUAUAAAAAGAAUGAGGAUUGGAACUUGUUGAGGGUAGGCAAACGUAGACCUUGGUCAUUGUUGCAAUUAAUAGGAAGUGAUAAAGAAGGAGAGGUUCACAUAUAAAUAUAUCAUCUCUGACACCAUCUAUGAUUGUGAACACUCACUAAACUAUUACAUGCGUGGAAGUAGAUGUUGGACAAGGAAGACAACAUAAUGAAUUGUGUUUGCUUGGCUCUGAACAAUGUUAUAUGAUUAGAGAUCCGUUAGCACGUGACGAUUGCUUCCACCUCAUAUUAGCCAAAACUCCCGCACCAAGUAGAGAUACUACUUGUGCAUCUAUAAACCUUCAAACCAGUUUUGCCAUGAGUGUCCACCAUACCUACCUAUGGAUUGAAUAAGAUCCCUCAAGUAAGUUGUCAUCGGUGCAAGCAAUUGCUCUCUAAUAUGUAUGAUCUAUUAGUGUAUGGAAAAUAAGCUUUGUACGAACCUGUGAUGAGGAAGACAUAAAAGCGACAUACUGCAUAAUAAAGUUCUUUAUCACAGGGGGCAAUAUAAAGUGACGUUUCUCCGCACUAAGAGGACACACAUCCAAACCUCAAAAGCGCAUGACAACCUCUGAUUCCCUCUGCGAAGGGCCUAUCUUGUACCUUUACUUUUUACCCUUGAAAGAGUCAUGGUGAUCUUCACCAAUUCCUUAUUUUGCCUUUGUCUUGGCUACCGUCACAUGCUUGGGAAAGAUCUAUAUUCAUAUGUCAACUUGGAGGUAAGUAUUCAUGAAUUAUUAUUGUUGACAUUACCCUUGAGGUAAGCAGUUGGGAGGCAAAACUUUAAGCCCCUAUCUUUCUCUGUGUCCAGAUGAAACUUUGAUCUCAUGAGUACCACGUGAGCUGUAGCAAUUGUAGAGAACGAAAGAAUGAUUGAGGAUGUGGAUUUGCUUUACAAGCUCUUAUUUGACUCUUUCUCAUUUUGUGAUAAAUUGCAAUUGCUUCAAUGACUAAAGGCUAUUGGUUGUUACUUCUCGGUAAGGUUCUUGAUCCAUGCUUUACUUUGUGAAGGAAUUAUCACUUUAGCAUGAGAGAUUAUAUGUUGGUAUUGCUCUUCUGAUCUUGAUCAUGAUGCAUGCAUGUUCGUAUAUUGUUUUGUCGACACCUCUCUCCCUAAACAUGUGGACAUAUUUAUUGAGCUCGGCUUUCGCUUGAGGACAAGCGAGGUCUAAGCUUGGGGGAGUUGAUACGUCCAUUUCGCAUCAUGUUUUCAUGUUGACAUUUAUCGCUUCUUUGGCUGUUAUUUCACUUCACGGUACAAUUCUUAUGCCUUUUCUCUCUUAUUUUGCAAGGUUUACAUGAAGAGGGAGAAUACCGACAACUGGAAUUCUGGUCUGAAAGUGGAGCAAAGUUGACAUACCUAUCCUGCGCAACUCCAACCGCCGUGAAAAACAACGGGGAUUUUUUCCCAAUUUAUCAAAAAUACUGGGCCGAAGAAGUGCCAGAGGGGCACCAGGGGGUGCCUACAAGCCUGCACGGCGCGACCACCCCCAGGCCGCGCCAUGGGGGCUUGUGGGCAGCCCACUGGCCCACUGGCCCCCCUCUUUUGCUAUAUGGAGGGUUUUGUCCAGGAAAAAAUCAAGGAGGAGCUUUUUCGUGGUUUCGCCGCCGCCACGAGGCGGAACUUGAGCAGAACCGAUCUAGAGCUCCGGCACGACGAUCCUGCCGGGGAAACUUCCCUCCCGGAGGGGGAAAUUGUCGCCAUCGUCAUCACCAACACUCCUCUCAUCGGAGGGGAUUCGUCACCAUCAACAUCUUCAUCAGCACCAUCUCAUGUCCAAACCCUAGUUCAUUUCUUGUAACCAAUCUCUGUCUCGCGACUCCGAUUGGUACUUGUAAGGUUGCUAGUAGUGUUGCUUACUCUUUGUAGUUGAUGCUAGUUGGAUUAUUUGGUGGAAGAGUUUAUGUUCAGAUCCUUGAUGCUACUCAUUACCUCUCUGGUCAUGAAUAUGGUUAUGCUUUGUGAGUAGUUACUUUUGUUCCUGAGGACAUGGGAUAAGUCAUGCUAAUAGUAGUCAUGUGAAUUUGGUAUUCGUUCGGUAAUUUGAUAUGUUGUAUGUUGUUUUUCCUCUAGUGGUGUUAUGUGAACGUCGACUACAUAACACUUCACCAUUAUUUGGGCCUAGAGGAAGGCAUUGGGAAGUAGUAAGUAGAUGAUGGGUUGCUAGAGUGACAGAAGCUUAAACCCUAGUUUAUGCAUUGCUUCGUAAGGGGCUGAUUUGGAUCCACUAGUUUAAUGCUAUGGUUAGACUUUGUCUUAAUUCUUCUUUUGUAGUUGCGGAUGCUUACGAGAGGGGUUAAUCAUAAGUGGGAUGCUUGUCCUAGUAAGGGCAGUACCCAAGCGCUGGUCCACCCACAUAUCAAACUAUCAAAGUAACGAACGCGAAUCAUAUGAACAUUAUGAAACUAGCAUGACAGAAAUUCCCGUGUGUCCUCGGGAGCGUUUUUCCUCCUAUAAGACUUUGUCCAGGCUUGUCCCUUGCUACAAAAGGGAUUGGGCCACUUUUCUGCACCAUUGCUACUUUUGUUACUUGUUGCUUGCUACGAUUCAUCUCACCACACAAUCACUUGUUACCGACAAUUUGAGUGCUUGCAGAUAUUUCCUUGCUGAAAACCACGCUCCUAUAAGACUUUGUUGAGGCUUGUCCCUUGCUACAAAAGGGAUUGGGCCACUUUUCUGCAUCGUUGCUACUUUUGUUACUUGUUGCUUGCUACGAUUCAUCUCACCACACAAUCACUUGUUACCGACAAUUUCAGUGCUUGCAGAUAUUUCCUUGCUGAAAACCACUUGCCAGAUCCUUCUGCUCCUCGUUGGGUUCGACACUCUUACUUAUCGAAAGGACUAUGAUUGAUCCCCUGUACUUGUGGGUCAUCAGAGCCCUGCAGGAAUAGAUCAUCACCAUCACCGACGUGUCGUCACGCUGCCGGAGAACUCAUCUACUUCCCCGUCUCUCUUGCUGGAUCAAGAAGGCGGAGAUCGUCAUGGAGUUGUACGUGUGCUGAACGCGGAGGUGCCGUCCAUUUGGUGUUAGAUCGGGAUCGAUCGUGGGACGACGGUGAUUUGAAUCACGAAGUUGUUCCACUACAUCAACCGCGUUUCUUAACGCUUCCCGCUUAGCGGUAUACAAGGGUAUGUGGAUCCGAUUUCCCUCUCGUAGAUGAACAUCACCUUGAUAGGUCUUCGAGUGCGUAGGAAAAAAAUUGUUUCCCAUGCAACGUUCCCCAACACAAACAGCCUGUGUGCGCCUGAUACGUCCCAAAUGUAUCUAUAAUUUCUGUUUGUUCCAUGAUCCUUUGGGUGACAUUGUUAUAUGUUUUGCUUCACUUUUAUAUCAUUUUACACAUAUUUGGACUAACCUACUAACUUAGUGCAACUAGUGCCACUUUCUGUCUGGUGAUGUCUAUUUUGCAGGGGCUUUUACGCAAUUUUCUGAAGCUCGAAAAAAUCCAGAACAAAUAUAUAAAAAAUCAGCAAAACAGAAGCUUCCGGAUCACCGAAGGAGGGCCACAGGGGGGUCAGGGGCCUCCCUGGCGGGCCUGCUGGCGAGGCCAGGCCCUAGGCCGCGCCAGGAGGUCGCCUGGGUGGGUCCCACCUCCUCUGGUGUCCUCCUUUGGCCUAUAUUUAUAGUCCCGAGAGGAAACCCUCGUAGACUUUCUAGAAUCACGAAUUUCUCCAUCAUUCUACCGCCACAACGCUUCCAAGAUCGAGAGCGUCAGGAGACCUCUUCCCGGCACCCUGCCAGAGGGAGGUUUGACCUCCGGUAGCUUCUCCACCACCAUGGACGCUUCCCGGAUGUGCCAUGAGUAGUUCCCCUUGGACCAUGAGUCCAUUACCAGUAGCUAUGUGAUGUCUUCUCUCCAAUCUUGCUUCCAUGAUUGCCCCUUGUGAGCUGCCCUACAUGAUCAAGGCAUCUAUGUAAUUCUCUUGCUAUUGCUAUGCGCGGUUUGUUGGGAUCCACUGGAUAAUGAGAUUAUGUUCAGAUUGUUAUGAGUUAUAUAUUUGAUUAUCCUUUUAUAUUAAGUUACUUAGUGAUUCAUGCAUGUUCUCCGUUGCUUUUUAUUGCUUUGGACAAGUAGUAGAUCGUAACUCCAAGAGGGAGCGUUAUGCAUGAUUAUGGGUUCGGGCCCCUCGAUGUCUAUCUUGAGUUAUAGAAAUAUGGGACUAGGGGAUGUGCUUGCUGCCACCAGGGAUAAAACAACGGUGCUUGUGACCACGGUUGCAAGGAUUGUUUACCUUACGCAUAGUUCGUUAAUGCAUUUGUCCGUUGCUUUGAGUUUACACUUUGGGUGGGGCUCGCAACUUAAUACCGGAGAGAUGUUCUGGAUAGAUAUCUCAAGGUGGAUGAUUAGUAAGUAGAUGCUGAUGAAUAAACGGUCUACUUGUCUUGGUGUACUGCCCAUUACUAUCGAACCUCUAACUAUCAAGGAGCAUAAUUAGCAUUGCGGUGCGAUCAUAAUUCUGUCAAUUGCCCAACUCUGAUUUCUUUACCCUAGCAUAGUUGUUUAUCGUCUUUUGGGAGAGACACAUCACUAGUGAACUUCAUGUGACUCCGGUCCAUAUCACCAUCGUUGUUUACGCCUCCAUCAUUUACCGCUUUAUUUACUUUCCGUUGCAAUCACUGUUACCUUCCCGCUUGUGUUUUGAUCCUUUGCAAACUACAAGGCCGAAGAGAUUGGCAACCUCUUUGUACUUGUUGGGAGCAAAGUUAUUUGUUGUGUGUGCAGGUCCACGUCUUCUGCUAGCGCCAGGGUGGAAGACACCUACUUGUUGAGCCUAGGAGUCCUCCUGGUUCGAUGAACCUUACACUCUCCGUGUAAGGGAAAUUUGCUCCUGACUACAUCUCCACCUUCUACUUGGAUUAACCAACGAGGGGGCGAGAAGUAUAUACAUCAACUCGUCAUCAAGCGAAUUUCUUGCGCCGUUGCCGGGUACUCUGCUACCUCUUGAGCUUGCAUUGUUUUUCCCUUAAAGAGGAAAGGGUGUUGCAGAAAAGUAGCGAUAAGUAUUUCCCUCAGUUUGAGAACCAAGGUAUCAAUCCAGUAGGAGUAUCAAGAUGAGGCACCAAUGUACCUACGCAAAAACAAACAAACUUGCACCCAACGCGAAACAAGGGUUGUCAAUCCCUUCACGAUUAUUUGCAAGGUGAGAUCUAAAGGUGAAAAGUGCAACAAAGUAUUUUUGGUAUUUUUGUAGAUCUGAAUAUAGGAUGUGAAGUAGACCCGGGGGCCAUAGUGUUCACUAGAGGCUUCUCUCAUGAUAGCAAGUAUUAUGGUGGGUGAACGAAUUACUGUCGAGCAAUUGAUAGAAUCGCACAAAGUCAUGACGAUAUCUAAGGCAAUGAUCAUACAUAUAGGCAUCACGUCCGAGACAAGUAGACCGAUACUGUCUGCAUCUACUACUAUUACUCCACACAUGGACCGCUAUCCAGCAUGCAUCUAGUGUAUUAAGUUCAUAACAAACGGGGUAACACCUUAAGCAAGAUGACAUGAUGUAGAGGGAUACAUUCAUGCAAAUUGAUAUAAACCCCAUCUUUUUACCCUUGAUGGCAACAACACGAUGCGUACCUCGCUACCCUUUCUUUCACUCGGUGAGGACACCGCACAGUAUGAACCCAAAACCAAGCACUUCUCAUAUUGCAAGAAUUAUAGAUCAAGUUGGCCAAACGAAACCCAUAACUCAAAGAGAAUUACAAAGAUACGAAAUCAUGCAUAUAAGAGAUCAGAGGAGACUCAAAUAAUAUUCAUAGAUAAUCUGAUCAUAAAUCCACAAUUCAUCGGAUCUCGACAAACACACCGCAAAAGAAAGUUACAUCGGAUAGAUCUCCAUGAAGAUCAUGGAGAACUUUGUAUUGAAGAUCCAAGAGAGAGAAGAAGCCAUCUAGCUACUAGCUAUGGACCCGAGGGUCUGUGGUGAACUACUCACGCAUCAUCGGAGAGGCAAUGGUGUUGAUGAAGAAGCCCUCCGUGUCCGAAUCCCCCUCCGGCAUGGCACCAGAACGGUCCCCAGAUGGGAUCUUGCGUAGACAGAAGCUUGCAGCGGCGGAAAAGUAUUUUUGUGGCUCUCUUCUUUGGUUUUAGGAUUUUAGAGAAUUUAUAGGCGAAAGAGGUAGGGCAAAGGAGCCACGUGGGGCCCACAAACCUGCUAGGCGCGGCCCCCCUAGGGUGCGGCUAGGGGGCUUGUGACCUACCACGAGGUCUCCUGCCUUGGUUCUCAAGUCCCCUGCGUAUCUUCUGUUAUGGAAAAAAUCACCCCACAGGUUUUAUUCCGUUUGGACUCCGUUUAAUAUUCUUUUCUGAAAAAGGUCAAAACACGGAAAAAACAGAAACUGGCAUGAGGCACUAAGUUAAUAGGUUAGUCCCAAAAAAGAUAUAAAAGAGCAUUUUCAUGCAUAUAAAACAUCCAAAGUUGACAAGAUAAUAGCAUGGAACCACCAAAAAUUAUAGAUACGUUGGAGACGUAUCAAGCAUCCCCAAGCUUAACUCCUGCUCGUCCUCGAGUAGGGAAGUGAUAAAGACCGAAUUUUUGAUGUGGAAUGCUACCUAACAUAUUUGUUCUUUGUAACUUCUUUCUUGUGGCAUGAAUGUUCAGAUCCAUAAGAUUCAAAACAAUAGUUUAGUAUUGACAUGAAAACAAUAAUACUUCAAGCAUACUAGCAAAGUAAUCAUGAACUUUUGAAAGAAAUAACAAGGGCAAAGAAAGUUAUCCCUACGAAAUCAUAUAGUCUGGCUAUGCUCCAUCAUCCCCACACAAUGUAUUUAAAUCAUGCACAACCCUGGUAUUGGCCAAGUAAUUGUUUUCGCACUCUUACUUUCUCAAACCUUUUCAACUCUCACGCAAUACAUGAGCAUUAGCCAUGGAUAUAGAACUAUAGGUGGAAUAGAGUGUGGUGGUGGUUGUGAGGCAAAAGGAGGAUAUGGUCACAUUGACUCGGCGUAUCAAUGGGCUAUGGAGAUGCCCAUCAAUAGAUAUCAAUGUGAAUGAGUAGGGAUUGCCAUGCAACGGAUGCACUAGAGCUAAAAGUGUAUGAAAGCUCAAAAAGAAAACUAGUGGGUGUGCACCCAACUUGUUUCCUCACGAAGACCUAGGGCAAUUUUGAGGAAGCCCAUCACUGGAAUAUACAAGCCAAGUCAUAUAAUGAAAAUUCCCACUAGUAUAUGGAAGUGACAAAACAAGAGACUCUCUAUCAUGAAGAACAUGGUGCUAUUUUGAAGCACAAGUGUGGAAAAAGAUAGUAGCAUUGUCCCUUCUCUUUUUUUUCUCUCAUCAUUUUUUUUGUUUGGGCUCUUUGGCCUCUUUUUUUCAUUUUUUUGGUGGGCAUCUUUGACCUCUUUUUUUUAUUUCCUCAUAUGGGACAAUGCUCCAAUAAUGAUGAUCAUCACACUUUUAUUUACUUACAACUCAAUACUUAGAACGAUGAUGACUCUAUAUGAAAUGCCUCCGGCAAUGUCCUGGGACGUGUAACGAUCUAGCUUAGAUAUGACAUUGAAACAUCUCGCCAGCUAUCUUACGAUCAUGCAAUGGCAAUAUGAAAGUGACGGCACAUGUCAUGAGGCGGAACGUUGGGAGUUGCAUGGCAAUAUAUCUCGGAAUGGCUAUGAAAAUGCCAUAAUAGGUAGGUAUGGUGGCUGUUUUGAGGAAGGUAUAUGGUGGGUUUGUGCACCGGCGAAAUUUGCGCGGCACUAGAGAGGCUAUCAAUGGUGGAAGGUGAGAGUGCAUCUAUACCAUGGACUCACAUUAGUCAUGAAGAACUCAUAUACUUAUUGCGAAUGUUUUAUUAGUAAUCAAAACGAAGUGCUAAACGCAUACUCCUAGGGGAAGGGUUGGUAGGUGUUAACCAUCUCGCGAUCCCGACCGCCACACAAAGGAUGACAAUCAAUAAAUCAGUUAUGCUCCGACUUCCUAACAUAGCGGUUCACCAUACAUUCAUGCUACGGAAAUCACUAACCUCAACACAAGUAUUUCUAGAUUCACAACACCCUACUAACAUGACUCUAAUAUUACCGUAUCUAUAUCUCAAAACUAAUUGUGAGGAAUCAAACUUCUCUUACNNNNNNNNNNNNNNNNNNNNNNNNNNNNNNNNNNNNNNNNNNNNNNNNNNNNNNNNNNNNNNNNNNNNNNNNNNNNNNNNNNNNNNNNNNNNNNNNNNNNGGAGAGGAUCGUGUCAUUUUGUUGCUACUGUUUUCUGCGUGUCAAGUAUUUGUUCCUAUGAACAUGAGAUCAUAUAACUCACUGAGACCGGCGGAAUGCUUUGUGUGUAUCAAACGUCGCAACGUAACUGGGUGACUAUAAAGAUGCUCUACAGGUAUCUCCGAAGGUGUUCGUUAAGUUAGUAUGGAUCAAGACUGGGAUUUGUCACUCCGUAUGACGGAGAGGUAUCUCGGGGCCCACUCGGUAAUACAACAUCGCACACAAGCCUUGCAAGCAAUGUGACUUAGUGUAAGUUGCGGGAUCGUGUAUUACGGAACGAGUAAAGAGACUUGCCGGUAAACGAGAUUGAAAUAGGUAUGCGGAUACUGACGAUCGAAUCUCAGGCAAGUAACAUACCGAAGGACAAAGGGAAUGACAUACGGGAUUAAAUGAAUCCUUGGCACUGAGGUUCAAAGGAUAAGAUCUUCGUAAAAUAUGUAGGAUCCAAUAUGGGCAUCCAGGUCCCAUUAUUGGAUAUUGACCGAGGAGUCUCUCGGGUCAUGUCUACAUAGUUCUCGAACCCGCAUGGUCUGCACACUUAAGGUUCGACAUUGUUUUAUGCGUAUUUGAGUUAUAUGGUUGGUUACCGAAUGUUGUUCGGAGUCCCGGAUGAGAUCACGGACGUCACGAGGGUUUCCGGAAUGGUCCGCAACCGAAGAUUGAUAUAUAGGAUGACCUCAUUUGGUUACCGGAAGGUUUUCGUGCAUUAUCGGAAAAGUUUCGGGCUCAUCGGUAGUGUACUGGGAGUGCCGGGAGGGGUGCCGGGGACCAUCAGGAGGGGUGUCACGCCCCAAGGGAUCUCAUGGGCUAUGGGAAGAGAUAAACCAGCCCCUAGUGGGCUGGAAUAAGUUCCCGCUAAGGCCCAUAAGGUUUGAGAAGGAAAAAACACAAGGUGGAAAGAGUUUCCAAGUGGGAAGGUGGAAUCCUACUCCAAGUAGGAUUGGAGUAGGACUCCUCCAUCUCCAAUUUCGGCCAAACCUUUAGGUUUUGAGGCUGCCUCCUCCCCUCCCUCCCUCCUAUAUAUAGUGAGGUUUUAGGGCUGAUUUGAGACAACUUUUGCCACGGCAGCCAGACCACAUACCUCCACGGUUUUACCUCUAGAUCGCGUUCCUGCGGAGCUCGGGCGGAGCCCUGCUGAGAUUAGAUCACCACCAACCUCCAGAGCGCCUUCACGCCGCCGGAGAACUCAUCUACCUCUCCGUCUAUCUUGCUGGAUCAAGAAGGCCGAGAUCAUCGUCGAGCUGUACGUGUGCUGAACGCGGAGGUGCCGUCCGUUCGGCACUAGAUCGGAGCGGAUCGUGGGACGGAUCGCGGGACGGUUCGUGGGACGGUUCGCGGGACGGAUCGAGGGACGUGAGGACGUUCCACUACAUCAACCGCGUUUCUUAACGCUUGUGCUGUGCGAUCUACAAGGGUACGUAGAUCGGAAAUCCCCUCUCGUAGAUGGACAUCACCAUGAUAGGUCUUCGUGCGCGUAGGAAAUUUUUGUUUCCCAUGCGACGCUCCCCAAGAGCGAUUUCACCAUGUACCAUCUGUAAGUAUAGAAAGGACCGGUAUUUGUCCAUCAUGUUUGACAUACACUUAUGAAUAACAAUUAUUUGAUCAAUUUAUUUAUAUAUAUAUUUCUGUUCCGUGGCAACGCACGGGCACUAAACUAGCUUUUUAUUUUGCAUGUUAAAUAUGAAUAUAUGAUACUAUGUCCCGCAGAGGUUGUUAGGGCUAUGGGAGGACGACGAUCCUCUCUUGAGCUAUUGAUGAGGGGGAGCAAGGGUAGAUCAAGCGUUCAAUGAUGGUGGUGAGACAACUAGCGAGGUUGAGUCAACGGCGAAGAUAAAUAAUGAUGAUAAACGACAUGAGUUUGUUGUCCCGUGGCAACGCACGGGCACUAAAAUAGUCAUACAUAAAAUAAAGACAAGAGAAAAUAAGAGAAAAAAAUGCGAGCAACACCGGAUCAACGAAAGUUGUAGCAUCCCGCAACAGUUGCGCCCACUGCAAAAAUUCCACCACACUUCAAUGUCAUCAGAUUGUCGUGUACCAAGCAACACCUUUAAAAAAGACCGUGACGACGACGAUGCCGCUGUCCGAACGAGUCCUAAGAUUUCUCCCGAUACACGGAGGAGAGUGGGGUGAGGUGCACCCGACACCCUUCAAGAAGGGUGGCGACGCCCACAAGCGUCACCACAUCGGUGUCAGCCAGACCCGAUAGAAAUUUCUCCCAACCCCUCACACCCACAGAUCAGGACCAACCGUCGGCUAUACCAUGCCAACCACCCAGCAAAAUGUGCCAUGAGGACACCACCAUCGUCUCACCACAACAAACACAACGAGUCCAGCUAGACCAAAAUGAAGCCACCGUAGGCAGGGAUCGAUAGUACCGCAGACUUGUGGGAGGGAACAACCUCCACCGGCUUAGGCAGUAGCAUACCGGAUGCACGAGCAGGAGCAUGCUGGGCCAACUACGCAGCCGAGCCCAGACCGGACCCUCUAAGCUCCCGCUGCGGCGCUACAGCAGACGCAACACAGUAGCCGCCGCCCUCGAAAAAUGCUAUUCGCCGCCCGUUGCGGCAAAUUACGAGGGCUUCGCACAGAGAAAGGGCGAGCGAGGGAUGAUCUGGGCCAGCCCAUUACGGUUGCGGGGAUCCCGGUUUUGGAAACCUUCUAGACUUACCCAACCGUUUUAUUUUGAUUUUGGGAACUUUCUAGAAGAUUCCCUGAACCAGUUUUCUUUCAUUUUCUUUUUUCUUUUAUGUUUCUUUUUUUCCUGUUUCUGUUUCAAAAAUGUUCCGGAACUCAAAAAAAUGUUCCAGAAUUUGAAUUUUUUUCCAAAAUUUGAAUAAAUGUUCCGGAAUUGGAAAAAAUAUUUCAGAAUUUAAAAACAUAUUCUGUAAUUUUUAUAAAAAUGUUUUGGAUUUUUCAAAAAAAGUUAUGAAAUUUGAAAAAAUGUGCUGGAAUUUGAGAAAAUGUGCCAGAAUUUGAAAGAAUGUUCCGGAAUUUUAAAAAAAUAGAAGAAAAUUACUGGAUUUUUUUGAAACAAAAAAAAAGAAAGCUGGACCGACCCAGUUGGGGGCGAGCCCCUAUGCGUUGCAGCUCGUACCUGCCGAAGAUGGGCUCGCCCAGUCGGGGGCGCCACCCCUAUGCGGAGCGGGACUCCUUGCCGCAACGGCCGCGAAUAGGAGAUCCUGCCGCCCUCAUCCACCUUAGCUCGCCAGACAGGCCCCACUCUCACCAUCUAUCCGUGUCGCUAGAUUCAAUCAUCUUGAGAGCUUCACGAGAAUCAAGGUAUCGUGUGUUAGCGAGUGCAACGUUUUCUCUGAUCUGAACUUCAGCUGGCAAAUGGACCAUUCUCCGACGUCUCGCGCGCCCCGUGAUCGGUCAUAAAACUUGGUUCGAUUCUUCGAUUCCCCGGAUCAAAUACUACGUCCUGGUGAUGCAGCGUGUACCUGGACGGCACAGCCAUGCGUGAGGGCGACGGUCCGCGUCGCCGGCCGUUGCACUUGCCCCUGCCCCCGGGCAGUCAGUAGUCACCGCGCGCGCAGCAUCAUGGCAACGGCAUCCCUCUCCGGAUCCGCCCGCGCGAGGAUAUCCCCUCUCCACCGCGCGCGCGACGGCAGCCUCACGUUCGUUAGCUUGGUCUCCGAUCGCGCGUCGCGCCGCGCCGUGCGUCACACGAGAAAAACACGGCACGGCAUGGGCCUGCGCCGCAACGGACAAAGCCGAUGAGCCGUGGCCGCACUCCUCGUCCGCCACCCGGCGGCACGGCGCCGGAACAAAACACCGGCCCCGGCCUCGACGAGACCAUCCGGCUCGCGCAUCGCCCACGUGGACCAGUCGGCCCCGGGCGCGCGCAGUUUCCUCCACUUUUCCCACUGGCAGCAGCCAGCAGCAGCUCGCGAGCUGUAUAAGUAGAGCGCGGCAGCACCCCCAGUUAAAGGAACAUCCACCCAACACCAGCACCCAAGCAAGCAGUGAAAGAGAGGAAGCCGGAGCUACCUCAAGAGCCUUCUUUUCCAGUCCAGCGAGUGUGUGUACGUAGCAGACCGAAGAGUUAGAGCAAUGGCUGGGGCGGUCGGCGUCUGGUUCGCCAAGUUGGGCAGGGAGGCUGCGCCGGCGGCAGAGGCCGAGGUCGUCGGCCGGCGAAACCAGGGCGACGGCCUGCUCGAGGCGGAGGCCGCGAAGACGGUGCAGAUCCAGGAGAGGAGGAGGAGGAACAGCAGCGUCCUCUCCAACUCCGAGGACACGGUGUGCAUGCUCAUGGACCGCUUUUCC